rnacentral:lncRNA from 1 species
ACAUGAGGAGAACCACUUUCCUAACGUAUCUUUGUCUCUACCACUGACAAGAAAAACGAUGUUUCUACUAUCUGAGCAAAGGGUAUUGAUGAUGUUCAAAACCUCUGGACUAGGUUCCUUGUUGAUGGAAGUUUGAGGAACCAGUGUUCCAUCAUAAUCAAGCAAUAUAGCCCUGCUCUCUGAAAUCUCAUAAGCAUUAACAAUUGAAUCCAUGUUAAGCUUUCUGAAAUGAGGGUCCAAGGCCACCACCCUGAAACCAAAACCCAACCCUAUGCCCCAACAAGUCCUCUUAAAGUGGUCCCUACAAGCCCUUUCCAAGUCUAGGAUGAAGCUCUUUGACCAAUAAGCAACAUCAUGGCUGCUGACAUAACGGUAAUGUUUCUCAUGCCUCAACUGUUUUUCCUGUUCUGGCAUUGAAAUGGCCUCAUUCAUCGCCUCUGCUGUUGCCUCUAUAUUCCAUGGGUUAACCCUAAUAGCACCACUCAGUGACGGCGAGCAGCCAAUAAACUCUGACACAACCAGCAUGCUCUUCUUUGGCCCACUCACCUCUGAUACUGACUCAGAUCCUGGUGCACCCUGCCUACAGACAAUGUACUCAUAUGGUGUUAAGUUCAUCCCAUCCCUCACAGCAGUCACAACCACGCAUUCCGCUAUCGUAUAAUAGGCAACCUUCUCGACACUUGACACAUCACGAUUGAUGAAAACAACAGGGCUAUACCCUGACUGGCCAAAGUCUACAUUGAUCCUCUGGCAGCUCUGCUCAAUCUCAGCCUGGAUGGCUUCCAGAUCCUUACCCCUUCCACGGGCUGGGUUAGCAAUCUGCACUAACACUGCUCUCCCCUGCCACUUGGGAUGUGUCCUCAACAUGUUCUCAAAUGCAAGAAGCUUCAAAUUGAUCCCCUUAAAGAUAUCCAUAUCAUCCACACCAAGCAAGACAGUUUUGCCCUGAAACUGCUGUUGAAGCUCAGAAAGCCUCCACUCCCUAUCAGGCAAGCGCAGACCCGACUCCAACUGACCCAUAUGAACUCCCACCGGCAUGAUCUUGAUCCCUACAGUGCGGCCAAAGUAAUCCAAUCCAAUGUACCCACGCUUUGACUGGUAUUCAAUUCCCAGCAUCCUACUGCAGCACGAGAGGAAGUGCCUGGCGUAAUCAAAAGUGUGGAACCCAAUGAGGUCACAAUUGAGCAGCGCCUUCAGUAUCUCGUCGCGAACAGGGAGGGUGCGGUAGAUCUCGGACGAGGGGAAGGGGCUGUGGAGGAAGAAUCCGAUGCGGAGGCGGUUGAAGCGGCGGCGGAGAAAGGUAGGCAGCGCCAGGAGAUGGUAGUCAUGAACCCAGACGUAGUCAUCCUCUGGGUUGAUUACCUCCACGACCUUCUCAAAGAAGAACUUGUUGGCGAGCACGUAUGCCUCCCAAGCGCUGCGGUCGAAGCAACCGUUGCCGGGUGACGAAGUGGCGACGGAGGAAGAGGUAGCGGCGGCAGACGCGGAAGCGGGCGAUGAGAAGGGGAGCAUGUAGUGGAACAGAGGCCAGAGCUGGCGCUUGCAGAAGCCGUGGUAGAACCGGUCGUUGAGGUGGUCAGGGAGGAACACCGGCGCGCAGCGGAAUCGGUCGAGCAGCGCCUGCGAUACCGCGUCCUGCUCGGCUGCGGGGACGUCGGCGCGGAGUGAUCCGACGAAGAGCACCUCCAUCUCGUCGGGAAUGCCGUCGCGGAGCUGGAGCAGGAGCGAGUCAUCGUCCCACGAGAAGGACCACCCUCGGCCGUCGGGCCUGCGGCGCGCGACGAUGGGCAACUGAUUCGAGACCACUAUGAGGCGGUCCGCCGCCACGGACGAGGGCACGUCGGAGGCGACGCUGCUGGUCGCGGCCGGCUCCGACUCGUCCUCGCCGUCGAGCUCCGUCAGCGUCCCCGGCACCGUCAUCACCCGCGACAUCCGCCGCAGCCCGAACGACCCAUGCCUCUGCCGCCCGCUGCCGCCGACCGGGCCCAGCGCCGCGAAGUUGCCCUCCGCGAGGUCGAGCAGGUUGGUAUACGACCGCGACAUCAUGGCCGAAACACCGAGCGGAGAGAAAAGCUUCGCCGCGAGAGGUGAGCCGGCCCGCUUUGAUUUGAUCUGGUGGCGGCGGCUCGAGAGAGAGAGGUGGUGUGGCCGGGAAGGGUGGGGGAGAAUUUUGCAAACAUGACACCGCCGUGGGAGGGCUUCAAAUAUUUGGCACCGCCGUCGUGGUAAUUGUAAGCGUGACAUUCAAAUCUCCUGAGUUUUGCAAAUUUGGCGUUGCGGUCGGUUAAUGGUCAUUAGGAAGUCUCUCGUUCCCGUGCUGCCCUCGCUCCGUUAGGAAUUUGCCGGCGUCUUGUUGUUGUACCGUCUCCCGUGAGUCUCCCGUAUUCCAUUCUCCUCUCCUCUCGCCCUGGCCGUCGUCUUCCUCGAGCUGAGCUCGUCUGUUCGUCCCGGCGCGCACUGGGUGCAGGCUGUCGUCUACCUCGAGCUGGUCUGGUCGUCCCCGCGCGCACUGGGUGCAGUCUGUCGUCUUCCUCGAGCGCAUUCUUGCCCGCGCACUGGGUGCAUUCGUUCCCACGCGUACCGGAUCUCACGCUUCCCUGCCUCUGCUGUUCCUGCGCUCGUGGUCCAUUGCGCGUAGAGCCACUCCAUUGCGCGGAUCCAGUCCCCCAACGCCGUCGUCUCUGGUAAUUAUUUCCUUUGCGUCGAUCCUUUCCAGUUAGUGUCGUCCAGCGACUAUUUAGCGUAGUACAUUUUCGAUGUAAUUUGGAACUGGCACUUCCAUUUCGCGGUUCAUGUCCCAUUGAGCAUAUAUUGUAUGUGCAGUGUAUUAAGUAUGAAUAAUACUCCCAACGAUGAGGCAGUACCCCCAAUGGACGAAACGAUUGCAUGCACUGUCGAAGAACACCAGUGGGCAUUGACUUGUAUUAGCACACAGCCUACAGUGGUUAGUAGUUUGAAUUUAUUGUAUGCAAUUUAGUAGUUAUGUAAUGUAUUACAACUGUUAUUGGUUAAUAGGGGAGUGGCCAUGGAAUUCAUGAUAUUGAUUGGGAUUCAAUAAUGGUGGAAGAAACCAACAACGAAGAAGGAAGAAAUCAUGUUACUAGUGAAAAAGGUCUAUAUUAUCAGCUUGGACUGGAUACUCAAGAUGAUAGAAGGGAAGAAGAUUCAAGUGCUUCCCGUUUUGGAAAUAGCAAUCCAUGUGAAGAAGAAUUGGGAGCAGGCAUUCCGUGUUCUGAUGCGGUGCUUGAUGAGACGAGGACCAUAUAUGAUAUGAACAAUCCAGUAAUGCAGCCUGGCAGCUUGUAUGCAACAAUGCACCACUUCAGACUGGCAAUUAGACAAUACGCCAUAAAUAAAGAAUUUGAGCUUGGAAUUGAGGCAACCAAUAAAACUAGAUUUAGAGGGUAUUGUAAAGGGCCUGAUUGCCCUUGGAGCAUUCAUGCCAGACUUGAGAUAAAAGGGGCUCCAACAAUUCAAGUAAGCUGAGAAUAUAGCUUUUUCACUUAAUAUGUACCUUUCGUGCUCAAAGAAUAUAGCUAUUGACACUUGAACCAAUUUUGCAGGUAAUUGUCUUGAAUGACAAACAUACUUGUACUUCGAGUGGUAGACGUAAGACGACGACACCUACAGGAGCUUGGGUUGCGGCACGUGCCCUUCCUUUGCUAAUGAAGAAACCUCAUAUGGGUGCUAAGGAGCUGCAAACUACAUUGCAGGACACUUUUGGUUGUACUAUUGCAUAUGACACAGUUUGGCAUGGGAAAGAGAAAGCUUUGAAAGAAUUAUUUGGAAGUUGGGAAGAGAGCUUUCAGCUACUAUGGCGUUGGAGAGAAGCGGUUAUGCAAAAGUCACCGGAUAGUGUCAUUGAGCUAGAUGUCAAAAUGGAUGAGGGGCGUCCUUUCUUCAGUAGAUUUUUUUGUGCGCUCGGUCCAUGCAUUUCUGGUUUCAAGGGUGGGUGCCGACCAUACCUUAGUGUUGACUCCACAGCUCUUAAUGGAAGGUGGAAUGGUCACCUAUGUUGUGCAAUAGGUGUUGAUGGGCACAAUUGGAUGUAUCCAGUAGCAUAUGGAUUUUUUUAGGCAGAAAAUACUGAAAACUGGACAUGGUUCUUUCUUCAGUUGCACAAGGUUGUGGGGGAUCUACCUUUGUUAGCAUUGUGUUCAGAUGCCUGCAAAGGUCUUAAAAAUGCUAUGAACAAUGUCUUUCCGCAUGCUGAGAAAAGGGAGUGUUUUAGGCAUCUCAUACAAAACUACAUAAAGUUGUUUGGUGGGUCUGAGUACAUGUAUCCAGCAGCUAGAGCUUAUAGGAGAGAAGUCUUUGACCACUAUUUUAGUAGCAUCCAAGAAAUUCCUAGGGUCAGUAGUUGGCUAAAUGAGCAUCAUGACUACCUUUGGUACAGAAGUGGCUUCAAUACGGACAUCAAGUGCGACUACGUGACUAACAACAUUGCUGAGGUUUUCAACAAUUGGAUUAAGGAUUGGAAGGAUUUGCCUGUAUGUGAUUUGGCUGAAAGGAUAAGGGAGGAAAUUAUGGUGAUGUUUCACAGGCGGAGGAGGAUUGCACAAAGGUUGCAAGGAAGGAUUUUACCUUCGGUCCUGCAUAUCCUACACGACAGAACUAGAGGUUUGAGUCAUUUAUCAGUUCGUAAAGCUGACAACUACAUUGCUGAGGUAAGGGAUAACAAUGAUGUGCAUUCGAAGCACAUUGUCAAUGCUCAUUUGCGGGAAUGCUCUUGCAAAGAGUGGCAGCACACGGGCAAACCAUGUAACCAUGCUUUGUGCUUGAUAACAGCUCAAGAAUUUAGGGAUGUCAGAAUGGAGGAUUUUGUCGAUGAGUACUACUCUGUAUCUCAUUUCACCACAGCAUACUCAAGGGUGGUUCCACCUAUCGGUGACAAAUCCUUUUGGCCAGAAGUCCCUUUCGCAAAAGAAGUUGGUGCUCCAAUUGGAAAACGAGCUGUGGGUCGACAGAGGAAAAAUAGGAUGAAAGGAUGCCUUGAGGGAGGUAGUUGAAAAAAGAAAGUUAACACUGACAAUGGUAAGACAAGCAUUCGGGGAAAGAUCAAGUGUCCAAACUGUGGUGAACUAGGACACAGGAAAGCAAGCUACAAAUGUCCAUUAAAUGGCACAAAGAAAAGGUUACAAAGAAAAGUGUUCAAUCUGUUUAUUUUCUGAUAUUAACUAAUAUCUGUGACCAAACUGUCUAUCUUGAAGUACUAACUACUAUCUGUACCUAUGUCAUCACAGGAAGCGAAAGCCUAGGAAAAAUUCAACAAAAGGUUGGUUUCCCAAAGAUGUACCUGAGUCAUCACAGGCAGGUGUCCAAGAGAAUGAAGCCGUCCUUGCAAUUAUACCAGCUAAUGAAGAUCUAGUUGAAAUUCCUUUGUCGCCACCAGAAACCAUAAAUGUCACAGAAAGACCUUCGUCGCCACCCGAAGAACGUGUAGUUCGUGUCUUAGUUAAAAAGAUCACACCUAGGAAGAAGAAUGUUUGAGUACUAUGGUCUGUGUAUGAAACCAUGUUAUUUCUGUGACAUUUGUAUGGUACUUUGUCCUCUGUAUGAAACUAUGGUAUUUCUGGGACAUUUUUAUGCCCCUUGAAUUCACCAUUUCGUCAACCAGCUGUUGUUAUUGCAGACUAUUUUUAUGCCUCUUGAAUUCACCAUUUGGAACUAUGCUGCUGGACCAUGGUGUGCAGACUGUUAUUGCUGCUGCGCAGACUGCUAUUUUUGUGUUAUUGCAAUGGACCAGCCAAGCAGCAAGAAGCAAUGGACCAGUCUGCGCAGCUGUUUUCUGGUAACCAGCUGUUUUCUAGUAAGCAGGUGUUUUCUGCGCAGGGGGUAAGCAGCAAGAUUUUUAUGCCUCUAGGCAACCAGAUGUUUUCUGGUACAAGGUGACCCCCUGCGCAACUUGCUUCUUGCUGUUUUCUGGGCAAGCAGCUGUUUUCUGGGCAAUAAUUGGAUCUGUUUUGAGUGACACAAUAGAACACAAAUACAUAAGACAAGUAGUUCAUGUAGUCAUAACAGGUACUUCAUAGCAUUUCAUAGAAGAUCAGAAGCAACAAGUAGUUCAUGAUGUCUUACAAUUUGGAACUCACGCAUUACAAUACCAUAGCCAUUGUUACACUGAUCUAGUUCAUCUAACUGAACUCCUUACAAAAGAACUACACAAGCCAAGGUUACACUGAUCUAUCCCAGAUCUCAUUGUAAUUAAGCCCCCACUUAGCACAGUGCUCAGCAAGUGUCUCCGCUUCUAAUGGCUGAUUCAUUAUUUCUCGGUCACGGAAUACGUCCUCCCACACCGCACUAUCUUCACUAGCAUAGCCAGCUUCUAACAUAGUUGUUGGAUCCAUCAUCGAGACUUGGCAGUCAAUUGCAGUUCCUUCAAGCAUUUCAGCUAACUCGUCCAUUGAACGAGCUACUUGAGUAAGCUUGAAACCGUCUACAACAUCUUCAUCUGUGUAGCGCAAAGAGGCAGUAUCUUGUAGUUUCUUAGCCGUAUCACUCAUUUGAGACAUGGCAUAUCUGAGUGCUUGAGCUAGUUUUUGGUUCACCUGAAAAAAAGUAACAAAGUAACAUCAGAAUAUGGUAAGCCAUAUGAGCAUGUAGUGGAAUAUGAAGUAAGAUCAGAAUAUGCCCUCAGUUUUUUAAAAAAAUCAUCAUAUGUACUAGGCAGUUCUAAAGUUUCAAAAAAACAUCAUAGGGCAACUGAAAACAAGCCAAAAGCAUACCAGCUUACAGGCCAAAAAAAUCCAUACCAGUGAUACUGCCAAAGUGAUCUGAGGGUUCAGGGUCACCAAACCAUACCAUCAAACAGGCUGAAAACAGCCAUAUGAAUAACUGAACUGGAGAAUUUUGCAAACAUGGCACAUCAACAAACAAGCUGAAACAGCCAAAGCCCUCAGUAAUCACUGGUAUACAGUUCAAACAGGCUGAAACAGCCAAAGCCCUCAUCAAUGGAACAACAUCAAACAGGCUGAAACAGCCAAAGCCCUCAGUAAUUUUUUAGCAUAAAAAGAACAAGUGUAGUAUACAGUUCACUUUUUUCAAAGAAAACAUCACAGGGCUAAGGAACCUGAUAAUCUCAAAUUACCACAAGCCUCAGGUCCAAUUUUUCAAUGAAACAGCCAUAGCCCUCACAAAUUUCGUCGCAUAAAAAGAAGAAGUGUAGUAUACAUGUUCAGUAUUUUCAAAGAAUUCAUCACAGGGCUAAGCAACCUCAUAAUCUCAAAUUACCACAAGCAUCAGGUCAAAUUUUCCAAUGAAACAACAUCUAACAGGCUGAAAACAGCCAUAGACCUCACAAAUUUCAUCGCAUGAAAAGAAGUGUAGUAUACAGUUCAGUAUUUUCAAAGAAAUCAUCACAGGGCUAAGCAACCUGAUAAUCUCAAAUAAUCACAAGGAUUAACUCACUUCACAUUUCCUCAGUUCACAAUUCAAUCACAGGGCUAAACAAUCUCAAGAAUUGCCUGGCUCAGUAUAAGUUUCAGAAUACAAACCUCAGAAUACUUGGCCACUGUCUCCUUAGCACAAUCGACAGCUGCACUGGCCUGUUUGUAAGAAUGCAUAGCACUUUUUUCCGCCGCCACAGCGGAUUCAAGAACAUCAAGAGUAGAAACCACAUCGUUACCUAUGGAAAACGUGGCGCAAUAAUCACCAGCAACAAUACUCGCGGCAGCAGAAGCAUUCAGUGUGUCACGGGCUGCAACAACCGCCAAGGACAACUUCUGGGCACAAAUCUCGGCGGCAGAUUCCAUGCUGGCUGCCAAAUCUGCGAACCCUAGGGUUACAGAAGAAGGAGAGCUCACCAGCGUCGGAGGUCGGCAAUGGACCACGGGUGCAGGAACCGCCGAGGCAGGGAAGGGCGAGAUCCGGAUAAGGACAGGGCACGAAUGCACCUAGUGCGCGCCGGGACGAACAGACCAGCUCGAGGAAGACGAUGGCCAGGCUCUCGCGAGCAAGAGGAGGAGGAGAGGAGAGGAGAAUGGAAUACGGGACACUCACGGGCCGGCAAGUGCCUAACGGAGCGGAACGGAGCGAGGGUAGCACGGGAACGAGAGACUUCCUAAUGACCAUUAUCCGACCGCAAUGCCAAAUUUGCAAAACUCGGGAGAUUUGAAUGCCACACUUACAAUUGCCACGACGGCGGUGCCAAAUAUUUGAAGCCCUCCCACGGUGGUGUCAUGUUUGCAAAAUUCUCCCUGGGGGGGUUGGCCAAUUCGGAAUGGAAAGGCAGAAUUUUUUUUGUAUUUUAGGUCUUUUUUUGAAAAAAAAACGUUCACAUUGAUAUUAUUAGAUGAUUUAAUCUUAUUUUUGAAUCCUUUGGCCGAUGUAACACGACUCGGUGCCACAGAUCUUAGCACCGAGAUGCGUACUCCGCUAGCAACGAGAUGCUGACACGACGUCGACGUGUCCGAGCUCGGCGCCAUAAAUCAUGGCGCCGAGCUCCUGUCUCCCACCGCUCUCCCCCUCCGAGUUCUAGCUGCAGACCCCGUCCAUUGCGUGCAUGCAUGAGGAACUGGUCGAUCGUCGACAUUCUACUGGAAGUCGGGAGCCGGGCACAGCUGACGGGAAGCAUGGAUGCGGCGCCCCGAGAGAUCUGUUCAGUCUCUCUGAGAGACGACAGAUUUCAACUUGCCGUUCUCGGACACGCAAACCGACCGGGGAGACCAAUAAGGGUGCCCACCGGUGUAAUCAGAAAGAAUCACAUAAGUUCCAGGCUUCCAGCGACCUAUUGUCCACUGUACAGUACACUCUCCAGUACUUCCGUAUGGCACGGCCUCAUCGUCAAUGUGGAUGUCGCGACGGUGCAGCCAUUGCCGGCACAAAACGUGCUCAGGCGCCUAGCUGGUCGGGCGUUUGCGCGGGACCAAAGGCCAUCCACCAGCGCUGGAGUCGUGGGGCGCAUCCCACAUGGCCGGUCACUCAUGUCAUGGGCUCAUGCAUGCAUGGCCGCAGCACACGACAGGCCAUGACACGGACUACGUCAUGACUCCUCUUUCUUUUUUUGGUCACGUCAGGCAUAGUGGUGGCAAUAGGUGGACAGUAGCCUUUCUAGCACACAGGCAGCUCCAUACUAUGUUGGUCAUGUCACGUCACGGGAGUUGGUUGGUCACGUACUAUGAGGAGAUAUCACCGUACCCCUGUAGAUGGUAUGGCUUGAGAAAUGGUCUUGUACUUGUUGUUGACUUGCGCCCGCUUGGUUUCUACUGAGAGCUGUGGUUGAGGCGGAGAGCUCGAUCACGUACCUGAGCCCCCUGGCAAGAGGUUGCUCAUAUCGUAGUGGUUGACACAGUGCUAAGUAUGGGAAAAGGCUUCUUUAAGUGGUGCAUCAGCUCUGCGGUGUCUGAUGAUGUUGGGCGUCCUCUAUUGUGGAUAUUGAGGUCAGAGCCGGGCUCGGGCGAGGCGGAAGUCCGCCCGAGGUCGCGACCGAACCCGUUCUAAGAUUCGAAGACGUGCGCCACAGUCGAAGGAGUGGCCUCUUGCGGGAUUUACGGGCGAGCAAGUAGUCGAGACUGGGCUCGGGCGAGACGAUGUUUUGUCCCGAGGUUGAGUUCUGCUUCGAACGAGACAGAGUUUGCUCUCGAAAGCUAGCAUGUGCUCCUGUCAUAUUGCACGUCCCAUUGGGGGUUGGCAGGUGGCGUGCAUGAACAGGAGUCACACGCGUAAUCAUAGUUGGUGAAUCUUUGACAAGACUGUGGUCGUGUUGCUCCUGUACACCCGCAGGCCUACGUGAUGUGGACAAUAUUCUAGUGUUUUCUGUUUAAGCAAGGGUGAGUACACAUCAACGUACUCAACAAAUGUCCCAUUUGGCUGAAGUGGACUAGCUCUAUGUGGGUUAGGUUCAAAGUAGUUGUUUUUAGUUCGUCAAGUAUUUAUUAUUAGUAGAAGCCAACUUUUAUCAUAGAACCCAAGUUGAUAUCCCAAAAGGCACCUCCUCAGUGAGAAAAAUACCAGAAACCAUAAGUAUAGCCAUCAUCAUAAAACCAUCAUCAUAAAGUUAUCCAGAGUAUCUCUAAUCAAAUAGGAUCCCAAGGCUGCUCUUAACCAUGAGCACGACCGAUCUACCCAUUUUCUAACCCUCUCCAGAGGUCACACACUUUACCCACGAGUCAUGAUUCCCUUUCUGCCCGAGGUUCUAGCCUCCCCGUUGAUCACUUCCGAGGUGACCCAGCAGGGUUUCACUACGUAGCCUUUACAAAGAUUCACUAGAGGUCACAACCGCCCGUUAGGAUUCUGCGGGUUUGAUAAACACAGUACUCCUCCCCACAAGGGGGUGACUAACAAAAGGAGAAUGAAAGAACCUCGGCAGAGCAAGUACUAUGCCACAGACCCCAUUGAUGGCACGACGGCGAAGCAACUACACCUCUAAGGGUGUCCCAUACCACCCUCAUGCUGCAUUAUUUUCUCGGGUGGUCUCUCAACGAACAAGUCCUUACGGAGAGGUACUCGGGAAAUAGAUUGAGCCCCCUAAAGUGUCACAAGUUCAUCAUCACAAAAUCAUCGUAUCAUAAAUGUAUAUCAUCAUGUUUAUUGAUUAUAGUAAAGCACUAGCAUGAUAUUGAUCAUAACUGCCCAAUCCCAAAAAGUGAUCAAGGACAGGGAUAAGCUGAAACUAGUAAAUCCUUAGGUUGAUCAUAGUAUGCGGGAGAGUGAAUUAUAAAAUAAGUAGGACAUAAUGGGUUAGAGGACACUUGCCUUCACCAAGCUGCUGCUCAGGAACUUCUGUAACUCCCUCGGGGAACACAAACUGCUCGUUGUCUAUGCAAAGCAAUCAUUCAUUCAAUACACUUGGGGAAUAGCAAAUGAACAAUACACUAAACAUAUGCAAUAGAGUAAUCAUAGGUUCAACAGAAGUAAAAGUAACUAAGGCCGAGGCUACAUGGCAUCGGUGGGACCAAGCUAGGUGGAUCGGUCGCGCUGGGACGGGCACGGCGCGCCGAGCAUAUAGAAGAAAGGGGGAUGGGGGUUAGACAAUGGGGAUUCUCGUCUCGGCCGAGGGCGCAGGAGCAGGCUCACUUGAACGACUUAUGGACUUUUCGCCUCACCUGAGGGCGUGGCGCAGGCUAGCUCAGAUGGCUGAGGGAUUCUCCACCACAUCCGAGGGUGUAGCACAUAUUGGCUCGGAUGACAGGCGGACUCUUUGCCUCCCGAUAGGGUGCGGCGCAGACUAACUCGGAUGACUAGCGGACUCCUCGCCUUACCUGAGGGCGUAGCGGGGGCUGGCUCGAGUGUGGGCACGAACCGUUAGGUCUGGGGUGGACCGUUAGGUAUAGCAUCAGGUUAAUUAGAAUCCACCCUUUAGACCUGGGGUGAAUGGCAGGGACCGGGCGGCCGCUUUGGCCCUUUCCUCCAGCCAUCAGAGGUGGCGUCGCCCUCGUCGGCAAGACGCUCGACGGAGACGAGGGGCAUGGACGCUCUGGGGUCUUAGGGUGGCUAGGAUGGCUUGGGAAGAUGGGGAAGGGUGCGGGGAACCCAAUGGUGGGGCUGAACCGUGGUAGGAGCACUUGAGAAUGGAGGCCCACGGUGGGGCAGCUCGGCGGUGGCGCUAGGAACUCCGACGAGCAAUUGCGCAUGACAUAAAGUAAGGGAAGGGACUAGAGGGGGUAGCAGAAAUUCGUUACCUCAAAACGAGACUUGGGAUCCCCCAGAGGCGGCAACAACAUGGUGGCGGCUUGGAACGGUGGAGGCGGCUCCCAGACUACAUGGGUAACGAUGGUGAGCAAGGACCGAAUAGUUUGGUGCCCCUGUCCGGUGCGCCUAGCCGUUGGAUCUGACACCGCAGGUGACCAUUGGCGAUGUAGGCUUUCACACCAGACGGUCUGGGUGUCACACCGAACAGUCCGGUGGCUUCUCUCCCCCAGUGCCACCAGGAACUAGCCGUUGGGCUACAGUUCCCUGGUGCACCGGACAGUCCGGCGUGUGCCACCGGACAGCCCGGUGGUGGCAACACAAUUCUUCGUUUCUUGGACUUUGCUUGAUAUUAUUUAAUCUUUACUUGUGAUCUUCAUAAUGUAUUAUUUUGAGGUGUUGCUUUCCUUAAUGCCUUAGUCCAAGUCACUUUUAGCAUCGUGUGAACUAUAAACAUAAACACUAGCAAACUCAUUAGUCCAUAGGUUAUGUUGAUCAUCAAACACCAAAACCUUUUGAGCCAAAUGGCCCGGGGGUCCAUUUUCCUUACAAUCUCCCCCUUUUGGUGAUUGAUGACAACACAACCAAAGCAAGCAAAUGUAACAAAUAUUUUAAUCAAAAUAUGCAAUCUUCUUGCUAGGAUGCAUGAGUGUCCGUACAAUGUGAGAUUAUGGACUUAAGCCUCCCCCUAACUCCAUAAUUCACUUGCUUCCUAUUUUUAGACCAAAGAACCAAAACCACUUGCAAGAUCAAAAUUUUAAUUUGGUGGUGUUUGGUGUUUGAUACAAUUUUCAUUGCUUUGGUCCCUAAAACUUCUCCCUUUAGCAUCAACCACCAAAAAGGAAGACAUUAAAAGCAUGUAGGAAGCAAAUAGGACUUGCCCUCUUAAAAGAAAUAUCAAUUGAAGCACUUAAAAAUUACCCCCCCCCCCCUAAAUGAGUGGUAUCCUUUUGAAAGAAUUUUCUCCCCCUUUAGAGAAGAAGAAAUACUCCACCUGACAGAGAUUUUCUACUUAGGGUAAAAUCAUGUGAGAAAUAUAGGUACAAGACAUGAUUUGAUUAGACUAACUUCCCUUAUGCAUAGGUAACCGAUAUGAUUUAACAACUUAUGCAUGUAUAUCAACAUGUCAAGUAUAAGAUGUGAAAUGUAGUCUAAUAAAAUAUUGGAGAAGACAUUAAAAUGAUACCAAUUGAAGUCUCUCAAGACCAAUUGAAGUCUUAGAAUACUUGUGGAUUUGCAGUGGAAGCUAAUUGUCUUUCUCCAAGGACUCUAUUUUCCUCCAAUGAGACUACUACAUAUAAUAGACUUGAAAACAGGCAUUAGUCUCAAAGACUUAGAUUAUAGAGUAACCUCCCCCUGAAAGUGUGUAUACAAGUUUUUGAAUACUUGUAGGAGACAUGCACUUUGAUUUGAUGCAAGAGGGGCAAAUUAUCUAUAAUCCGAACUUUGACACAUAUAAGUUAAAUGAUACCAAUGGAAACAUAAUUGAAGUAUUAUACCACAUCUUGUAUAUGACAUAUGAAAAUAUCAAUUGAUGUACCAUUUUCUUAGGAAUGUUAAGUAAGCUAUGUACCUUGCUUAAUUAGCAUUUUAAACCAUGUAGGUUUGCUCAAGAAUAUGAAUUGAAAGAGAGCAAUCCUACCAUAUGAUUGACCUAGUAUGCAUGCAUUUUUAAUAAAAAAUAAAUACCAAUUGUAAUACUAGGUAUGAAAGGUAAAGACUAGAUAUAAGAAAAUAGAUACGUGUUGGGGACUUGUUCUCAACUGCUAUUAAUUAAGAACAAGGCAACACAAAAAUGGGUUAAAGGUUAAUGCCCUUCGUCCUUCGAAGCAUUAUUUCCUUAAGGAUAUAACGAUCUUCGGACGAAGGUCAUGAAGGACGUACCUUCAUCAUCACAGCAUAUAUCAAUGAAAGACAAAGCAUAUAAAACAUGAGAAAUAACAUGGAUGAUUAUAUGACAUCAUUAAUAUAUCUUUUAUUAUAUGCUUAUGAAUGAAUAAGAACCAUGUUGAAUUACAUUUGUACCUUCGGCUUAAAAGAAGUCAAAGGUACAAGCGUACUGCACGAGCGGAUACAAGUCAGCGUGAACAGUACGGGGGACUGUUCAUCUAUUUAUAGGCACAGGACGCAGCCUGUGUGAAAUUAUAUUUAUGCCCUUCAUGUUUACUAUUGACUUAAGAACAAUCUGUCAGGGACUAGAUAGCCUUUUCCUCCUUAAGUCAGUUCCUUUUUCUGGUAUUGAGCCGAAGUUCCUUUGCGCGCAGCUUCGGCGCUGGUUCAGCCUUCGUUCUGACCCUGUUUCCCAUAUUGUGUACAGCUUCAUCCUGAGUCUGAAGGUGCCUGUAUGUGUAUUACACUUGGGAAACAUUAUUUUGUUUUUGAGGACCUUCAGAAGACGAAGGCCCCCAACAGUAGCCCCUCGCGGUAUUAAUUUGUUAUGACAACGAAUUCAGACUGCGACGUGAACGAAGGCCUUAAGCCGAAGGUCCGAAAAAACACUUUUCCUUUGCUAGAAUAGCAACAAUCAAUGACAUAUGGGGCCCUCCAAGUUGCAGCGUGCUAGGCGUAUAAAUAUGAACUCACAACGACAUCAUUUGAUACGUUGUUUCUGCCAUUUGCAUUAUUUUCUCAAACUUUUAGCUCUUGCUUACUAGCGCUCGCUAGAUUUUCAAGCUUUGGCUAAAAGACGCUGUUUCACCAUGUUUGGAGAAAAAUGUCCAAGGGAAAGAAGGUUGUUGCUAGAGAUGGCAACGGGUAAAUACCCACCGGGUAUUACUACCUCAUACCCAUACCCACGACACAAAAAUAACCCCACCGGUCACCCAUAUACACUGGUGGGUAUGAAUUUACCCCCAUACCCAUACCCAUGUGGGUAUGGGUCACCCAUCGGUCACCCGUACCCACAAAAAUUAAACAUCUAUCAAAAUAGUAUACUAUAAAAAUGUCAAGUAUAUCCCUAUAAAUACCAUUACAAAAUUUUCUAGCAUCAUUUAACCAUCCAUUCAACACACCAAAGAUAAUUAGAUAAAGUAGUAACACUAUGAUAGUACUACAUAACACAUUACAUGUUCCAUUACAUGGUCAUUAAAUUAUCGUUAAGCCUUCUAUGACAUUAUGGUCUAAAAGGUUGUUAAAUAGUAAAAAACGAUGGAUGACUAAAGUCCAAGUUCAUGCUUGGGCUAUGUUUAUAUUGGGUAUUUUAUACCCACGGGUUAACGGGUAUGGGUGAAGGCGGAACGUUCUAAUACCCGUUUACUCAUUGGGUGAAGAUUUUUGCCCAAUAACAGACCCACGGGUAGAAUAUUUAGCCCACAUAUAUACACUAAUGGAGUAAAACAUCGGGUAUCGGGUCGCGGGUACCCAUUGCCAUCUCUAGUUAUUGCGGAGACAAAGCUGACUGAAGAGACAAAGCUGUUUGAGGAGAAGAAGGCUAUGGAUCCUUAUGUUGCUGGAUUUGUUGAGUCGAUGGCAAAGACAAACACAGAGAAGAUCACUAAAGAGAUACUGGAAGGUUUAUCUGAAGAUACUGGUGACAGUGAUAGCUAUGAUGUGGAAAGUGGGGAUGAGGAUUCUAAAGACCGGCCCUGGCGACCAAGCCAUUCUGUCUUCGGAAAAUCAACCAUUAAACAGAGUCAUCUUGAGAACAUGAGAGGAAGGUACUUUCGGGACAUGUCUAUUGUGAGGGCUGGCAGAGACAACAGCGUCCCUGCCCCUGAGGAAAACGAAGUUGUAAUUUACCGAAGCUUCUUCAAGGCUGGACUUUGGUUUCCUUUGAGCAAGUUUGUAGUUGAAGUGUUGAAGAUCUUCUAGAUCUUCCUUCACUAGAUCACCCCCGAAGCUAUAAUGAGGAUGGGGAUUUUUAUCUGGGCUGUAAGGAGUCAGGGGAUAGAGCCAAGCGUGAAGUGCUUCUGCAGUAUGCAUGAACUCUUAUAUGAGACGAAGGCUACUGGCAACGAACAGUACCGCAACAACUUCGGUUGUUAUGGAUUUAUUGCUCGUCCCAACGCCAGCUACCCAGUGCCAACUUUUCGAAAGAGGUGGCCCGGAGCCUGGAUGGAAGAGUGGUUUUAUGUGAAGAAUGAUCUAAAGGCAAGGGAAGACAUUAAAGAAGUCAUCAUGCGCCCCAUCUGGUCCCGCUUCGGCCUCCGAAGGCCGAAGGUGGAAAUUGAUGACACUGUCGAAGCGUGUCAGAGGGCCUUCAACACUGUUUGCUCCUUCAUUGGCAUAAGAGAUUUAAUUCAAGAACAUAUAGCCUUCAGGGUAUGGUCGCUUGUAGAAAGCUGGGAAAUGCCGAAGGAGACCACCACCGACUCUAGCGAAGGUGGUCUAGUCCGGUUGAAGUAUACCUUCAGGUUUGGGGAUAAAUUUGAUGAGCCAAAAUGAUGACUGGCUGAAGUGCAUUGAAGCUACUAGCGACGAGCUACUUGGGGCAUACUCCAAGGCCGAGGACAAUGCCUUGUCUGUAGCUUUCGGUGGUUGGAAUAAGAAAAGAUUGAAUAGGGUAUUUGAUGUUAUUGGCUUCGUAUACCCUGACUAUUGCUACCCGCUGCGAGGGCGAGGGUUAAAGAGAAAGAUUACUGCUUCGGGAAAGAUUGCUGCUUCGAUAAUCACAGCUGAGCCGAAGGGCAAGAAGAUGAAGGUUCUGACUCACCGGUCGCGUUACAUUGAACCAGCCGUGAUUCCUGAAUUUGGCGAAGGUACUUCUUCAGCUGCCAAAGCAAAAGAGAGUGUUUCAAUUAUGCAGAUCGCUGUAGAGCUGAGUGUAGUACCGAAGAUGACUAUAGUUGAGUCGGCCAAGGCUGAAGAUAAUAAGGCCAAAGAGCCACAGGUAGAAAAAGUGACAAAAAUUUCAGAAAUCAUGAGUCCACUGGAAGCGGCAGGUUUGCCGAAGGUGCAAAAAACUUCUGCCGCAACUCCCAAGAGGAGGAGAAUGGCUAACGUGUUAGAUGCUAUACUGGAGACUACAAAGGCACUGAGUCCUGCUCCUGCAAAGAAAGUCACUCCAACUGAAGCCAAAUCGCAGAUCGAAACCAAAAGUGGGCAAGCAAAAGCCGAAGCUACAUAAGUUCAAGCUGAAACCGAAGCUGGGCCUUCAGUGUCCACUAUGACAGAGCCUGUCGCACCUGAAGAAAAGGCGACAGAGCAAACUAUUCUAGAAAAGAUUGAGAUUCCUACCCCCGAAGCUUUAAUCGAAAAUGUCGACUACCUCUUUCGACACGCUUCGGGGAAGAAAUUGUCCGAAGAAGAAAUUUUGGAAGCCAGGCAUUAUGCGCGAAAAUUGAAAUAUCUGAAGGGUGCCUUGGUUUUUAAUGGAAGUAGUGAAGAUGAUUUCUUAUACUGUCUCCCAGACAAUAAAGAAAUAUCCGUUUGCCGGGAGAUAGGUAGAAGCAUCGGAUUCCCAAAGCUAGAAGACGACCUUUCAAUUUUGUCGAAGGAUGAUCUUGCAGACAGCCUGGCAUACAAUAGCAUAAAGGUAUAGAAGUUAACUUUGAAUUUGAAAAUGAAAUAUUUUUUGCUAUACUCAAUUUUGUCCUCCUCUUGCAGAGCUUAAUUCUUAGCAAUGCGCUUAGGGCACAGAAAAAUAUUGAAGAUGAAGGCUGUACGAUGGCUCUGAACAACCUUCGUCCAGAGGUGAUCGAAUUAAGAAACGAAGGUCUUGAAAAAGACAGAAUCUUAAUUUCAUUGGUAAAUAAAGUGAAAGAAGACGAAGCUAGUUUCCAGGCUCAGGCCGAAGUCCAAAAGACUGAAAUUGAAGACCUUCGGAGACAGCUGGCCGAAGCUAAAGAAAAAUGCGCACUCGCUGAAGCUAACCGAGAUAUCAGUGAAUAUUGGAAAAAUCAUUUAGAGAAAAAUGUUGAAGAACUUCGCACAUCCAAGGAAAGAUGCUUUGAAAAAUCCUUGGACUGCGUGAAGAAAAUAAAAGCUAGUUUCACCAACGUGGGUGCCUAUUCUACCGAAGAAAAUUUCAUACGACGCGACCCUAAAGGUGUUAUUGAAUGGAUAAGUGGGGAGGCCGAGACAUUCGAAGAAAUCUUAAGUGAUCGCGGGGAUGUUUGUGCAUUUUCCGGUGCGCGGGGAAUUUCAGCUAUCUUGGAGAAGGCGGGAUGCGACCAUAUUAAAACCAUGGCCCAGACCGAAGCUCCCUUCUCCAUAAAUGAUACGAAGGAUCCUACAGCUGAAGCAACCUUGAUGGGUGGGAAAUUUUUUAAUGAUGCCUGGGUGAAUGGUGGCCGAGAGAUGGCCCAUGGAAUUAUAAAGAAAAGUGAAAAAGAUACCCAUGAUGCCCGAGCAGAAGCAAGGCGAGUUGAAGAAGCUGCUGAGCGUGAAAAACGUAUAGGUAUUGCUUUUUGUCUUUUAGCUUCGACAUUUAUUUUUGUUGCUUCGAACUGAUUAACUUUUCUUACUUCAGCUGAAUUAUCUCCGCCGCCGGAACCGUUCGAUCCCCUAGCGGAUCCAGAAACGAAGGAAGCGCUGGAUAUUAUAAACAUGGCUGAAUCCGCUGUUCAUGAAGUUGUUAACAAAUUACUGCACGAAGUUGCAGAGAAAGUCCUUAAGGUCUUAAGGAGGAAUAGCACUUAUUGUAAAAACAUUUUGAGAUGGUCAAUGUAUGAAACACUAGAAUGACAUUGUACCUUUAUUAUAACAUGAUUGUAAUAUUUGAUGUGUAUAGCUUUGAAUCAAAAAUGUAAAUUAUUGUAAUUCAUUUCUUUUCGUUGCAUGAAACUUUACAUAUAUACCAUUUUUGAGCCUUCGACGAAAAAACACCUUCCCUUCUUUUCAUGCUUCGUAAAGAAAAAGAUCCAUGCUUCGCAAAAAGGGAUCCCUCUUUUGUAACAAGGCUGAUGAAACUGUAUUUCCCGAAGCUUACUUCGUGCCUUAGCACAUUUUCAUUUUUACGAAGCAUUCUCCGAAGAUCGACUUCGUAUUCAAUUCAUGCCAUUGAUGCAAUAUGAUGUAUGAUGUGAUGUUAUGAGAAGUGAUGUGAUGAUAUGAUGCAAAAUGAUGAGGAUGCCAAAGACACACACCCACACGCCCACACUGAAACACAAAAGCUCUGCAUCCCCUUAGGAACGACUUUGGAGCCUUCUUCACCGUUUAUUUUUCGGUGUAAGUUCUACAUCCCCUUAGGAACGUCUUUUGAACUUCUUCACCUUCUAUUUCGGCGGUAUAAGUUAUGCAUCCCCUUAGGAACGACUUUGGAACUUCUUCGCCUUAUAUUUCGGCGGUAUUUGGCUCUGCAUUCCCUUUGAAACGACUUUUGAGCAGAAAACUUACGCUGCACUCCCUUAGGAACGACUUUCUGUAGCUUCGGUAAUUUUAGCUCUGCAUUCCCUUAGGAACGACUUUUGAGCUUCGUAUUUUUUGAGCUUCGUAACUUUUGAGCUUCGUAAGUCUGUGAAGAAGAUAAAUUCCAUUCUGAUAGAAGCAAAAUCGUUACAAAAAAAUUGAAACUAAAUUUACAUUACUUGUUCCUUAUUAAAAAAGAACAAAAUGACAUAAAACAUAAAAGUAUUUCAGAGACAGGAUAUCGCUCAAUAUAUGUGCUUUGAUUCUGGCACAGUACUGUUGACUGUGCGAGCUUCGGAUUCCUCCCUGAAUUCACGUUGCUGUUGAGAGUGCUGGCGCCCUUCUGGCUGCUGGCUUCGGGAAUAGGUAGGUUGCAGUGGUGGUGGAGGGAGCUGAGGCCAAGAAGCCUGUGAAUGGCUAGCCGAAGCAACAGAAGCUGCAGGAUGAUUGCCCACAUAUUCUGGUAUGUAGGGAGAGUGGCACGAAGAAGUGUGCAAGACCUGGUUCGGCUGAUUCUGCCGAGCUUCGGCUUCUGCUAUCUCCUUUUGCUUCAGAAUAGUGAUUUGGCACAUUCUUGUAGUAUGGCCCUUGUCCUCACCAUAGAAUAAGCAAUAGAUUUUCCUAGGCUGAUCCCCAUAUCUUUCUCUGAAGCCCCUGGCGCCUCUGCCCCUUGGAGUUGGCGGCCUGAAGGAGCUUUGCUGCUGUUCCGAAGACUGUGAGGUGUGUUGUGGCCUCUGAAGCUAGCUUCCUUUGUCAUCAUUCUGACUGGUGCUAUGAAUUGAUCUAACAUGCCUAGAGUGAAUUCUCCCUCUGAAGCCCCUAGUCAUCUCAGAGAAUCUGUAAGCUUCCUCCCUUCUUUGGCAGAAGUCGUUGUCAGCCCGGAUGUACUCAUCCAUUUUCUGAAGCAGCUUCUCCAGAGUCUGGGGGGGGCUUCCUGGCGAAGUAUUGAGCCGUAGGUCCUGGCCGAAGACCCUUGAUCAUGGUCUCAAUGACAAUUUCAUUGGGCACUGUGGGCGCUUGUGCUUUCAUUCGCAAGAACCUUCGGACAUACGCCUGAAGGUAUUCCUCAUGGUCUUGCAUGCACUGAAACAAAGCAUGGGCUGUGACUGGCUUCGUCUAAAAGCCUUGGAAACUGGUAACCAGCAUGUCCUUGAGCUUCUGCCAUGACAUGAUUGUCCCUGGCCGAAGGGAAGAAUACCAUGUCUGGGCUACGUUCCGGACUGCCAUGACGAAGGAUUUUGCCAUGACAGCUGCAUUGCCUCCGUAUGAGGAUAUUGUUGCCUCAUAGCUCAUCAAGAAUUGCUUCGGGUCUAAGUGCCCAUCAUACAUGGGUAGCUGGGGUGGCUUGUAGGAUUGUGGCCAUGGGAUAGCCUGCAAUUCUGCUGCCAAGGGAGAAGCAUCAUCAAAAGUAAAGGUAUAAUGAUUAAAAUCAUCAUACCAUCCAUCUUCGUUGAAUAAGCCCUCUUGACGAAGCUCCCUGUGUUGGGGCCUUCGGUCUUGAUCAUCUUGAGCAAGAUGACGCACUUCCUCAGUAGCUUCAUCGAUCUUCCUUUGAAGAUCGGCCAGCCGAGCCAUCUUCUACUUUUUCCUUUGCACCUGUUGGUGGAUGAUUUCCAUGUCCCUGAUCUCCUGGUCCAACUCCUCCUCUUGGAAUGUUGGACUGGUGGCCUUUCUCUUCUGGCUUCGAGCCUCUCGGAGAGAGAGAGUCUCCUGGUUUGUGUCCAGUGGCUGCAGUGCAGCCCCUGGCGCUGUUAUCUUUUUCGGCGGCAUGACGAAUGUCUAUGCUUUGCCGAAGGUUGUGGAAGUGAGUACACCAGAGGUGGGAGCCAAUGUUGGGGACUUGUUCUCAACUGCUAUUAAUUAAGAACAAGGCAACACAAAAAUGGGUUAAAGGUUAAUGCCCUUCGUCCUUCGAAGCAUUAUUUCCCUAAGGAUAUAACGAUCUUCGGACAAAGGUCAUGAAGGAUGUACCUUCAUAAUCACAACAUAUAUCAAUGAAAUACGAAGCAUAUGAAACAUGAGAAAUAACAUGGAUGAUUAUAUGACAUCAUUAAUAUAUCUUUUAUUAUAUACUUAUGAAUGAAUAAGAACCAUGUUGAAUUACAUUUGUACCUUCGUCUUAAGAGAAGGCAAAGGUACAAGCGUGAUGCACGAGCGGGUACAAGUCAGCGUGAACAGUACGGGGGUACUGUUCAUCUAUUUAUAGGCAUAGGACACAACCUAUGUGAAAUUACAUUUAUGCCCUUCAUGUUUACUAUUGACUUAAGAACAAUCUGUUAGGGACUAGAUAGCCUUUUCCUCCUUAAGUCAGUUCCUUUUUCUGGUACUGAGCCGAAGCACCCUUGCGCGUAGCUUCGGCGCUGGUUCAGCCUUCGUUCCGACCCUGUUUCCCAUAUUGUGUACAACUUCAUCCUGAGUCCGAAGGUGCCUGUAUGUGUAUUACACUUGGGAAACAUUAUUAGUUAUGUUUUUGAGGACCUUCAGAAGACGAAGGCCCCCAACAAUACACAUAUCUAAAAACAGGGAAUACAAUUAAUCUAGUUACCUUAGUCAUGGGUGGGGAAUUUGGGUCCAAAGUAUACACUAACCCACUUGGCAAUAGACUUGAUCCAAUAUGAUGCAUCCCAUGAUAUACAUCCCAAUUUUGCCAAGUCUCCAAAUUCUCUGCCGUCUUUCGGACUCCUCACUUCCCUCUCGGGAUCCAAACCUUCUUGGUGCUUUUCAUGGUCGAAAUAAUUUCCUUUGUCACCCAAAUGCGUUUGGCCCCCUUUCCUUUGUUGGCUUGCUUGUUGGCCUUGAUUGCUAUCACCUUUCCCAUAUUUUUUUCUUCUUGAUUAAAUAUGGUAUAGGAGCCUUUUUAUUCACCAUGUUGAUGUAGGUGUUGGAGAUUUUGCUUGUUGGUUUUUGCUUGAGCUUUUGCUUAUACCCGGUCUUCGCCUUGCAUUGGAAAGACUUGUGGCCUUUGUUUGUGACAUAGCCUACAAAUCACAGUUUCUCCCUCCACAAGCUUGUUCACUCCCACAGUGGUGUUAUCCUGAGGAGGUUGGAUUUGUUUGGCUUUGCCUUUCUUGUCAUACAAAGCCUUGCCAAGGUGAGCCACCUCUUGCUUUAAUUGCUCAUUCUCCAUUGCAAUCUCAUCCAAACAUGUUUCUAUAACAACAUUCUUAACAAGAACUUGAUUGCAGGGGUUAGAAUUAUCAAUUAAAUCAAAGCAAGAAGUAGAAGCAUCUUUCUUAAUAAUUUCAGGUAUUUCAAUUAAAGAUACUUCUGGGGUGCUACCAAUGUUUUCUAGCUUAGUAGUUAGCUCAUCAUUAUGUAUGCUAAGAAUUUCUAUUUUCCCUAGCAAAUUUUUAGUGGCUUCUUGGGAGCUAGCUAACUUAGCCUUAAGUUUUUCAUUUUUUUAAUAAGGCCAUCAUCGGUAGCUGUGGAUGGAGCACUAGACUCUAAUUGCUCAAUUUUAGUUGAUAGCUCACAAUUCAAAUUUGCAAAGGUUUCAAUUUUUUCUAGCAAACAUUUAUAAUCAUUUUGAGAGCUAAUCAACUUAUUUUUCAUAGUUUUAAGUUGAGCCAUUUGUUUAGUGCAUACAUCUUGAAAAAAUUUAACGGCUUCCACCAGCUCAUCUACGGAGGGUUUUCCCUCACCUUCAUCAUCACUACUGCUAUCAUCACUAGAGGAUGGAAUACUCAUUUUACCUCUUGCUAUAAGGCACUUGCGUGAUGAUCAUGAUGAACGUGAUGAGGAACGGUGACUACACGUCCAUGGAGGUUCAUCUUUGCUUGAAGAGUCAUCACAAGUUUUGACACUUGUAAGCGCCUUGCCUUGGAUCCUCCCCUUUGUGGGUUCGGUCAUAUUUGGACAACUGUCCCUAAAGUGGCCCUUCUCCCCGCAUGCGAAGCAUCCUCUCUUUCUUUGCUUUUUUCUGUCAAUGUUAAAGAGAAGAUCCUCGACCUGCAGGGGAACACUCAUUAGAUUAAUCUUGCGGAUCAUCCUCAUUACCUUUCCGACGCGUCAGAUUGUUUAUUCGUCCUCGGACGAUUAUGUUGAUGGUUGAUUAUCUUCAUCAUCAUCACUUUCUUCUUCUUCCUCUUCUUCAUUUGAGGAACUUGGAGUGGGAGCCUUCUUUUGCCCUUCCUUUCAUGACAUGAAAAAGUAUAUGGCUUUGAGGAAGUUGGCUCCUCUUGUUGACCCAUUUUUCGUGACAUCUCAAAUGCUGCAAUUUCCCAAUCACAAUGGCCGGGGUCAUUGUACUCAAGUCCUCCAUGUUGUGAAGAAUAAUGAUCAUGCUCCCAUAUCUUUGUUGUUGUAGUAGGGAGAUAAUCUUUCUCAUACUGUCUGCAUCACCUAGCUUAUUAAUGCCAAUAGAAUUGUGCUCAUUGAUGAUUAGAUUCAAACGAGAAUACAUAUCUCUAACAAGCUCAUUAUCCUUCACAGCAAAAGAAUUAUACUCAUUUAAGACUAGGCAAUGUUUUUGCUCAUGAACAUUUGAUGUACCAUCAUGGAGCUCAUGCAAUUUUAGCCAAAUCUCAUUAGCAGUUUUAUUGUAAAAACUUGAUCAAAAUAUCCAUGCUAAGAGAUUCAUACAAGCAAUUUUUGGCUCUAGCAUUUAAGUGGAUUUCUUUUUCCUCACUCGUGGUGGGUUUCUCGGGAUUGUGGUUUCAUCCCGUCGCGAGUGACUCUCCAAACACCUAGAUCAAUGGCCUCUAGGUAACAAGCCAUUCUAGCACUAUAAUAUGAGAAGUUAGUGUCGUCGAAGUGUGGUGGCCUAUGGGUAUCCAUCCCCUUCCUCUAAAAAACGUUGGCUCUUUUAGCGGUGAAGCUAAAGCGUUUCAAACGAGCCAAACCAGGCUUUGAUACUAAUUGAAGGAAAUAGGUGACACCUAAGAGGGGGUGACUUAGGACUUCUAAAACUUUCUCUAAACUAGGCCACAAAUAAAUCCCUAGAGCAAAAUCUAUGCAAAUAAGCAAUAGAAUGUGCAAACUAGGUUUUGUCUAAGUGUUGUUAUCUCUACCACAAUGGCUAAGUUUCAACCUAAAACAAUAUAAGUGUAAAGACAAGAUUGAAACUUAAAUGCUUAAUAUAAAUGCGGAAGCUAAAGAGCAAGGUAGAGAUGCAAACUCUCGUGGAUGACGCUGGUAUUUUUACCGAGAUAUCUAGAACCACGGAAUGACGCAAGGUCCCUACUAAUCCUCGUUGGUACCCCUAUGCAAAGGGAAGCCCACACGAGGGCCAAGGACCACGGUCGAGUAACUCCAUAGAGAGUCGCGGGCCUUCUCCACUCGCAAGUGGUGCUCCGCUUCCGGCUCCUCUCGGACGCUCCCUGCCAUCUCCACUAUUGAGCUUUCGGCUGAAAAUGUUGUGGGCCUCGUUCCCUCCGGUACACGGUGACGGUCGUGACACAAACGCGGUUGCCACGGUCUCGCAAGACUCACCCCACUCGAUACAAUUACAACGACUCGUGCAAGAUCUGAGGGGUUGUGUGGUUUUUCUAAACUCACUCAACUAAUUAGGAUUCACCUAGAGCAAGCGCUAAUGCAGUCUAACUAACCUAAGCACUUUGCAAAGCACCUAUGCUAAUCAUCGAGUGAUUAUAUUAAGCACUUGGGUGUAUGAGCACUUGGAAAUGUCUAUACUAUACCUUGGUAUGUUGCUUGGGCUCCCACACAUUGAAAUGGGCGGUUGGGGGUGUAUUUAUAGCCCCCAACACAAAACUAGCCAUUGGAGAAAAGUUGUGCUCUCUGCGGCACAUCAGACAGUCUGGUGGUGCACGAGACAGUGCACUGUUCACUAUCCGGUGCGCCUAGCCGUUAGUCCGACACUGCAGCUGUAACGCCCUGAAUUUGGGGGUAGAUUUUUUUCUUCUUUUCCCUCACCAAUUUCAGGCGUUACCCUUUCCUUUUUCCUUUUCUCCUCGCUAAACCUUGAUCUUUUCCAAAAUAUAGCGGGAUUCGGCUUGAAGUCCCAUGUAAAGCAAAACCCUAAAAUAUUCUAUUUUGUGUGAUGCACCAUGCCGGACCAUGCAUACCUUUUGAUUGUUUAAAAAUGUGAAUGCAUUCAUUUAGAGGAAAAUAGAUUUUAGAAAAAGAAAACCUUUUCCUUCUCCUCCCCCCUCCUUCCCCAUUUUCGGCCCAGCCGCCCCCCUUCCCUUCCCGCCGUGGGCCGCCUAGCGGCCCAGCCGCGCGCCCCCCUCCCCCUUUGGGCCCAGCCGGCCCAACCGCCCCCCUCUCUCUUUUUUUUCUUUUUCCAAAAAUACCCUCCCCGCGGGCCCCGCCCGUCAUCCCUCUCUCUCUCUCCCUCACCCUAACCCUAACCCUAGCCGCCGCCGCCCCUCCCCCGCGCCGCCGCCGCCCCUCCCCGGCGCCGCCGCCGCCUUCCUCCCCUCCGGUGAGACCCGCCCUCCUCCCUCUCUCCUCCCUCCUCUCCUCCCCUCCCUCCUCCUUCCUUCCCCGUCGGCGCCCUCCCCCGCGCCAUGGGCGCGCUCGGCCCCGUCCCCGGCGAGCUCGGCCCCGGCCCCGCCCCGCCCGCCGGCGCCGCUCCCUGGCGCGCCGCUCCCCGGCGCCCCGCGCCCGCCCCUCGCCGUGGCUCGGCCGCCCCGCCUCGCCCGCGCCCGGCCCCGGCUGCCCUGCCCUCGGCCGCUCCCCGGCGCCCCGCACCCCGGCCGCCCGCGCCCGACCUCGGCCGGCCCCGCCUCGCCGCGCCCGUCCCCGGCGAGCUCGGCCCCGCCCCGUGCUCGGUCCGCUCCGGCGAGCCCGCCCCUUCCCCGCCCUCGCCCGGCCUCGCUCCGGCGAGCCCGCCCCGCCCCGCCGCGCCCGCGCCCCGCCGCGCCCAGCCUCGUCCCGCGCCGCCCCGUGCCCGGCCGCCCCGGCCUCGCCCGCGCCCGCCCUCCCCGCGCCGCUCUCCGGCGAGCUCGGCUCGGCCGCCCGGCCUCGGCCGCCUCGCCCCGCCCGCCCCCCCGGCGAGCUCGCGCCGGCCCCGCCCCGACCCCGGCCUCAGCCGCCCCCGCGCGAGCCCCGCUCGGCCGCCCCGUGCCCCGGCUCGGCCGUCCCCGCCGCGCCCGCGCCCGGCUCGGCCGCGCCCGCCUCGGCCCCGUGUCGUCCCGGCCCCUGCCGUGCCCCCCGCCCCGCCCGUGCCCCGUGCUCGCCCGCUCGCCCCGCCGUGCCUUGCUCGCAUCGUAACGGCCCCGGCGUGGCCUCGAGCUCGGCCCAGCGUGCCUUUAGCGCGCGGCUUUGAGCUCGGCUAGCGCUCGGCCCCGACGUGCGCACGGCUAGUUCGUGGCGUGUGCGUGCGGCCUCGCGCGCGUGCUCGCGUAGUGCGCGUGCCUUGGCACGACCCGUCGUGCCCCGUCUACCCUCAGACGCCCCGUCUACCCCCCCCUCGUCCUAUGUGCACCAAUCACGUGUUUAUAUUAAUAAGAUAGGAGUCUCAAUUUGGAAAUUGGUUACGUUAGUUAAUUUGUAUAGCUAAUUGUCUAACUCAUUCAAUGUUAAUCUACUAAAAGUGGUCGCGUUUACAUUAGUGCAUGUAGCUAAUUCUUUUGUUAGAACCAAUUGGAAUUAGAACACGUGACGUCUAGUUAUUCAUCAACCCAUAGUGUGUCUCGGGCAUAAGCUUUAACCCUCGCGAGACCUUUUCUCAUUUCCUUCCAAUCAUGGUAAGUUCAUUAUCAUAUGUGAUAUUCUAUGCAUAUUUACUUCAUUUGUUCUCUUGUAUGGUGUACUGUUUGUUCCCUAAUUUGAAUGGAUGGAUGUAUGUAUGCUUGCAAUCGCAUAGAGAACGAUCCGGUUGAAGAACCCGAGGAACUCGCAGGAGAAGCCCCUGAGCAGCAAUCGGUUGGUGGAGGCAAGUGUCCCUUGACCUAUCUCUGUCCUAUACAUUCUUUAAUUCACCUCCCGCAUUACACAUUUAUACUUAAGGAUUGACUAGCUUUUGUUAUCCAUGUCCUUGUUUACCUAUUUGGGUUGGAUUAUUAUUGCUUAGCUUUAUGCUAUUGCUUAACUCUAAUCAAUGAACAUGAUGAGAUUAUCUAUGAUACGCUGUUUUUCCCUCUCUUAUGAUGAUGUUAUACUUGUGGUCUUCAAGGGGGCUCGAGCGGUUUCUCGAGUGCCUCUCCGUAAGGACCUGUUCUAUGGAUGACCGCCCGGGAAAACAGUGCAACCAUGAGGGUGGAAUGGGAUGCCCUUAGCUGAAUAAUUAGAGGAUCCGGGGUGUAGCUCACUUAGCCGUCGUGCCGUCAAUGGGGCUCGGUGUAUGCGGCUCGCUCUGCCAAGUUUGGGUUCGCCCCUUGGGGAGGAGUGCGGUGCAUUUAGGAAACCUAACGGGUGGCUACAGCCCUGGGGAAUCUUUGUAAAGGCUACAUAGUGAUGCCCUGCUAGGCCACCUAGGUAGUGGUCAAUGAGGAGUAGCUCUCUCCGGGCAGAAAGGGAAUCACGGCUUGUGAGUAAAGUGCACAACCUCUGUAGAGUGUUUGAAAACUGAUAUAUCAGUCGUGCUCGCGGUUAUGAGCGGCCAAUGGAGCUCCAGUGAUUAGUGGUACUUGAUCAGAGACAUUAUGGUACAGGUGGCUAUGAGAUCGAUGGUUUUGGUUAUGACUAUGGUGCUGGUAAGUGGUAUUCUUUCCGUUUGGAAAGGGUACAUCGGGCUAAUAACUUGGGUUAAUGCUAAAACCUGGCUUUCUAUUAGUAAAUAAUAAUCUGACCAACUAAAAGCAACUGCUUGACUUAUCCCCACAUAAAGCUAGUCCACUACAGCCAAACAGGAUGCUUGCUGAGUAUGUUGAUGUGUACUCACCCUUGCUCUACACACCAAACCCCCCCAUCCCCAGGUUGUCAGCAUUGCAACCACUGCUCAGGCGAAGAUGAAGCUGUGGAAGGAGACUUUCAGGAGUUCCAAGACUACGACGAGUUCUAGGCGUGGGUUAGCGGCAACCCCCAGUCGGCUGCCUGUGAAGGCCGCGGUUAUCUACGUUUCGUUUUUGCACUUUGAUUUAUUGUAAGGACUAUAUGGAUGUCUCAGACGUAUGAUGUAAUCGACUAUUAUUUCCCUUUUUAAUACUAUUUGAGCACUGUGUGAUGAUGUCCAUGUUAUGUAACUGCUGUGUACGUGAAUAACUGAUCCUGGCACGUACAUGGUUCGCAUUCGGUUUGCCUUCUAAAACCGGGUGUGACAUAAGUGGUAUCAAAGUCGUGCUGACUGUAGGACCGCUAACCUAGAAUAGAAUGGUCGUUCUAAGGACUAUAGACCUUUGUCCCUGCCUUGACUUUGAUAUCCCUUCAAAAGUUGGUCAUACCGACCAAACCUAUGUUCUACUAUACAUUAUACCUUGCUGAAAAUUGUGUUUUAUUCUAAUCCUUCAUUUAUUUAUGAUUCAUUAUUUGCUGGUCAUAUUAGUUCUGUUCUCACCCUUUUGCUGGCGAUGUCUUUUUAGAUGGCCCGACUUAGACACACUGCACGAAAGUCCGUCAUCCCCUUCUUACCCUCCCGCCUUGCUGAGCGUCCGCUUCGCCGUCCCGUGGCCGGACAGUCCAGCCACUUGGAGAGACUGCACCACCGCCUGCAUGAGGAGCAGGAACGUCGACGAUAGGAGCAGCAGGGCUCUUCUUUCUCGCUCCACCAGGAGAUAGAGUCCGUGAGGAGCUGCUCCCCCGUGCUUCCUCUGGAGGCGCCCCCUGCACCACCACUGGGCGCCCUAGCUUCUGGAGUAGCUACUGGAGGAGACCCAGACGACGGAGGUGGCGACGACAGCUCGAGCCACGACACCGACCUCUCUGCUGACCAGGAGCCGGAAGGAUGGGUUGCUCGACCCAUCACUCGCGACGCUGCUCGCGGGUGUCACUUCCAUGAUGCGCUCGACACCCUGCUACGUCGGGCACUUAACCGGCAUACUUGGUCCAUCGAGUAUCGCUGUGUGGUCUACCAGCAUAGUCGCGGGGUCUACCCGGACCGCUGGGAGGCGACCUGCUUGGUGCGCCGUCCGAAGAACAGUCUCCAGGGUGCGGAGGCCUGCUCAGAGCACUAUUCUAUCUCUGAGCGGGACUCAGCUGAGGCAGCCAUGCAAGAUGCUGCACGGCAUGCGCUUUCGCACUACUGCUCGGUUCUCGGUGGGGUAGCUGACGGUCUCGACCUGAAGUAUUACCCCCACCGUCCAUCUGGCAGCACAGAAGGCGUGAUUGUUUCACCUGUCGGUGAGGACAAUCCUAGGUUGAGCAGCACAGUCAACCUAGCCGCCGUGCUAAACACGAAGCUGGACCAUGCAUUAGACGAGCUGAGUAGGGCUCGUGCUGAGAUCGCCCUGCUGCAGGCUGAGCGCGCGGAGCGUCGUCACCUAGACGAUGGUUCCCCCGCUCCCAUCGGGACUCAGCACCCGUAACGCUCACCUCAGCGUGGACACCAGCCUUAUGGCAAUCCCGACUGCAAGACCAAAAUAAAUCUAGAACCAUAGAUCGUUAGAGUUGGAUCUUGUAAUUAAUACAAAAUAUAUAUACGUAGAAGCUUCAGUCUUAGCGUUAGUCUCGCUUUUAGUUAGUCUUAGUUAGACAGGGUAGUUUGCUAUAUCCUGUGCAUUUAUGUUUGUCAUGAUGAACUAUGUUUGGUUUAGAUCUUUGUAUUGACUGUCACCAAAGUGUGGGUAUCCCCUGCAUUUUGGUUUACCUAUUAUGUUAAUGGAGUUAGUUAUAUAGUUGGGAAACCUUUUAUUCCACUUUCCUCUUUAUCUGAGAAGCUGUGUGGUCUGUGUUGGAGAUCAGUGAAGAUGCUCAUCUGUUCAGUGUUGUUGAAGGAUUCUAUACUCUUUUCUUAUGCUGCAAGAUUUGCCAGAUCAGUUCUGAUGUGUGGUUGCAUUCUGCAGAUGUCAGAGAACAGGCGCAGAGGAGGAAGGCGUGCUCAGCAGGAGCGAGCCGCUCAACAGGAAGAGGUGCCCCAGCAACAACACCUGCCGCCCCCGCCCCCGAUGUCGAUCGAGCAGAUGUUUCUGAUGCAGACUCAGGCAGUUCAAGCCAUCGGUCAGACUUUGGCCGCCAUUCAGCAGCAGCAGCAGGCACCACCUCAGCCUCAGAUGCCUCAGAUGCCCAGAGACAAGCGUGCUGAAUUCAUGAGAGGUCAUCCCCCAACGUUUGCUCACUCUUCUGACCCCAUGGAUGCUGAAGACUGGCUGCGCACUGUGGAGCGGGAGUUGCAUACCGCUCAGUGCGAUGAUAGGGAGAAAGUCCUGUAUGGUCCCCGUCUGUUGAGAGGAGCAGCUCAGUCAUGGUGGGAGUCUUACCUCGCCACCCAUGCCAACCCCGACACCAUCACCUGGGAAGAGUUCAGAGGAAGCUUUCGUCAGUACCAUGUUCCGGCAGGUCUGAUGACAGUGAAGAAGGAGGAGUUCCUGGCUCUCAAGCAAGGGCCAUUGUCUGUCAGUGAGUACCGGGACAGGUUUCUGCAGUUGUCUCGCUAUGCUCCUGAAGAUGUCAACACCGACGCCAAGCGGUAGUACCGUUUCCUGAGAGGCUUGGUUGACCCUCUGCAAUACCAACUGAUGAAUCACACCUUCCCAACAUUUCAGCAUCUGAUUGACAGAGCAAUCAUGACAGAGAGGAAGCGUAAGGAGAUGGAGGAUCGUAAGCGCAAGAUCAGUGGACCCCAGCCUGGAAGCAGCAAUCGUCCUCGUUUUUCAGGCAAUCAACCUCAGCAGUUCAGGCAGAACCAACGUCCACCUCAGCAGCAUCAGCAGUUCCAAAGGCAGUAUCCUCAGCACCAGUAUCAGAACCGUCAGAGCAAUCAGUCAGGAGGUCAGUUUCAGAGGCAGAAUUGUAUAUGUCUCGGAUCGUUUGUCUUCAUGGUGUGCCAAAGAAGAUAGUGUCAGACAGAGGAACGCAGUUCACCUCUCAUUUCUGGCAGCAGUUGCAUGAAGCCUUGGGCACAUAUCUGAAUUUCAGUUCAGCUUAUCAUCCGCAGACAGAUGGUCAGACCGAAAGAACCAAUCAAAUUCUUGAAGACAUGUUGAGAGCCUGUGCGUUGCAAGAUCAGUCCGGAUGGGACAAAAGAUUGCCUUAUGCAGAGUUUUCCUAUAACAACAGUUACCAGGCCAGUUUGAAGAUGUCACCAUUUCAGGCACUCUAUGGGAGGAGUUGUAGAACUCCGUUGCAAUGGGAUCAGCCUGGAGAAAAGCAAGUAUUCGGGCCAGACAUUCUGCUUGAAGCCGAAGAGAACAUCAGGAUGGUUCGAGAGAAUCUGAAGAUAGCGCAAUCGAGGCAGCGAAGCUAUGCAGACACAAGAAGAAGAGAGCUGAGUUUCGAAGUCGGAGACUUUGUCUAUCUGAAAGUGUCACCGAUUAGAGGAGUCAGAAGAUUCAGAGUCAAAGGCAAGCUAGCACCCCGCUACAUUGGUCCGUACCAAAUUCUCUCAAGGCGUGGAGAAGUGGCCUAUUAGCUCAGUCUGCCAGAGAACUUGUCUGCUGUGCAUGAUGUCUUUCAUGUGUCUCAGUUGAAGAAGUGCUUGCGUGUGCCAGAAGAGCAGUUGCCAGUGGACGGUCUUGAAGUCCAGGAGGACUUCACCUACGUUGAGAAGCCAGUGCAGAUCCUUGAGGUUGCAGACAGAGUCACCCGAAGGAAGACCAUCAGGAUGUGCAAAGUUAGGUGGAAUCACCAUUCAGAGGAAGAAGCAACCAGGGAGCGUGAAGAUGAUCUGUUGGCUAAAUACCCAGAGCUCUUUGCUAGCCAACCCUGAAUCUCGAGGGCGAGAUUCUUUUAAGGGGGAUAGGUUUGUAACGCCCUGAAUUUGGGGGUAGAUUUUUUUCUUCUUUUCCCUCACCAAAUUCAGGCGUUACCCUUUCCUUUUUCCUUUUCUCCUCGCUAAACCUUGAUCUUUUCCAAAAUAUAGCGGGAUUCGGCUUGAAGUCCCAUGUAAAGCAAAACCCUAAAAUAUUCUAUUUUGUGUGAUGCACCAUGCCGGACCAUGCAUACCUUUUGAUUGUUUAAAAAUGUGAAUGCAUUCAUUUAGAGGAAAAUAUAUUUUAGAAAAAGAAAACCUUUUCCUUCUCCUCCCCCCUCCUUCCCCAUUUUCGGCCCAGCCCCCCCUUCCCUUCCCGCCGUGGGCCGCCUGGCGGCCCAGCCGCGCCCCCUCCCCCUUUGGGCCCAGCCGGCCCAACCGCCCCCCCUCUCUCUUUUUUUUCUUUUUCCAAAAAUCCCCUCCCCGCGGGCCCCGCCCAUCAUCCCUCUCUCUCUCCCUCACCCUAACCCUAACCCUAGCCGCCGCCGCCCCUCCCCCGCGCCGCCGCCGCCCCUCCCCGGCGCCGCCGCCGCCUUCCUCUCCUCCGGUGAGACCCGCCCUCCUCCCUCUCUCCUCCCUCCUCUCCUCCCCUCCCUCCUUCCUUCCCCGUCGGCGCCCUCCCCCGCGCCAUGGGCGCGUUCGGCCCCCGUCCCCGGCGAGCUCGGCCCCGGCCCCGCCCCGCCCGCCGGCGCCGCUCCCCGGCGCGCCGCUCCCCGGCGCCCCGCGCCCGCCCCUCGUCGCGGCUCGACCGCCCCACAUCGCCCGCGCCCGGCCCCGGCUGCCCCGCCCUCGGCCGCUCCCCGGCGCCCCGCUCCCUGGCCGCCCGCGCCCGACCUCGACCGGCCCCGCCUCGCCGCGCCAUCCCCGGCAAGCUCGGCCCCGCCCCGUGCUCGGUCCGCUCCGGCGAGCCCGCCCCUUCCCCGCCCUCGCCCGGCCUCGCUCCGGCGAGCCCGCCCCGCCCCGCCGCGGCCGGCCUCGUCCCGCGCCGCCCCGGCCUCCCUCGCGCCCGCCCUCCCCGCGCCGCUCUCCGGCGAGCUCGGCUCGGCCGCCCGGCCUCGGCCGCCUCGCCCCGCCCGGCCCCCCGGCGAGCUCGCGCCAGCCCCACAACGACCCCGGCCUAGGCCGCCCCCGCGCGAGCCCCGCUCGGCCGCCCCGUGCCCCGGCUCGGCCGUCCCCACCGCGCCCACGCCCGCCUCGGCCCCGUGCAGUCCCGGCCCCGGCUGUGCCCCCCGCCCCGCCCGUGCGCCGUGCUCGCCCGCUCGCCCCGCCGUGCCUUGCUCGCGUCGUGACGGCCCCGGCGUGGCCUCGAGCUCGGCCCAGUGUGCCUUUAGCGCGCGGCUUUGAGCUCGGCUAGCGCUCGGCCCCGACGUGCGCACGGCUAGUUCGUGGCGUGUGCGUGCGGCCUCGCGCGCGUGCUCGCGUAGUGCGCGUGCCUUGGCACGACUCGUCGUGCCCCGUCUACCCCCAGACGCCCCAUCUACCCCCUCGUCCUAUGUGCACCAAUCACGUGUUUAUAUUAAUAAGAUAGGAGUCUCUAUUUGGAAAUUGGUUACGUUAGUUAAUUUGUAUAGCUAAUUGUCUAACUCAUUCAAUGUUAAUCUACUAAAAGUGGUCGCGUUUACAUUAGUGCAUGUAGCUAAUUCUUUUGUUAGAACCAAUUGGAAUUAGAACACGUGACGUCUAGUUAUUCAUCAACCCAUAGUGCGUCUCGGGCAUAAGCUUUAACCCUCGCGAGACCUUUUCUCAUUUCCUUCCAAUCAUGGUAAGUUCAUUAUCAUAUGUGAUAUUCUAUGCAUAUUUACUUCAUUUGUUCUCUUGUAUGGUGUACUGUUUGUUCCCUAAUUUGAAUGGAUGGAUGUAUGUAUGCUUGCAAUCGCAUAGAGAACGAUCCGGUUGAAGAACCCGAGGAACUCGCAGGAGAAGCCCCUGAGCAGCAGUCGGUUGGUGGAGGCAAGUGUCCCUUGACCUAUCUCUGUCCUAUACAUUCUUUAAUUCACCUCCCGCAUUACACAUUUAUACUUAAGGAUUGACUAGCUUUUGUUAUCCAUGUCCUUGUUUACCUAUUUGGGUUGGAUUAUUAUUGCUUAGCUUUAUGCUAUUGCUUAACUCUAAUCAAUGAACAUGAUGAGAUUAUCUAUGAUACGCUGUUUUUCCCUCUCUUAUGAUGAUGUUAUACUUGUGGUCUUCAAGGGGGCUCGAGCGGUUUCUCGAGUGCCUCUCCGUAAGGACCUGUUCUAUGGAUGACCGCCCGGGAAAACAGUGCAACCAUGAGGGUGGAAUGGGAUGCCCUUAGCUGAAUAAUUAGAGGAUCCGGGGUGUAGCUCACUUAGCCGUUGUGCCGUCAAUGGGGCUCGGUGUAUGCGGCUCGCUCUGCCAAGUUUGGGUUCGCCCCUUGGGGAGGAGUGCGGUGCAUUUAGGAAACCUAACGGGUGGCUACAGCCCUGGGGAAUCUUUGUAAAGGCUACGUAGUGAUGCCCUGCUAGGCCACCUAGGUAGUGGUCAAUGGGGAGUAGCUCUCUCCGGGCAGAAAGGGAAUCACGGCUUGUGGGUAAAGUGCACAACCUCUGCAGAGUGUUUGAAAACUGAUAUAUCAGUCGUGCUCGCGGUUAUGAGCGGCCAAGGGAGCUCCAGUGAUUAGUGGUACUUGAUCAGAGACAUUAUGGUACAGGUGGCUAUGAGAUCGAUGGUUUUGGUUAUGACUAUGGUGCUGGUAAGUGGUAUUCUUUCCGUUUGGAAAGGGUACAUCGGGCUAAUAACUUGGGUUAAUGCUAAAACCUGGCUUUCUAUUAGUAAAUAAUAAUCUGACCAACUAAAAGCAACUGCUUGACUUAUCCCCACAUAAAGCUAGUCCACUACAGCCAAACAGGAUGCUUGCUGAGUAUGUUGAUGUGUACUCACCCUUGCUCUACACACCAAACCCCCCCCAUCCCCAGGUUGUCAGCAUUGCAACCACUGCUCAGGCGAAGAUGAAGCUGUGGAAGGAGACUUUCAGGAGUUCCAAGACUACGACGAGUUCUAGGCGUGGGUUAGCGGCAACCCCCAGUCGGCUGCCUGUGAAGGCCGCGGUUAUCUACGUUUCGUUUUCGCACUUUGAUUUAUUGUAAGGACUAUAUGGACGUCUCAGACGUAUGAUGUAAUCGACUAUUAUUUCCCUUUUUAAUACUAUUUGAGCACUGUGUGAUGAUGUCCAUGUUAUGUAACUGCUGUGUACGUGAAUAACUGAUCCUGGCACGUACAUGGUUCGCAUUCGGUUUGCCUUCUAAAACCGGGUGUGACAUAAGCCGACCGUUGGCGCGCAUGUUUUUUACAUCGGACAGUUCUAUGGUCUUCUCUCCACAGUGCCACCUGGAACUAGCCGUUGAGCUACUGUUCCCUGGUGCACCGGAUAGUUCGACAUGUGGCACCGACAGUCUGGUGCUCCAAACCAGACAGUCCGCAGGCAACACUUCCUUUGUUUCUUGGACUUCACUUGAUCUUCAUAAUGUCUUCUUUUGAGGUGUUGCUUUCCUCAAUGUCUUGGUCCAAGUAACUUUAGCAUCCUGUGAACUACAAACACAAACACUAGCAAACAUAUUAGUCCACAUGUUAUGUUGAUCAUCAAACACCAAAUCCUAUUUAGCCAAAUGGUCGGGGUCCAUUUUCCUUACAACCAUUAACAAACCCAAUGUUUCCUACUUUUGUGUAUUUGGGAGCAAGUGCUACAUCUUGGUAAAGGAUGUAGGCAUUCAAAGUUUGCUCCCAAAAUCAUUGAAGGGGUUUUACUUGGUUAUGACUUAAAUGCAAAGCCAUAUAGAGUCUUUAACAAAUCUUCGGGUUUAGUUGAAGUCUCUAGUGACGUUGUAUUUGAUGAGACUAAUGGCUCAAAUAGAGCAAGUUGAUCUUGAUGACAUAGAUGAACAUGAGGUUCUAACGACCAUAAUGAGGACUAUGGAUAUAGGCAAUGUGCAACCACAUGAACAACAAGUACAAGAUCAACCUUCUUCUUCAACAAUGGUGCAACCCCCAACUCAAGGAGGAACAAGUACAUCAAGACGAUGGCAUGGAUCAAGGGGGAGCAAAAGAACAAGAAGGAAGGGAGAAGGAAGGAGUACCACAUGCACCUCCCACCCAAGUUCGCACCAAUAUUCAAAGAGAUCAUCUGAUGGAUCGAACUCUUGGUGACAUUAGCAAGGGAGUUACUACUUGCUCACGUGUUGCAAAGUUUUGUGAGCACUACUCUUUUGUUUCUUCUACUGAGCCUUUCAAGGUAGAAGAAGCCUUGUAGAAUUCGGACUAAUUGUUGGCCAUGCAAGAGGAGCUCAACAACAUCAAGAGAAAUGAAGUCUGGAGUCUGGUGCCACGUCCAAAGCAAAAUGUUGUGGGCACCAAGUGGGUGUUUCACAACAAACAAGAUGAGUAUGGAGUGGUGAAAAGAAACAAAGUAAGACUUGUAGCAAAAGGUUAUGCUCAAGUCGCAGGUUUGGAUUUUGAGGAGACUUUUGCUCCUGUAGCUAGGCUUGAGUCUAUUCGUAUAUUAUUAGCCAAUGCUGCUCACCAUUCCUUUAAGCUCUUUCAAAUGGACAUGAAGAGCGCUUUCCUCAAUGGGCCAAUCAAGGAGGAGGUGUACAUAGAACAACCCCUGGCUUCGAGGAUGAUAGAUACCCCGACCAUGUGUACAAACUCUCUAAGGUGCUCUAUGGACUUAAGCAAGCACCAAGAGCAUGGUAUGAAUGCCUUAAAGAUCUCCUUAUUUCUAAUGGUUUCAAGGUCGACAAAGUCGAUCCUACUCUUUUCACAAAGACUUGCAAUGGUGAUUUGUUUAUAUGCCAAAUAUAUGUCGAUGAUAUAAUAUUUGGUUCUACUAAUCCAGAGUCAUGUGAAGAGUUUAGCGGGGUUAUGACAUAGAAAUUCAAGAUGUCCAUGAUGGGAGAGUUGACUUACUUCCUCGGAUUUCAACUCAAGCAACUCAAGGAAGGAACAUUCCUCUCUCAAACAAAGUACAUCUAAGAUAUACUUAAGAAGUUUAGGAUGAAGGAUGCAAAGCCUGCUAAGACGCAAAUGGGAACAUAAGGGCACUUGGACCUAAACGCGGGAGGUAAGUCCGUAGAUCAGAAGGUAUAUCAGUCUAUGAUAGGAUCCUUACUUUAUUUUUGUGCAAGUAGACCGGACAUUACACUUUCAGUUUGCAUAUGUGCUAGAUUUCAAUUCGAUCCCAAGGAAUAUCACCUUGUGGAUGUGAAGCGUAUUCUUAGAUACUUAGUUCAUACGCCUUACAUCGGGCUCUAUUAUCCUAAGGGGUCUACCUGAAAGUCGCCUAGAGGGGGGUGAAUAGGCGAAACCUGAAAUUUACAAUCUUUAAACACGUACUAAGGCUGGGGUUAGUAUUAGAAUUAAAUUGGAGUACAAAAGAUAGUUCUCCUUGCUUAGAGUUACUCAAUCAAUGCGGAUAAUGUUUGGGAGCAAACUCAAACAAUGUUAGCAAGGGAACUUUUAGAGAGAGGAAAGAGGGCAAACAAAUCAAGUCAAGAUCAACAAGUGAACACGUUGAUUUGUUUUACCGAGGUUCGGUUCCAAAGAACCUAGUCCCCGUUGAGGAGGCCACAAAGGUCGGGUGUAUUCCAACCCUUUCCCUCUCUCAAUCGAUCACACAGACCGGUCGAGGUUUCUCCUUAAUCACUUGGGUCACUAAGACCCCGCAAGGAUCACCACACACUUAGGUGUCUCUUGCUAGCUUUAAAAAGCACUUAGAGAAAUAGGAAUACCAAGGAGAAAGCAAUCCAAGCAACAAGAGCAACAAAACAACACAAAACACCCUCUCUCAAGUCACUAAGCAAUUGAGUUGAUUUUGAGGCUUGGAGGGGAUUUGAUCUUUGAAAUGUGUCUUGGAGUGAAUGUUAUUGCUCUUGUGUUGAAUGUGAAGUUUAGAAAACUUGGAUGAUUUGAAUGGAGGUGGUUGGGGGUAUUUAUAGCCCCCAACCACUAUUCUAGCUGUUGCUGGCGAUGGCGCACCAGACAAUCCGGUGGUGCACCGGACUGGGCACUGUUCACUGUCCGGUGUGUGCCACGUCAGCACGUCGUUGGGGUUUGGAGCGGUUGACCAUUGAAAUUCUUUGCCUUGUAGUUGCACCGGACAGUCCGGUGCGUUCUUUCUUUGUAGCCUGACAUCUGACUUCUACAUUGUGCGCUUUUACUGUAUACGCAGUCGACCGUUGAGCGCCAGAUUACCGUUGCUCCGUUGGCUCACCGGACAGUCUGGUGAAUUAUUGCGGAGCGCGCCCUAGAAAAACCCGAGAGUGGCCAGUUGGGAUGGUGCUCGGCCUGCGGCACCGGAUACUGUCCGGUGCGCCACUGGCAGCACAAUCUCAAGUCGUUGCUCCAAACUUUGUUGAGUCCCCAACUUGAUUUCUUUCUUGAUUUAUGUUUAACCUUAUGCACUUGAGAUAAAUGAUAACUAGGCAAACUAAUUAGUCCACGUGGUUUGUGAUGGACGUCAACCACCAAAAUAGAUUAUAGGAAAUGAUUAAGCCCAUUUCCCUUUCAAUCUCCCCCUUUUUGGUGAUUGAUGCCAACGCAAAGCAAAGCAAAUAUAAAGUGUAAAAAUGUAACUAGUUUGCAAUUAUGAUAGAUGUGCAUAGGUUACUUAGAUUUAAACCAAUUGAAAGACUUUCUACAUGAGUCUAAGAAUGAAUGUGAUUGCUUUCUUUUAUUUAACAUUUUGGACCACAUUUGCACCACUUGCUUGUUUUUGCAAAUCUUUUGGAAAUGUCUUUUCAAAUUCUUUUGCAAAUAGUCAAAGGUAUAGGAAUAUGAUUUCAAGAAGCAUUUUCAAGAUUUGAAAUUCCUCCCCCUGUUUUAAAUGCUUUUUCCUUUGACUAAAUAAAAGCUGCCCAUGAAGAAAUUCUCCCCUUAGCUAUCAUGAGGGUUUUUAAAAUGAUUUCCAUUCUUGAAGCAGAUACCAAAUGAAAUUAUACCAAUUGAAAUUUUGAAACCAAAUGAAAUACCAAUUGAAAUAAUUUCUUCCUUUAGUUUUUGAAUAUUUUAAAAUGGUGGUGCGGUCCUUUUGCUUUGGGCCUAAUACUUUCUCCCCUUUGGCAUUAAUCGCCAAAAACGAACAACCUUGAGGGCCCUUUAAGUUCUCCUUUGAUAAUUAAUGGAUAUGAGUGAAAGGUCAUACCAAUUGAGAUUAUCAUGAGUAAAGGCAAAGGAUAAAUGAUACCGUCAGAGUUGGAGUGUAAGCCUUGCCUUUGCCGAAUACUCUAUUCCCCUUCCAAUUUAAGACUAAUCAUAAAAAUACACUUGAAAGCACUUUAGUAUUAGUCUUGGCACAAGUAGAAUAAGAAGUAUGCAUUUGUACCAAAUGAAAAAGACAUGAUCAAAGGUAUAUAAUUUAGCUAUGUGUGCAAUGUUUCAAUCAAAGUUCCGAGAAUCAAGUAUGUUUAGCUCAUUCCUAAGUUUGUUAAAUGUCUUUUCAUCUAAAGGCUUGGUAAAGAUAUCGGCUAAUUCGUUGUGGGUGCUAACAUAAGCAAUUUCGAUAUCCCUCUUUUGUUGGUGAUCUCUCAAAAAGUGAUACCGGAUGUCUAUGUGCUUAGUGCGGUUGUGUUCAACGGGAUUAUCCGCCAUGCGGAUUGCACUCUCAUUAUCACAUAGGAGAGGGAUUUUGCUCAAUUUGUAGCCAUAGUCCCUAAGGUUUUGCCUCAUCCAAAGUAAUUGCGCACAACAAUUACCUGCGGCAAUAUACUCGGCUUCGACAGUGGAAAGAGCUAUUGUGUUUUGUUUCUUUGAAGCCCAAGACACCAGGGAUCUUCCCAAAAACUGACAAGUCCCUGAUGUGCUCUUCCUGUCAAUUUUACAUCCAGCAUAAUCGACAUCGGAAUACCCAAUUAAAUCAAAUGUGGAUCCCUUGAGGUGAAUUUCCUUAGAAUUUCCUUAGUAUAUGUAAACUAAAUAUCUCAUGGUUCUUUUUAUGGCCCUAAGGUGAAUUUCCUUAGAAUUUUCCUAGAACCUUGCACACAUGCAAAUAGAAAGCAUUAUAUCCGGUCGUGAAGCACAUAAAUAGAGUAAGGAUCCUAUCAUCGACCGGUAUACCUUUUGAUCUACGGAUUUACCUCCCAUGUUGAGGUCGAGAUGCCCAUUUGUUCCCAUGGGUGUCUUGUUGGGUUUGACAUUCUUCAUUCCAAAGUUAUUUUGUAUAUCUUGAAUGUACUUAGUUUGGCUGAUGAAGGUGCCUUUUUGGAGUUUCUUGAUUUGGAAUCCAAGGAAGUACUUCAACUCCCCCAUCAUAGACAUCUCAAAUUUCUGUAUCAUUAUCCUACUAAACUCUUCACAGUUGACUUGUUAGUAGAUCCAAAUAUAAUAUCAUCAACAUAAAUUUGGCAUAUAAACAAGUCUUUAGCAAUUGUUUUAGUGAAGAGAGUAGGAUCAACUUUACCAACUUUGAAGCCAUUAGUGAAAAGAAAGUCUCUCAGGCAUUCAUACCAUGCUCUUGGGGCUUGCUUGAGCCCAUAAUGCGCCUUUGAGAGCUUAUAAACAUGGUUAGGAUACUCACUAUGUUCAAAGCCAGGAGGUUGCUCAACAUAUACCUCUUCCUUGAUAGGGCCAUUGAGGAAGGCACUCUUCACGUCCAUUUGAUAUAACUUAAAGCCAUGGUAAGUAGUAUAGGCAAGUAAUAUACGAAUUGACUCGAGCCUAGCUACGGGUGCAUAGGUUUCAUCGAAAUCCAAACCUUCGACUUGUGAAUAUCCCUUGGCAACAAGUCAGCCUUUGUUCCUUGUCACCAUACCAUGCUCAUCUUGUUUGUUGCGGAAUACCCACUUGGUACCCACUAUAGGAAUCCAGUUAAUUCCCGUCGUCUAAAAACCGACGGGAAUAACCUAUAAACCGACGGGAAUAACUAAUUCCCGUUGGUAAAUGGCUAACUCCCGUCGGCCCUAAGCCGAUGGCCAUCAGGUGUCGGGGAUAACCUUAUUCCCGUUGGCGGCUGACAGGAAUAAGUAAUCCCCGUCGGUUAAGUACAAGCCGAUGGGGAUAAGCGUUAACUCCCGUCGGCCAGCUGAACCGAUGGUGAUUAACGAUGGCCCAGUAACUCCCGUCGGCCAGGUGAACCGACGGGGAUAAGCGUUAACUCCCGUCGGCCAGGUGAACCGGCGGGGAUUAACGAUGGCCCAGUAACUCCCGUCGGCCUGGUCAAACCAACAGGAAUUAACUGGGCCAACGGGGAUUAAUUGUUAAUCCCCGUCGGUUUGACCAUAGCCGACGGGAAUUAACCUAUAAUGUUGCAAAACCAGCACAAAAUUAGGUCACUAUUUCUCCACAAUUGCACACAAAACAUAUAUAUCAUCACACAGAACAGACACAUUACAAACACAUGCAUUGAUAAUCAAUUCACACAUCACAAACUUAAGAUCACCAACAUAGUUUACACAAACAUUUCAAAUAGGAACAACGAGAUAAGUUCAAGUGUUUAGUUCGCAAAAAACAUAGCGUCCACGAGUUAAGAAACAUAACUUCCACGAGUUAAGAAACAUAGCGUGCACGAGUUCAAGUGUUUAGAGAUAACCACCACUUGGGUGGUUAGAGCUUUGAUCGCUGCCGCCACCAGAAGGAGGGAACGCGAAGAGGGAGUCAACAAAUCCAGUCCCUGUUGCGGGACCAGACCCACUACCAACCGCUUCAGGCGUAACCUAUGCAAGUUAGCAAAUAUCAAUAUUUUUAAUACAAAUAUCAAAAAGUAUACAAGUGUAUAAAUUCAUCGAGAGUUAUCAAACGUACCCUAUCUCCAGGUGCAGGUGAAAGGGAAUUAGGCUUACACCUAGUUCCUAAAUGAUUUUGGUGGUUGAAUUGCCCAACACAAAUAAUUGGACUAACUAGUUUGCUCUAGUGUAUAAGUUAUACAGGUGCCAAAGGUUCACACUUAGCCAAUAAAAAGACCAAGUAUUGGGUUCAACAAAAGAGCAAAGGGACAACCGAAGGCACCUCUGGUCUGGCGCACCGGACAGUGUCCGGUGCACCAGAGGACUCCAACUCAAACUCGUCACCUUCGGGAAAAUCCAGAGGCGCUCGACUAUAAUUCACCGGACUGUCAGGUGUACACCGGACAGUGUCCGGUGCUCCAAGGAACGGCGCCUCAGGAACUCGCCAUCUUCGAGAAUUCGCAACGGCUAGUCCGCUAUAAUUCACCGGACUGUCCGGUGUGACAACGGAGCAACGGAUAUUUUGGCGCCAACGGCUACCUGCAGCGCAUUGAAUGCGCGCCAGCGCACGCAGAAGUCAGGCACGCCCAUACUGGCGCACCGGACACUCUACAGUACAUGUCCGGUGCCCCACCGGACAUCCAGGCGGGCCUAGAAGACAGAGCUCCAACGGUCGGAACCCAACGGCUUUGGUGACGUGGCUGGCACACCAGACAUGUCCGGUGUGCACCGGACUGUCCGGUGCACCAUACGACAGUCAGCCCCACCAAACGGCUAGUUUGGUGGUUGGGGCUAUAAAUACCCCCAACCACCCACCAUUCAUUGCAUCCAAGUUUUCACACUUCCAACCACUUACAAGAGCUAGGCAUUCAAUUCUAGACACAUUCAAGAGAUUAAAUCCUCUCCCAAAUUUCACACAAAGCCUUAGUGACUAGUGAGAGAGAUUUGCUUGUGUUCUUUCGAGCUCUUGCGCUUGGAUUGCUUUCUCCUUUCUUGAUUCUUUAUUGCGAUCAAACUCACUUGUAAUUGAGGCAAGAGACACCAAUCUUGUGGUGGUCCUUGUAGGAACUUUGUGUUCCAAGUGAUUGAGAAGAGAAAGCUCAUUCGGUCCGAGGGACUGUUUGAGAGAGGGAAAGGGUUGAAAGAGACUCGGUCUUUGUGACCACCUCAACGGGGAGUAGGUUUGCGAGAACCGAACCUCGGUAAAACAAAUCCUCGUGUCACACUCUCUAUUCGCUUGCGAUUUGUUUUGCACCCUCUCUCGUGGACUCGAUUACAUUUCUAACGCUAACCCGGCUUGUAGUUGUGAUUAUUUUUGAGAAUUUCAGUUUCGCCCUAUUCACCCCCCCUCUAGGCGACUAUCAAUUGGUAUCAGAGCCCGGUGCUUCAUUAGAGCCUAACCGCUCGAAGUGAUGUCGGGAGAACUCGCCAAGAGGGAGAUGGAGACCGGCGACAAGCCCACUACAAGCCAUGGGAAGGCUUCAUCGGAAGAGUCCCGCAACAAGGAGAAGAGGAAGGAGAAGAAGAAGGAAAAGAAGACCUCUUCUCACAAGUCGCAUCGGAGCGGCGACAAGAUAAAGAAGAUGAGGAAGGUGGUCUACUACGAGACCGACACCUCAUCGCCAUCUACUUCCGGCUCCGACGCGCCCUCCAUAACUUCGAAGUGCCAUGAGCGUAAGAAGUUUAGUAAGAUCCCCUUACAUUAUCCUCGUACCUCUAGACAUACUCCAUUACUUUCCGUUCCAUUAGGCAAACCGCCAACCUUUGACGGUGAAGAUUAUGCUAGGUGGAGUGAUUUAAUGAAAUUUCAUCUAACCUCACUCCACAAAAGUAUAUGGAAUGUUGUUGAGUUUGGAGCACAGGUACCAUCCGUAGGGGAUGAAGAUUAUGAUGAGGAUGAAGUGGCCCAAAUCGAGCACUUCAACUCCCAAGCCACAACCAUACUUCUCGCCUCUCUAAGUAGAGAGGAAUAUAACAAGGUGCAAGGGUUGAAGAGUGCGAAGGAGAUUUGGGACUUACUCAAGACCGCGCACGAGGGUGAUGAACUCACCAAGAUCACCAAGCGGGAAACAAUCGAGGGGGAGCUCAGUCGCUUCCGUCUUCGCCAAGGGGAGGAUCCAAAAGAUAUGUACAACCGGCUCAAAACCUUGGUGAAUCAAGUGCGCAACCUCGGGGCAAAAAGUGGGAUGACCACGAGGUGGUUAAGGUUAUUCUAAGAUCUCUUAUUUUCCUUAACCCCACUCAAGUUCAAUUAAUUCAUGGCAACCCAAGAUAUACACUAAUGACUCCCGAGGAAGUAAUCGGGAAUUUUGUGAGCUUUGAAUUUAUGAUCAAGGGCUCACGGAAGAUCAACGAGCUUGAUGGCCCCUCCACGUCCGAAGCUCAACCGGUUGCAUUCAAGGCUACGGAGGAGAAGAAGGAGGAGUCUACACCAAGUAGACAACCAAUCGAUGCCUCCAAGCUCGACAACGAGGAGAUGGCACUUGUCAUCAAAAGCUUUCGCCAAAUCCUCAAGCAAAGGAGGGGGAAGGAUUACAAGUCCCGCUCCAAGAAGGUUUGCUACAAAUGUGGUAAGCCCAGUCACUUUAUUGCAAAAUGUCCUAUAUCUAGUGACAGUGACAGGGGUGACGACAAGAAGGGGAGAAGAAAGGAGAAGAAGAGGUACUACAAGAAGAAGGGCGGCGAUGCCCAUGUUUGUCGGGAGUGGGACUCCGACGAAAGCUCUAGCGACUCCUCCGACGACGAGGACGCCACCAACAUCGCCGUCACCAAGGGACUUCUCUUCCCCAACGUCGGCCACAAGUGCCUCAUGGCAAAGGACGACAAAACAAAGAAGGUUAAAUCUAAAUCCUCCACUAGAUAUGAGUCCUCUAGUGAUGACAAUGCUAGUGAUGAGGAAGAUAAUUUGCGUACUCUUUUUGCCAACCUAAACAUGCAACAAAAAGAGAAAUUAAAUGAAUUAAUUAGUGCUAUCCAUGAAAAGGAUGAUCUCUUGGACUCCCAAGAGGACUUCCUUAUUAAAGAAAACAAGAAGCAUGUUAAAGUUAAAAAUGCUUAUGCUCUAGAAGUUGAGAAAUGUGAAAAAUUAUCUAGUGAGCUAAGCACUUGCCAUGAGACAAUAGACAACCUUAGAAAUGAAAAUGCUAGUUUAAAUGCUAAGGUUGAUUCUCAUGUUUGUAAUGUUUCAACUUCCAAUCCUAGAGAUGAUAAUGUUGAUUUACUUGCUAGGAUUGAUGAGUUGAAUGUUUCUCUUGCUAGCCUUAGGAUUGAAAAUGAAAAAUUGCUUACUAAGGCUAAAGAUUUUGAUAUUUGCAAUGCUACUAUUUCCGACCUUAGAACUAAAAAUGAUAUAUUGCAUGCUAAGGUUGUAGAAUUAAAAUCUUGCAAACCCUCUACAUCUACCAUUGAGCACACUUCUAUUUGUAUUAGAUGUAGAGAUGUUGAUGUUAAUGCUAUUCAUGAUCACAUGGCUUUAAUUAAACAACAAAAUGAUCAUAUAGCAAAAUUAGAUGCUAAAAUUGCCGAGCAUAACUUAGAAAAUGAAAAAUUUAAAUUUGCUAGAAGUAUGCUCUAUAGUGGGAGACGCCCUGGCAUCAAGGAUGGCAUUGGCUUCCAACAGGGAGGCAAUGUCAAACUUAGUGCCUCUCCUAAGAAAUUGUCCAACUUUGUUAAGGGCAAGGCUCCCAUGCCUCAGGAUAACGAGGGUUACAUUUUAUACCCUGCCGGUUAUCCCGAGGACAAAAUUAGGAGAAUUCAUUCUAGGAAGUCUCACUCUGGCCCUAACCAUGCUUUUAUGUAUAAGGGCGAGACAUCUAGCUCUAGGCAACCAACCCGUGCUAAGUUGCCUAAGAAGAAAACUCCUAGUACAUCAAAUGAACAUAGCUUUUCAUUUAAAACGUUUGAUGCAUCAUAUGUUCUGACUAACAAAUCCGGCAAGGUAGUUGCCAAGUUUGUUGGGGGCAAACACAAAGGCUCCAAGACUUGUGUUUGGGUACCCAAAGUUCUUGUUUCUAAUGCCAAAGGACCCAAAACCGUUUGGGUACCUAAAGUCAAGAACUAAACUUGUUUUGUAGGUUUAUGCAUCCGGGGGCUCAAGUUGGAUCAUCGAUAGCGGGUGCACAAACCACAUGACAGGGGAGAAAAAGAUGUUCUCCUCCUACGAGAAAAUCCAAGAUCCCCAACGAGCAAUCACAUUCGGGGAUGGAAACCAAGGUUUGGUCAAAGGAUUGGGUAAAAUUGCUAUAUCUUCUGACCAUUCUAUUUCCAAUGUUUUUCUUGUAGAUUCAUUAGAUUACAACUUGCUUUCUGUAUCUCAAUUAUGCAAAAUGGGUUACAACUAUCUUUUCACUGAUGUAGGUGUUACUGUCUUUAGAAGAAGUGAUGAUUCAAUAGCAUUUAAGGGAGUGUUAGAGGGUCAGCUAUACUUAGUAGAUUUUGAUAGAGCUGAACUCGACACUUGCUUAAUUGCCAAGACUAACAUGGGUUGGCUCUGGCACCGCCGACUAGCCCAUGUUGGGAUGAAGAAUCUUCAUAAGCUUAUAAAGGGAGAGCACAUUUUAGGACUAACCAAUGUUCAUUUUGAGAAAUACAGGGUUUGUAGCGCAUGCCAAGCAAGAAAGCAAGUUGGUGCCCAUCAUCCACACAAGAACAUCAUGACGACCGACAGGCCGCUUGAGCUACUCCACAUGGAUCUAUUCGGCCUGAUUGCUUACAUAAGCAUCGGCGGGAGUAAGUAUUGUCUUGUAAUAGUGGAUGAUUAUUCUCACUUCACUUGGGUAUUCUUUUUGCAGGAAAAAUCUCAAACCCAAGAGACCUUAAAGGGAUUCUUGAGACGGGCUCAAAAUGAGUUCGGCUUAAGGAUCAAGAAAAUUAGAAGCGACAACGGGACGGAGUUCAAGAACUCUCAAAUUAAAGGCUUCCUUGAGGAGGAGGGCAUCAAGCAUGAGUUCUCUUCUCCCUACACGCCACAACAAAAUGGUGUAGUGGAGAGGAAGAAUAGAACUCUAUUGGACAUGGCAAGAACCAUGCUUGAUGAGUACAAGACUUCGGAUCGGUUUUGGGCCGAGGCGGUCAACACCGCCUGCUACGCCGUCAACCGGUUAUAUCUUCACCAAAUCCUCAAGAAGACAUCUUAUGAACUCCUAACCGGUAAAAAGCCCAACAUUUCAUAUUUUAGAGUCUUUGGUAGCAAAUGCUUUAUACUUGUUAAAAGAGGUAGAAAAUCUAAAUUUGCUCCUAAGACUAUAGAAGGCUUUUUACUAGGAUAUGAUUCAAACACAAGGGCAUAUAGAGUCUUUAACAAAUCCUCCAGACAAGUUGAAGUUUCUUGUGAUGUUGUGUUUGAUGAGACUAACGGCUCUCAAGUAGAGCAAGUUGAUCUUGAUGAGAUAGGUAUUGAAGAGGCUCCGUGCAUCGCGCUAAGGAACAUGUCCAUUGGGGAUGUGUGUCCUAAGGAAUCCGAAGAGCCUCCAAAUGUACAAGAUCAACCAUCCUCCUCCACACAAGCAUCUCCACCGACUCAAAAUGAGGAUGAAGCUCAGGUUGAUGAAGUAGAAGAUCAAGCAAAUGAGCCACCUCAAGAUGACGACAAUGAUCAAGGGGGAGAUGCAAAUGAUCAAGACAAGGAGGAUGAAGAACAAAGGCCGCCACACCCAAGAGUCCACCAAGCAAUCCAACGAGAUCACCCCGUCGACACCAUCCUCGGCGACAUUCAUAAGGGGGUAGCCACUAGAUCUCGUGUUGCACAUUUUUGUGAGCAUUACUCUUUUGUUUCCUCUACUGAGCCGCACAGGGUAGAGGAAGCACUACAAGAUUCGGAUUGGGUGGUGGCGAUGCAAGAGGAGCUCAACAACUUCACUAGGAAUGAGGUAUGGCAUUUAGUUCCACGUCCUAACCAAAAUGUUGUAGGAACCAAAUGGGUUUUCCGCAACAAGCAAGAUGAGCAUGGUGUGGUGACAAGGAACAAAGCUCGACUUGUGGCCAAGGGAUACUCCCAAGUCAAAGGUUUGGAUUUCGGUGAAACCUAUGCACCCGUAGCUAGGCUUGAGUCAAUUCGCAUAUUAUUGGCCUAUGCUACUUACCAUGGCUUUAAGCUUUAUCAAAUGGACGUGAAAAGUGCCUUCCUCAAUGGACCAAUCAAGGAAGAGGUCUAUGUUGAGCAACCUCCCGGCUUUGAAGACAGUGAGUAUCCUAACCAUGUCUUUAAGCUCUCUAAGGCGCUUUAUGGGCUCAAGCAAGCCCCAAGAGCAUGGUAUGAAUGCCUUAGGGAUUUCCUUAUCACUAAUGGAUUCAAAGUCGGAAAGGCCGAUCCUACUCUAUUCACUAAAACUCUUGAAAAUGACUUGUUUGUAUGCCAAAUUUAUGUUGAUGAUAUUAUAUUUGGGUCUACUAACGAGUCUACAUGUGACGAAUUUAGUAGGAUCAUGACACAAAAGUUCGAGAUGUCUAUGAUGGGGGAGUUGAAGUAUUUCUUAGGAUUUCAAGUGAAGCAACUCCAAGAAGGCACCUUCCUAAGCCAAACGAAGUAUACUCAAGAUAUUCUAAGCAAGUUUGGGAUGAAGGAUGCCAAACCCAUCAAGACACCCAUGGUGACCAAUGGGCAUCUCGACCUCGACGAAGGAGGUAAAUCCGUCGAUCAAAAGGUAUAUCGGUCGAUGAUAGGCUCUUUACUAUAUUUAUGUGCAUCUCGACCGGAUAUUAUGCUUUCCGUAUGCAUGUGUGCAAGAUUCCAAGCCGACCCUAGGGAAGCUCACCUUACGGCCGUAAAACGAAUCUUGAGAUAUUUAGUUUAUACUCCUAAGUUUGGGCUUUGGUAUUCUAGGGGAUCCACAUUUGAUUUAAUUGGUUAUUCCGAUGCCGAUUGGGCGGGUUGUAAAAUCAAUAGAAAGAGCACAUCGGGGACCUGCCAGUUCUUGGGAAGAUCCUUGGUGUCUUGGGCUUCAAAGAAGCAAAAUUCCGUAGCUCUUUCUACCGCCGAAGCCGAGUAUAUUGCCGCAGGACAUUGUUGCGCGCAACUACUUUGGAUGAGGCAAACCCUCAGGGACUACGGUUACAAAUUAACCAAAGUUCCUCUUCUAUGUGAUAAUGAGAGUGCGAUCAAAAUGGCGGAUAAUCCCGUCGAGCAUAGCCGCACUAAACACAUAGCCAUUCGGUAUCACUUUUUAAGGGAUCACCAACAAAAGGGAGAUAUCGAGAUUUCUUACAUUAAUACUAAAGACCAAUUAGCCGAUAUCUUUACCAAGCCACUUGAUGAACAAAUUUUUAACAAACUUAGGCAUGAGCUCAAUAUUCUUGAUUCUAGGAACUUCUUUUGUUGAUUUUCACACAUAGCUAAUUUAUAUACCUUUGAUCAUGUCUCUUUCAUGUGCUAUGACUAAUGUGUUUUCAAGUGAAUUUCAAACCAAGUCAUAGGUAUAUUGAAAGGGAAUUGGAGUCUUCGGCGAAAACUAAGGCUUCCACUCCGUAACUCAUCCUUCGCCAUCGCUCCACGUAUCUCUCCAUCUUUGGGGGAGAAAGCAUGAGUCCAAAGCACAAGGACUCCAUCUUUGGUAUAAUCUUCACUCAUUUAUUUAUGACCAAAGGGGGAGAAAGAAAUUCUAAGGGCUCUAAUGAUUCCGUUUUUGGCGAUUCAUGCCAAAGGGGGAGAGAGUAUGAGCCCCCAAAGCAAAAGGACCGCACCACCACCAAUUUGUAAAAUUUUAGUUCUUCAAAGAGUAUUUUCAAAUUGGUAUCUUACUUAUGAUAUAAUUUCAAAUUGGUUCACCCUCUUCAAAAUUAAUAUCAAAACCCUCUUGAACACUAAGAGGAGGAUUUCAUUAAGGGGGAGUUUUGUUUAGUCAAAGGAAAAGCAUUUGAAACAGGGGGAGAAAAUUUCAAAUCUUGAAAAUCCUUUGCAAAAUCUUAUUCAUUUACCUUUGACUAUUUGCAAAAGAACUUUGAAAAAGAUUUACAAAAGAAUUUGCAAAAACAAAACAUGUGGUGCAAGCGUGGUCCAAAAUGUUAAAAACAAAGAAACAAUCCAUGCAUAUCUUAUGAGUAGUUAUAUUGGCUCAAUUCCAAGCAACCUUUGCACUUACAUUUAUGCAAGCUAGUUCAAUUAUGUACCUCCACAUUUUCUUUGGUUUGUGUUGGCAUCAUUCACCAAAAAGGGGGAGAUUGAAAGGGAAUUAGGCUUACACCUAGUUCCUAAAUGAUUUUGGUGGUUGAAUUGCCCAACACAAAUAAUUGGACUAACUAGUUUGCUCUAGUGUAUAAGUUAUACAGGUGCCAAAGGUUCACACUUAGCCAAUAAAAAGACCAAGUAUUGGGUUCAACAAAAGAGCAAAGGGACAACCGAAGGCACCUCUGGUCUGGCGCACCGGACUGUCCGGUGUGCCACCGGAAAGUGUCCGGUGCACCAGAGGACUCCAACUCAAACUCGUCACCUUCGGGAAAAUCCAGAGGCGCUCGGCUAUAAUUCACCGGACUGUCCGGUGUACACCGGACAGUGUCCGGUGCUCCAAGGAACGGCGCCUCAGGAACUCGCCAUCUUCGGGAAUUCGCAACGGCUAGUCCGCUAUAAUUCACCGGACAUGUCCGGUGUACACCGGACUGUCCGGUGUGACAACGGAGCAACGGAUAUUUCGGCGCCAACGGCUACCUGCAUCGCAUUGAAUGCACGCCAGCGCGCGCAGAAGUCAGGCACGCCCAUACUGGCGCACCGGACACUCUACAGUACAUGUCCGGUGCCCCACCGGACAUCCAGGAGGGCCCAGAAGACAGAGCUCCAACGGUCGGAACCCAACGGCUUUGGUGACGUGGCUGGCGCACCGGACAUGUCCGGUGUGCACCGGACUGUCCGGUGUACACCAGACUGUCUGGUGCACCAUACGACAGUCAGCCCCACCAAACGGCUAGUUUGGUGGUUGGGGCUAUAAAUACCCCCAACCACCCACCAUUCAUUGCAUCCAAGUUUUCACACUUCCAACCACUUACAAGAGCUAGGCAUUCAAUUCUAGACACACUCAAGAGAUUAAAUCCUCUCCCAAAUUCCACACAAAGCCUUAGUGACUAGUGAGAGAGAUUUGCUUGUGUUCUUUCGAGCUCUUGCGCUUGGAUUGCUUUCUCCUUUCUUGAUUCUUUAUUGCGAUCAAACUCACUUGUAAUUGAGGCAAGAGACACCAAUCUUGUGGUGGUCCUUGUAGGAACUUUAUGUUCCAAGUGAUUGAGAAGAGAAAGCUCAUUCGGUCUGAGGGACUGUUUGAGAGAGGGAAAGGGUUGAAAGAGACCCGGUCUUUGUGACCACCUCAACGGGGAGUAGGUUUGCGAGAACCAAACCUCGGUAAAACAAAUCCUCGUGUCACACUCUCUAUUCGCUUGCGAUUUGUUUUGCACCCUCUCUCGUGGACUCAAUUACAUUUCUAACGCUAACCCGGCUUGUAGUUGUGAUUAUUUUUGAGAAUUUCAGUUUCGCCCUAUUCACCCCCCUCUAGGCGACUAUCAGCAGGUAUAUGUGUCAGAGGGGUGUUGAACUGUGGUGGCGGAGCUGGUGUUGAUGCAAACUGGCUCCAUUGUGGUGGCGGUGGAAUAUUUGUUGUCAUGCCCUAUUGCUGUAUUAACUGUUAAACAUAUGUGUUACUAUUGAAGAUGUUGUAUUGAAAUAUAAUAAUUUAGAGUUCGGAUUAUGUAUACUCACUUGAUACAUCGCUUGGUUAUGUACAUUGCAAGCCUCCAUAAAUUCGUGUUGUUGUCUCAUCUCUUCACGCAUCCUCAUAAUCUCCAACUCCUGCUCGUUCGGUCGACGAGAGCAUGAGCUACGGGAAGAUGAACCUAUCCUCUGAGAUCUCACCGACGACGAGUCAAUGAAUCCGUCGAAGAGUGCGUAUCUAUAAGUGAUUCAAAAAUUGUGAUUACUGCAUAAUCAAUUUAGUGUCAACCAUAUAAUUUCAUAAGUUAGAGCUUACCGUCCAUGCACUUUUCCACCACCACUUGCGUACACCACCGAGGGAUCCAUCGGUUCAUGUUGCCAGUCGAAGUCAGGGCCAUGGCGACGAACCAUCUCCUCCCCAUAUGCCGCCUAUACAUCAUUCACAACCUUACAAAUGCAGGAAUUUCUAUACUUUGAACGUUUGUACUUUUAGGCAAAAACUCACCAGCCGAUCUGUGGAUGUCUGGCUGCAGAGCUGGUCAGGGUUGUUAGGGUCUGGUCCUUUGUGGCCCUCCUGGUAGACCUCAAUGUCACUAGGCUUUUGGCCACGCGUAGCUUCCUGUAUAAACAAAAAACAUUCAUAAGCAAUCGUACUAUUUGGUGAUCGACAUAGCUAGAUCAAACUUACCAUUCUUUUAGCUUUUUGGAGCAUGUCGUCACCGCCAAACUUGUGGUUAGGAUUGGUUCCUCGACAUUGCCUGUGAUGCGCUGACGCUUUCUAGAAGCUUCGGAAGCCCAAUAUCAACACCAAGCAUAGUACGCAUCAGGCACAGGCGCCAUCCAUGGAACCAUCACCUGCACACACAAUGUUACAUAUUAUAUCAAUCACAACAAUCAAUAAAAAGGGUAAAACAAAUUGAAUACUAACCUCACGAUAUUGAUCCUCACUCAAAUAUAUCUUUGAGGACCCUUCCUUUUUAUUCAAGGGGCCUGCUUCGUCUGAAUGAUUUUGAAAAUACAGGUUUGUAACCUGAAUUCUCGCAUAGUAUAUGGCAUCCUUCACUAGCUUCUUUGCAUUGUUUUGGAACACACGUUCAGCGUGCCCCAUGUAAUCCUCUUCGUCGGGCAACCGAUAUCAAAGCUACAACAUAAAUAAUACAAAUACAAUGGUAUAAGUCAUAGAAUUACAAUAUUAACAUAACAAAAACAAUAAAGAAUUCAUACCCAAAAGUCAUGACGCACAAGUCCCUGUCUGUCGGUGUGGUUUCGUUCCUUUUUAAACUUGUACUCGUCCCAGGUACUGACAAGCACCUCAUCGACGGUAUCACCGUCUGACACCUUCACUAUACGAGGGUAGUGAAGGCAGCAAAGAGAACCCAAUGUAAGGUUAACCUGAGUGUGGUGUCCCUUGCCGUCAAAGGACAUGUCCUCCCAAUUCCUACAUUACACAAAAACAUUAACAAUACACAUAAUAGUUAUAUGAGAUAAGUUAAUAUUACACUCACCGAUCUCCAUGAGGCAUGAUUAAGAUCCUAUCAGCCUUUCGCUCUAUCCCGUGACGAGGCUUUACUGAGUGGCUUUUUCUUGAGCGACGUGUGUGUGUCGCUGAAGAGCCUCCUGAGCCAUCAUCCAUCGGGUUGUCAGCCGGUUCGACCUGUUGGCCCCACUGAUCCCACGCCUGUUGCUGCUCUCUCUGGUGGUCCCACUGGUCCCAUGGCUGGUGAUGCUGCGCGGCUAGGGCUGGGCAUUCAGUCUAUUAGGGUAAUUCGGUUCGGUCUAUUCGGGUUUGUGAAAUUUCGGGUUCUGAAAAAUGAGAACCAAAAUUUUCAAAAAAAAUUAGGAACCGAAUCCGAAUAGACUCACAAUUUCGGUUCAGUCUAUUCGGUCCACCGAAUAGACCCGAAUUGUAGAGAGACCUCAUCAUAUGCAUACACUAUGAUUGUUAGAAGCACCUCACAUAGAAUAUUUUUUUAGCACCUAAGAUUAUUUAGCUAAUUAUUUGUUCAAAAGAAAAGGAGAUAAAAGAAAUAGAAAUAAGAAAUAGAAAAUAGAAAAAGGAAAAGGAAAAACCUCCCCCCUCGGUUGGGCCAUUUCUGGCCCAACUCUCUCUGUGCGCCUCGCCCCCCGUCCGGCCCACGCGGCCUGUUUCCCCCACGCCCCCUCUCCCGCUGCCAGCCCGGGCCCACUCGUCAGCUGCUCUCACCCUCGCUCUCUCGUGAUCUCUCUCUCCCUGGCAAGCGGGCCCCGCUGGUCAGCGCCUUCCUCGCGCCCAUGACCGAGCUAGCGACGCGAUCGCCACCGACCACUGCCCGCCCCGUCGCCUCGCCAUUAUCGCGCUCACCAGCUCGGUUUGGUGCCUUGCGUCUGCCCGAGCCAUCCCGUCGACCCGUCUACCCGAGCCAUCCUGUCGCCCCGUCUGCCCGAGCCAUCUCGUCGUCACCACUAUGCGCCAUCAUCCCCGUCGUGGCAAGCUCGUCGGUGCUCGCCACCUCUCGCCCCAUUCCCCGCCCCGGGCGCCUAUAAAAGGACUGCCCAAGCUCCCUCCUUCUCCACACCGGCCUCGGCCACUCUCUCUUCCCUCCCCCGAGCUCAAUUGAACCAGCGCCGUCGCGCCCUUCCUCCGCUCCGGUGAGUCCUGCCCUCCCUCUCCAUUGAAUUCUAGUCCAAUUAUUGUAGCUCUUGAGCUUCACCAUGUCCUCGCGAGCACAACGCACCCACCCCCUUCUCCUAUUGCGGCCGGUAGCCUCACCGGCAAUCUCCCCCGCCGCGGGCGCCUGCCACCUCGUCGUGGACCGACCAUCCCAAGCGCCCUCCGGCCAAAUUGGCCCUACCACCGUGAUCCCCUACCCCCGCCCGUGCCUUGCCACCACUCUACUAUCACAGAACUGGGACCCCGGAGGAGAACCGCCGCGGACCUCACCGGCGAUCGAGCCCGACCGGUUCGCCCCCCCCCCCGUCACCCCCUCCUAGUGCCGUCAGCCUCCCCUCCCUCUGGCACGUGUGAUCGAGCAAAGACGCAAUUGGCCUAGUUGGCCCAAUUGUAGUCGGACGAUGACCGUGUGAGCCUCAGAAUUAUCCCACCUCGCUUAACUUGGGAGGAGGAAGCCACUUUAAAAGGGAGAGCCACCCUUCCCCCAUUGGACUAGUCUUUUGGGGCGAUUGGGCCUUUCCCUGAGUUGGGUGUGCUUAAUGAACUGUUGGGCUUCGGGCAACCCUAAUUUGUUGGGCCUCGGCCAACCCCACCUGGGUUGGGUGUAUCAACGUGGGCCCGCGCCCACGGUGCCAUCCCCGUGCCGUCCCCACGCCUUUCCCCCGCUGGCGGGCCAAGUGGGCCGCCUGCCCACGCGGCCGCUCGCGCCCGACUGGGCCGAAAUCCCCCCCGGCCCAGCUAGCUGAGGAAAUCUCUUUUCUUUUUCUUUUUCCUUUUUCCUAUUUUAUAUAUAUAUGUAUAUAUAUUUAUAUUUUAUGCACCAAAAAUAGUCUAAAUAAAUUUUAGGGCACAAAAUAAUAAUGUCUAAAAAUUGGCACACCCCACCAAGUCACCAUGAUUGAUGUACUGUUCAUUAUCUAUUUUUGCUAGAAGAAGAGGGAUCUGAUCCUCCGGAAUUUGUAGCUCCGGAAGAAGGGCAGGAACCCGGCCCCUCUGAGAUAGAUCUUUUGUGCCAGGAGAGCUUCGAUGAAGGCAAGUUCAUUCUUCCCUUGAUGCAUAAAUUACCUAUUCUUUCUACCACUACCUAAGCCGGGAUUAAGGGAUGGAUCUUUUGCAUUGUGAGCAGAGAUAGCCUGCAUUAACAAACAUCUUUUGAGUACCAAAUGUGGAAUGGGAAAAGGGCAGUGUUUUACUAAACGAUGUUUUCAAAAAGUGUAUGAUGAAGGGUAUUCACCCUCAUCACCUUGUGAGCGGGAUGAUCAGGGACUCCCUGGUUUAGGGGAGGGCCUAAGGUGAUAGCUCAGCUGGUUUAGGUGUGAGCAGAAGGAUUGUCCCCUCAUAUAAUGAUCAGUUUGUCAUCCUUCACUACCUGUACUCAUGACAAGUACAACCACUCGAGACUGUAUGGGCAGUCACUCAAUCUGAACUCGUACGGUCCAAACCCCAGGGUUAUGAAGGCUGGAGAGCACCGGGAGGAUAAGGAGGGGGAAUGUUUUGUCCGGUUUGGACAUGGCGAUGGCCUGACUCCUUCCGGUAUAACCGUUAAGGUAAGGACGUGCGAGGAAAGAAAGAGACUCGACAUUCGGGUCUCGCGACGGUGAGAUCGCAGAAACCGGGCUAGUGGAUAAAGUGUACCCCUCUACGUAUAGUUCAAACCUAUUCGAAUAGUCUGUGUCCACUGGAAUGGACGAGUCUGGUGUGGUAUGACAAUUAGUGUUUUACAACCUCCGGGAACAGGGAAAUGUGUGAGUGGGUGUGUUUUUGGAAAUGAAAACGAUGCCACGGGAGCAGGAAGCUCAGUGGUGGUUGAGUGUGAAAAAGUGUUAUUUCCUUCUUUGGGAAAAACCAUCAAAGUAUUGCCAUUCUCUGAGAAAAACAAGAGUGACUUCAACUCCACCAUAUAAAGAAUGUAUUAUAUAGGUCCCUUUCUCUUUACGGGAGCAGGAUGGGCUUGCAGAAUACCUAGUGUAUUCACCCAGAUUUAUUUAUGUUUUUCAGCAGCUGAAGACUUCCUUUCUGCUAUGCUUGAUUAAGGGGGCUGUGUCUGCACCCAGUUCUGCCUGUGGCUUGGGCUAGUUUAUCUUCUACUGCGCUCUGUAAUUCUGGCUCUCUCUCGAGCUUGUACUCUGGUAUUGUAAUAACUUUUAUUCGAACUCUGUACUAUUUGAAGUAAGGAAUGUGGUUACUAGCCUCCUAGGACUAGUAAUUGUAUCACAUUUGAGUCCCAAUGGAUCGGGAUGCUUCACUGGGGUAGGGGCCGGUGCGGGUGACGGCCACGGUGGGGGAGAACUGGCGGCGGCGGUGGGCCAGACAAGCAGCGGUGGCGGUGGGCAAGACGGGCGACGGCGGCUGCGAGGAAGAAGAUGGGCGGAGGCGGCGGUAGGAAGCCAGAAGAAAUGAAGAUUGAACGCUCGGGCGCGUCCUAUAAUUAGUAACUCUCGUCGGCUUGGUACAGAGGCCAACGGGGAUUAUUAACUCCCAUCAGCCUGGCACAGAGGCCGAUGAGGAUUAUUAACUCCCGUCGGCCUGGUCAAGCGACCGACGGGGAUUAUAAGUUUGAACGGUCGGGGCGCGUCCUAACAUUUGUAACUCCCGUCGGUUGGUCCAGAGGCCGACAGGGAUAAUUAACGCCCGUCGGCCUGGUCAAGCGGCCGAUGGGGACUAUUAACUCCCGUCGGCCUGGUCAAGCAGCCGACGGGGAUUAUUUAAUUGUCGUCGGCUACCCCACAGCCGACAGGGAUUGUUUUAUUGUCGUCGGCUUACGACAAAGCCGACGAGGAUUAUACUAGCCGACGGGAAUCAUAAGUAUUCUUGUAGUGACCUACAACAUUUUGGUUAGUACAUGGAACUAAAUGACAUACCUCAUUCCUUGUGAAAUUGUUGAGCUCCUCUUGCAUUGCUACCACCCAGUUUGGAUCUCUUAGUGCAUCCUCUAUCAUGUAUGGCUCAAUAGAGGACAGAAAAGAGUAAUGUUCACAAAAAUUAGCAACUCGAGAUCUAGUGGUUACCCCUUGUGAAUGUCACCAAGUAUGGAGUUGACGGGGUGAUCUCUUUGAAUUGCUUGAUGGACUCUUGGGUGUGGUGGUCUUUGAUCUCGAAUCCCUUGAUCAUCUUCCAUGUCUUCAUUAUCAUCAUCUCCCCCUUGAUAAAUGUCAUCCUCCUGAGGUGGCUCAUCAUCUUGGUCUUCAUCCUCUUCUUCUUGAGCCAUGUCUUCUUCUUGAGUAGGAGGAGAUGCUUAUAUGGAAGAUGUUGGUUGAUCUUGUGCUUGCGGAGGUUCUUCAGAUUUCUUUGGACACACAUCUCCAAUGGACAUGUUCCUUAGCGUGACGCACGGAGCCUCUUCAUCAUCUAAUUCAUCAAGAUCAACUUGCUCUACUUGAGAGCCAUUAGUCUCAUCAAACACAAUGUAACAAGAAACUUCAACAAAUUCAGUGGACUUGUUGAAGACUCUAUAUUCCCUUGUGUUCGAGUCAUAACCAAGUAAAAAGCCUUCUACUGCUUUAGGAACAAAUUUAGAAUUUCUACAUCUUUUAAUAAGAAUAAAGCAUUUGCUCCCAAAAUCUAUAAAAUAAGAAACAUUGGGAUUUUUACCAGUGAGGAGUUCAUAUGAUGUUUUCUUGAGGAUUCGGUGAAGAUAUAACCGGUUGAUGGAGUAGCAGGCGGUGUUAAUCGCCUCCGCCCAAAACUAGUCCGGUGUCUUGUACUCAUCAAGCAUGGUCCUUGCCAUGUCCAAUAGAGUUCUAUUCUUCCUAUCCACUACACCAUUUUGUUGAGGUGUGUAGGGAGAAGAGAACUCAUGCUUGAUACCCUCCUCCUCAAGAAAUCCUUCAAUUUGUGAAUUCUUGAACUCCGUUCCAUUAUCGCUUCUAAUCUUCUUGAUUAUCAAUCCAAACUCAUUUUGAGCUGAUCUCAAGAAUCUAUUUAAGGUCUCUUGGGUUUGAGAUUUUUCCUGCAAAAAGAAUACCCAAGUGAAGCGAGAAUAAUCAUCCACAAUAACAAGACAAUACAUACUCCCGCCGAUGCUUAUGUAAGCGAUCGGGCCGAAUAGAUCCAUGUGGAGUAACUCAAGUGGCCUGUCGGUCGUCAUGAUGUUCUUGUGUGCAUGAUGAACUCUAACUUGCUUCCAUGCUUGACAUGCGCUACAAAUCCUGUCUUUCUCAAAAUGAACAUUAGUUAGUCCUAAAAUGUGUUCUCCCUUUAGAAGUUUGUGAAGAUUCUUCAUCCCAACAUGGGCAAGUAGGCGAAGCCAGAGCCAACCCAUAUUAGUCUUAGCAAUUAAGCAAGUGUCUAGUUCAGCUUUGUUAUCAUUAAAAUCAACUGAAUAUAGUCGACCAUCUAACACUCCCUUAAAUGCUAUUGAAUCAUCACUUCUUCUAAAGAGAGUAACACCAACAUCAGUAAAUAGACAGUUGUAGACCAUUUUACAUAAUUGAGAAACAGAAAGCAAAUUGUAAUCUAAAGAAUCUAUGAGAAAACAUUGGAAAUGGAAUUGUCAGGAGAUAUAGCAAUUUUACCCAAACCUUUGACCAAACCUUGAUUUCCAUCCCCGAAAGUGAUAGCUCUUUGGGGAUCUUCAUUUUUCUCAUAUGAGGAGAACAUCAUUUUCUCCCCUGUCAUGUGGUUAGUGCACCCGCUAUCGAUUAUCCAACUUGACAUGUCGGAUGCAUAAACCUACAAAACAAAUUUAGGCCUUGUUCUUAGGUACCCAAAUGAUCUUGGGUCCUUUGACAUUAGAAACAAGCACCUUGGGUACCCAAACACAAGUCUUUGGACUCUUGUGUUUGCCCCCAACAUAUUUGGCAACUACCUUGCCUGAUUUGUUAGUUAACACAUUAGAUGCAUCAAAAGUUUUAAAUGAAAUGUUAUGCUUAUUUGAUGCACUAGGAAUUUUCUUUUUAGGCAUUUUGAUAUGACUGGAAUGCCUAGAGCUAGAUGCCUCAUUACUAUACAAAUAAGCAUGAUGAGAAAGUGUAUGAGGUUUCCUAGAAUGGAUUUUCCUAAUUUUAUGCUCAGGAUAGUUCUUAGGAUAUAAAAUGUAACCUACUCUAUCUAAACCAUGGGAGCCUUACCCUUAACAAAAUUAGAUAGUUUCUUGGGGUUCUUAAGUUUGGUGUUGCUUUGGCUCCCUUGUUGGAAGCCAAUACCAUCCUUAAUGCCAGGGCGUCUCCCAUUAUAAAGCAUGCUUCGAGCAAAUUUAAUUUUUUCAUUCUCUAAUUCAUGCUCGGCAAUUUUAGCAUUUAAUUUAGCAAUGUGAUCAUUUUGUUCUUUAAUCAUAGAAAUUUGAUCAUUCAUAGCAUCAAUAUUAACAUCUCUACAUCUAGUACAAAUAGUGACAUGCUUAGCAGUAGAUGUAGGAAUAUUGCAAACAUUCAAUUCUUCUAUCUUAGCACUUAAAGUAGCAUUCUCAUCUCUAAGAUAGGAAAUUGAAUCAUUGCAAAUGUUAAGCUCUUUAGAUAAGUUUUCAUAUUUUUCUACUUCUAGAGCAUAAGCAUUUUUCAAUUUAACAAAUUUCUUGUUUUCCUUAACGAGCAAGUCCUCUUGGCAUUCCAAGAGAUCAUCCUUCUCGUUAAUGGAUUCUAUCAAUUCAUUUAUCUUUUUCUUUUGAUCCUUAGUAAGGUUAGCAAAAAGAGAAGUUAAUUCGUUUUCAUUAUCACUAGAGCUACCGUCAUCAUCAGAAGUAGUAUAUUUGGGGGUAUCUCUAGAAUGUACCUUCUUCUUUUUGCCUUCCUUAGCCAUGAGGCACUUGUGGUCGACGUUUGGGAAGAGAAGUCUCUUGUUGAUGGCGAUGUUGGCGGCGUCCUCGUCGGAGGAGGAGUCGGUGGAGCUCACGUCAAAGUCUCAUUCCCGCCCCAUGUGCGCCUCGCCACCCUUCUUCUUGUAAUACUUCUUAUUCUCCGUCUUCUUCUUCCAUUUCUUGUCAUCGUCCCUGUCCAAGAACUUGUAUAUGGACGCCGCUUUUAAUAAAGUGACCGAACUUACCACACCUAUAGCACAUCCUCUUGGAACAGGGCUUGUAGUCCUUCCCCUUCCUUUGUUUGAGGAUUUGUCGAAAACUCUUAAUAAUAAGAGCCAUCUCCUCGUUGUCGAGCAUGGAGGCGUUGAUUUGGAGUCUACUUGGUGUAGAUUCUUCCUUCUUUUCUUCCGUUGCUUUGAAUGCAACGGGUUGCACCUCGGGUGUGGAGGUGGCGCCUUGCUCCAAGUUGACAAUAUGUUUGGACUCUUUGAUCAUGAGUUCAAAGCUCACAAACUUGCCAAUUACUUCCUCAGGAGACAUCUGUUUAUAUCUAGGAUCUCCAUGAAUUAGUUGCACUUGAGUGGGAUUAAGAAAAACAAGAGAUCUAAGAAUAACCUUGACCAUUUCAUGGUCAUCCCACUUGGUGCUCCCGAGGUUGCGCACUUGGUUGACCAUUGUCUUGAGCCGGUUGUACAUUGCUUGUGGCUCCUCUCCUUUGUUGAGGACGAAUCGACCAAGCUCUCCCUCGAUCGUCUCGUGCUUGGUGAUCUUGGUCACCUCAUCCCCUUCGUGCGCUGUCUUGAGGACAUCCCAAAUUUCUUUGGCAUUUUCAACCCUUGCACCUUAUUAUACUCCUCUCAACACAAGGAGGCGAGGAGUAUAUAAGUUGCUUGGGAGUUGAAAUGCCUAAUUUGGGUGGCCUCAUCCGAGUCGUAGUCCUUGUCGCCUGCCUGUGGUGCAUGCACUCCAAACUCAACAAUAUCUCAAAUGCUUUUGUGGAGUGAGGUUAGAUGGUGCCUCAUUUUAUCACUCCACAUACAAUAAUUUUCACCAUCAAAAUAUGGUGGUUUGCCUAGGGGUACCGAGAGUAGAGGAGAACGUUUAGAAAUGCGAGGAUAGCGAAGAGGCAUCUUAUUAUACUUCUUACACUCGUGGCGCUUCGAAGUUGUAGACUCGGCGCCGAAUGUGGAAGGUGAUGAGGAGUCGGUCUCGUAGUAGACCACCUUCUUCAUUUUCUUUUUCUUCUUGUCACCCUUCCUAUGUGACUUGAUGGAUGAGGAGGAUUCCUCCUUGUAUUUGUCGCCGGACUCCCUUGACAGAGUCCUUCCCGAGCCUAUGGCCUUGUCGUCGGUGACAAUCACCCUCUUGGCGUGAUUUCCAGACAUCAGUUCGAGUUUGUUAGACUCUUAAUGAAGCAGUGGCUCUAAUACCAAUUGAAAGUCGCCUAGAGGGGGGUGAAUAGGAGAAACCUAAAAUUUACAAUCUUUAAACAUGUACUAAGGCUGAGGUUAGCGUUAGAAUUAAAUCGGAGUACAAAAGAUAGUUCUCCUUGCUUAGAGUUACUCAAUCAAUGCAGAUAACGUUUGGGAGCAAACUUGUCAGGACCAUAAUUAGGGGUACCCCCAAGACUCCUAAUCUCAGCUGGUAACCCCCAUCAGCACAAAGCUGCAAAGGCCUGAUGGGCGCGAUUAAGGUCAAGGCUCAGUCCACUCAAGGGACACGAUCUCGCCUCGCCCGAGCCCAGCCUCGGGCAAAGGCAGCCGACCCCGGAGGAUUCACGUCUCGCCCGAGGGCCCCCUCAAGCAACGGACACACCUUCGGCUCGCUCGAGGCCCAGUCUUCGCAGAGAAGCAACCUUGGCCAGAUCGCCACGCCAACCGAUCGUAUCGCAGGAGCAUUUAAUGCAAGGAUCGCCUGACACCUUAUCCUGACGCGCGCUCUUCAGUCGACAGAGCCGAAGUGACCGCAGUCACUUCGCCGCUCCACUGACCGACCUGACAAGAAAACAGCGCCGCCUGCAUCGCUCCGACUGCUGUGCCACUCGAUAGUGAGGCUGACAGCAGCUAAGUCCAGCCUCGGGCGCCAUAGGAAGCUCCGCCUCGCCCGACCCCAGGGCUCAGCCCCCGUCUCGGCCUCGGAAGAUGGACUUCGCCUCGCUCGACCCCAGGGCUCGGACUCAGCCAUGACUCAGAAGACAACGGACUCCGCCUCGCCCGACCCAGGGCUCGGACACAGCCUCGGCCUCGGAAGACGGUCUCCGCCUCGCCCGACCCCAGGGCUCGGACACAGCCUCGGCCUCGGAAGACGGUCUCCGCCUCGCCCGACCCAGGGGUUGGACUCAGCCUCGACCUUGGAAGACGGACUCGACCUCGACCUUGGAGGAGCCUCCGCCUUGCCCGACCCAGGGCUCGGACCGACCACGUCAUAGGGGGGGCAUCAUUACCCUACCCCUAGCUAGCUCAGGCUACAGGGAACAAGACCGGCGUCCCAUCUGGCUCGCCCCGGUAAACAAAUAAUGAUGGCGCCCCGCGUGCUCCAUGACGACGGCGACUCCCAGCCCCUGACGGAAGCAAGGAGACGUCAGCAAGGAUUCGACAGCCCCGACAGCUGUCCUUCCACAGGGCUUCAGCGCUGCUCCGACGGCCACGACAUCACAUGAACAGGGUGCCAAAACCUCUCCGACUGCCACGACGGCAUGUACUUAGAGGCUCUAGCUCCUCUUUGCUAGACACGUUAGCACACUGCUACACCCCCCAUUGUACACUUGGACCCUCUCCUUACGCCUAUAAAAGGAAGGUCCAGGGCUCUCGUACGAGAAGCUUGGCCGCGCGGGAGAACGGGCCGGCGCAUAAGGCUCUCGCUCUCUCUCUCUCUCUCUCUCCCAUGCGAAUGCUUGUAACCCCCUACUGCAAGCGCACCCGACCUGGCGCAGGGCAACACGAAGGCCACGGGUUUCCCCUUUGCCUGUUUCUUCCCCCCUUCGUGCUCUGUCUCGCGCCGACCCAUCUGGGCUGGGACACGAGGCGACAUUUUACUCGUCGGUCCAGGGACCCCCGGGGUCGAAACGCCGACAGUUGGCGCGCCAGGUAGGGGCCUGCUGCGUGUUGACGAACAGCUUCCCGUCAAGCUCCAUAUGGGUAGUCUCCAGCAACCUUUCCAACCCGGGACGAUGCUCCGUUUCGGGAGUCUUGAGUUCGUGUCCCUCGACGGCAGCUACGACAUGAUACUCCUUCCUCCGCCGCGCGACAGCGACAAUGGCGGCCGUCAGCCCGCCCGCUGGCGGCGGAAUCAAUGACGUCUUCCCCACGUGGCGGAAGCACAACAUCCGGGUUUGUCCCGUCACCUCCCCUGCCGACGAAGGAAGAGGCGGGGCAACCAUGGCCAAGUAGGAGGCGGCACCUCGUCGGCUGUCGAGCAAGUCGACGACGCCGGUGCCCCAGCGGGGGACACAUCGGGCUUCGACCUUGCGUCUGAGACGAAGACGAGCGCCGUUUCCCCGCAACACGCCAACCCCAAGCAGACGAACGGCGCCAGCACGCUCGCGAAGGGCUUGUUGGGCGUCGCCCUCGUACCUGAGACAACGGUGCAGUCCGCCCCUGACGCGACUUCGUCACCGCCCGUCGACCAAGAGGUACCGACCAAUUCCCAUCCCGUGCCUUUUGGAUUCAGCUUCGACCCACCAAGCGACCUCGCUUCGGUGGAAGCCUUCAUAGAGGCACGUACCAACCCUCCGGGGUACCAUAUGCGGUCGCCCUGGGACAGACUGACGACCGUCUCGACCUACGGACCCUCGGGUUCCAAGGAAGAUGACGAGCCCGACUUUUGUUGGGAUUUCUCUGGGCUCGGUAACCCCAGUGCCAUGCGGGACUUCAUGACCGCAUGCGACUACUGCCUCUUCGAUUAUUCCGAUGGUAGCCGCAGCUUCGGCGACAAGGACUGCGGUCCAAGUCGUGAAUGUUUCCACGUCGAUCUACGGGGUCUCGGCGAAGGCAACCAUCUUGGUAUGCCAGAAAACGGCGAUCCCCCUAGGCCUGCGCCUCGCGUUGACAUCCUUCGGGAGCUAGCUGUGGUCCCAGUCCCUGCGGGGGGUCAGGACGCACAGCUCGAGCAAAUCCGCGAGAUGCAGGCCAGGCUCGACGAGGGAGCAGGAACACUUGAGCAGCUCCGGUGGAACAUCGGGCAGGAAUGGGCAGACCAAGCUUCGACCGGAGAAGCGCGUCAUCUACCCCAGGGUAUCCAGUACCGUGUUGCCGACGACGUCAGGGCAAGACCGCCACCGACUUCUAGUGGGGCCGGCCAGAACCUGGCUGCAGCAGCAAUACUACUCCGUGCGAUGCCGGAACCAUCGACCACCGAAGGGCGGCGUAUCCAGGGAGAUCUCAAGAAUCUCCUGGAGGAUGCCGCGGUCCGACGGGCCGAAAGCUCUGCCUCCCGAAGGCAGGGGUACCCCUCGGAACAUCGCGCCGCGACUUCCCGAUUCAUGCGGGAAGCCUCGGUCCACACCGGGCGCACGCGCAACACGGCACCUGCGGCCCCGGGUCGCCUCGGCAACGAGCACCACCACCGCAACCGUCGAGCCCACCUCAACGAGAGGGUGCACCGAGGCUACCACCCCAGGCGUGGGGGACGCUACGACAGCGGGGAGGAUCGGAGUCCCUCGCCCGAACCACCCGGGCCAUACGACGGGCGCCGUUCCCGACCCGGUUCUGAACCCCGACUACCAUCACAAAGUACUCGGGGGAGACGAGGCCGGAACUAUGGCUCGUGGACUACCGGCUGGCCUGCCAGCUGGGUGGAACGGACGAUGACAACCUCAUCAUCCGCAACCUCCCCCUGUUCCUCUCUGACACCGCUCGAGCCUGGCUGGAGCAUCUGCCUCCAGGGCAGAUCUCCAACUGGGACGACCUGGUCCAAGCCUUCGCCGGCAACUUCCAGGGCACGUACGUGCGCCCUGGGAACUCCUGGGAUCUCCGAAGCUGCCGCCAGCAGCCGGGAGAGUCUCUCCGGGACUACAUCCGGCGAUUCUCGAAGCAGCGCACCGAGCUGCCCAACGUCACCGACUCGGACGUCAUCGGCACGUUCCUCGCCGGCACCACCUGCCGCGACCUAGUGAGCAAGCUGGGUCACAAGACCCCCACCAGGGCGAGCGAGCUGAUGGACAUCGCCACCAAGUUCGCCUCUGGCCAGGAGGCGGUUGAGGCCAUCUUCCGAAAGGACAAGCAGCCCCAGGGCCGUCAGCAGGAAGACGUCCCCGAGGCGUCCACUCAGCGCGGCGCCAAGAAGAAGGGCAAGAAGAAGUCGCAAGUGAAACGCGACGCCGCCGACGCGGACCUUGUCGCCGCCGCUGAGUACAAGAACCCUCAGAAACCUCCCGGAGGUGCCAAUCUCUCCGACAAGAUGCUCAAGGAGUCGUGCCCCUAUCAUCAGGGGCCCGUCAAGCACACCCUUGAGGAGUGCGUCAUGCUUCGGUGCCACUUUCAUAAGGUCGAGCCACCGGCGGAAGGUGGCAGGGCCCACAACAACGACAAGAAGGAGGAUCACAAGGCAGAGGAGUUCCCCGAGGUCCACGAUUGCUUUAUGAUCUACGGUGGGCAAGUGGCGAACGCCUCGGCUCGGCACCGCAAGCAAGAGCGUCGGGAGGUCUGCUCGGUAAAGGUGGCGGUGCCAGUCUACCUAGACUGGUCCGACAAGCCCAUCACCUUCGACCAGGGCGACCACCCCGACCGCGUGCCGAGCCCGGGGAAAUAUCCGCUCGUUGUCGACCCCGUCAUCGGCAACGUCAGACUCACCAAGGUCCUCAUGGACGGAGGCAGCAGCCUCAACAUCAUCUACGCCGAGACCCUCGGGCUCCUGCAGAUCAAUCUGUCCUCGAUCCGGACAGGCGCGGUGCCUUUUCACGGGAUCAUCCCCGGGAAACGCAUCCAACCCCUCGGACAACUCGAUCUGCCCGUCUACUUCGGGACUCCCUCCAACUUCCGAAGGGAAACCCUCACGUUCGAGGUGGUUGGGUUCCGAGGAACCUACCACACAGUGCUGGGGAGGCCAUGCCACGCCAAGUUCAUGGCCAUCCCCAACUACACCUACCUCAAGCUCAAGAUGUCGGGCCCCAACGGGGUCAUCACCGUCGGCCCCACAUACCGACACGCGUACGAAUGCGACGUGGAGUGCGUGGAGUACGCCGAGGCCCUCGCCGAAUCCGAGGCCCUCAUCGCCGACCUGGAGAGCCUCUCCAAGGAGGCGCCAGACGUGAAGCACCACGCCGGCAACUUCGAGCCAGCAAAGAUGGUUAAGUCCGUCCCUCUCGACCCCAGCAACGACGCCUCCAAGCAGAUACGGAUCGGCUCCGAGCUCGACCCCAAAUAGGAAGCAGUGCUCAUCGACUUUCUCCGCGCGAAUGCCGAAGUCUUUGCGUGGAGUCCCUCGAACAUGCCUGGCAUACCGAGGGAUGUCACCGAGCACUCGCUGGAUAUCCGAGCUGGAGCCCGACCCGUGAAGCAGCCUCUGCGCCGAUUCGACGAAGAAAAGUGCAGAGCCAUAGGCGAGGAGAUCCACAAGUUGAUGGCUGCAGGGUUCAUCAAAGAGGUAUUCCAUCCCGAAUGGCUUGCCAACCCUGUGCUUGUGAGAAAGAAAGGAGAGAAAUGGCGGAUGUGUGUAGACUACACUGGUCUAAACAAAGCAUGUCCGAAGGUUCCCUACCCUCUGCCUCGCAUCGAUCAAAUCGUGGAUUCCACUGCUGGGUGCGAAACCCUGUCAUUUCUCGAUGCCUACUCAGGGUAUCACCAAAUCAGGAUAAAAGAGUCCGACCAACUCGCGACUUCUUUCAUCACACCUUUUGGCAUGUACUGCUAUGUUACUAUGCCAUUUGGUUUGAGGAAUGCGGGUCCGACAUACCAAAGGUGCAUGAACCACGUGUUCGGCGAACACAUUGGUCGAAUGGUUGAGGCUUACUUCGAUGACAUCGUAGUCAAGACGAGGAAAGCCUCUGACCUCCUCUCCGACCUUGAAACGACAUUCCGGUGUCUCAAGGCGAAAGGCGUAAAACUCAAUCCCGAGAAGUGCGUCUUCGGAGUCCCCCGAGGCAUGCUCUUGGGGUUCAUCGUCUCCGAGCGGGGCAUCGAGGCCAACCCGGAGAAAAUCGCGGCCAUCACCAACAUGGUACCCAUCAAGGACUUGAAAGGCGUACAGAGGGUCAUGGGAUGCCUUGCGGCUCUGAGCCGCUUCAUCUCGCGCCUCGGCGAAAGAGGUCUACCUCUGUACCGCCUCUUAAGAAAGGUCGAGUGCUUCACUUGGACCCCCGAGGCCGAGGAAGCCCUCGGCAACCUGAAGGCGCUCCUUACAAACGCACCCAUCCUGGUGCCUCUCGCUGCCGGAGAAGCCCUCUUGAUCUACGUCGCCGCUACCACUCAGGUGGUCAGCGCCGCGAUCGUGGUUGAGAGACGAGAAGAAGGGCAUGCAUUGCCCGUCCAGAAGCCGGUCUACUUCAUCAGUGAGGUACUGUCCGAGACCAAGAUCCGCUACCCCCAAAUUCAGAAGUUGUUGUACGCGGUGAUUCUGACGCGGCAGAAGUUGCGACACUACUUCGAGUCUCAUCCGGUGACUGUGGUGUCAUCCUUCCCUCUGGGGGAGAUCAUCCAGUGCCGAGAGGCCUCAGGUAGGAUUGCAAAGUGGGCGGUGGAAAUCAUGGGCGAGACAAUCUCGUUCGCCCCUCGGAAGGCCAUCAAGUCCCAAGUCUUGGCGGACUUUGUGGCUGAAUGGGUCGACACUCAGCUCCCGGCGGCUCCGAUCUAACCGGAACUCUGGACCAUGUUUUUCGACGGGUCGCUGAUGAAAACAGGAGCGAGCGCAGGCCUGCUCAUCAUCUCGCCCCUCGGGAAGCACCUCCGCUACGUGUUGCGCCUCCAUUUCCCGGUGUCCAACAAUGUGGCUGAGUACGAGGCUCUGGUCAACGGGUUGUGCAUCGCCAUCGAGCUAGGGGUCCGACGCCUCGACGCUCGCAGUGACUCACAGCCUGUCAUCGACCAAGUCAUGAAGAACUCCCACUACCGCGACCUGAAGAUGGAAGCCUACUGCGACGAGGUUCGGCGCCUGGAGGACAAGUUCUACGGGCUCGAGCUCAACCACAUCGCCCGAUGAUACAACGAGACUGCGGACGAGCUGGCUAAGAUAGCCUCGGGGCGGACGACGGUUCCCCCGGACGUCUUCUCCCGAGACCUACAUCAACCCUCAGUCAAGACCGACGACACGCCCGAGCCCGAGAAGGUCUCGGCCCUGCCCGAGGCACCCUCGGCUCAGCCCGAGGUGCCCUCGGCUCAGCCUAAGGAGCCCUCAGCCCCCGAGGGUGAGGCACUGCGCGUCGAGGAAGAGCGGAAUGGGGUCCCGCCUAAUCGAGACUGGUAGACCCCGUACCUGCAAUAUCUCCACCGAGGAGAGCUGCCCCUCGAUCGAGCCGAAGCUCGGCGACUGGCGCGGCGCGCCAAGUCGUUUGUCUUGCUGGGGGACGGGAAGGAGCUCUACCACCGCAGCCCCUCAGGCAUCCUCCAGCGAUGCAUAUCCAUCGCCGAAGGUCAGGAGUUAUUACAAGAAAUACACUCGGGGGUUUGCGGUCAUCACGCAGCGCCUCGGGCCCUUGUUGGAAACGCUAUCCGACAAGGUUUCUACUGGCCGACCGUGGUGGCCAACGCCACUAGAAUUAUCUGCACCUGCCAAGGGUGUCAAUUCUACGCAAGGCAGACGCACCUACCCGCUCAGGCUCUGCAAACAAUACCCAUCACCUGGUCGUUUGCUGUGUGGGGUCUGGACCUCGUCGGUCCCUUGCAGAAGGCGCCCGGGGGCUACACGCACCUGCUGGUCGCCAUCGACAAAUUCUCAAGUGGAUCAAGGUCCGACCCCUAAACAGCAUCAGGUCCGAACAGGCGGUGGCGUUCUUCACCAACAUCAUCCAUCGCUUUGGGGUCCCAAACUCCAUCAUCACCGACAACGGCACCCAGUUCACCGGCAGAAAGUUCCUGGACUUCUGCGAGGACCACCACAUCCGGGUGGACUGGGCCACCGUGGCUCACCCCAUGACGAAUGGGCAAGUAGAGCGUGCCAACGGCAUGAUUCUGCAAGGACUCAAGCCACGGAUCUACAACGACCUCAACAAGUUCGGCAAGCGAUGGAUGAAGGAACUCCCCUCGGUGGUCUGGAGUCUGAGGACAACGCCGAGCCGAGCCACGGGCUUCACACCGUUCUUUCUAGUCUAUGGGGUCGAGGCCAUCUUGCCCACAGACUUGAAUACGGUUCCCCGAGGAUGAGGGCAUACGACGACCAAAGCAAUCGAACCAACCGAGAAGACUCACUGGACCAGCUGGAAGAGGCUCGGGACAUGGCCUUACUACACUCGGCGCGGUAUCAGCAGUCCCUGCGACGCUACCACGUCCGAGGGGUUCGGUCCCGAGACCUCCAGGUGGGCGACUUGGUGCUUCGACUAUGACAAGACGCCCGAGGGCGGCACAAGCUCACGCCUCCCUGGGAAGGGCCGUUCGUCAUCGCCAAGGUUCUGAAGCCCGGGACGUACAAGCUGGCCAACAGUCAAGGCGAGGUCUACAGCAACGCUUGGAACAUUCGACAGCUACGUCGCUUCUACCCUUAAGAUGUUUUCAAGCCAUUCAUAUACCUCGUUUACAUAUAAAGUCUAACCAUCAAGGAAGGGUCAGCCUUGCCUCGGCAAAAGCCUGACCCUCCCUCGGGGGCUAGAAGGGGCGAACCCCCUCCGCGUCAAAAUUUUCCUCGGAAAAAGUCUUUCUGCCAGAAUAUCUUUCGUGCUUUUCGACUACUUCGAAAGUGGGAUCCUGAAAACGACGGAGUACACGUAAGCAGCCAAGGCCGACCGAGCCGAGGGACUCCUACGCCUCCGGGAUACGGAUACCUCACUCAUCGCCUUCUGCGAGAAGUAACUCGCGUUCAGAUGAGCGAUCCUGCUGACCGAACAAGCCUUAACGCUCAAAAGACUUUCUGUCGAAACGGUUUUUCGGGUUUUCUCGGCUACGUCGAUAACAGAAUCCCGCGGACGAGCAAGAGUACACGUAAGCGGCAAGGCCGACCGAGCCGAGGGAUUCCUACGCCUCCGGGAUACGGAUACCUCACUCAUCACCUUCCGUGAGAAGUAACUCUAGCUCGGAUAAACGAUUCUGCUACCGAUGAGCAAGCCCUGAUACUCGAAACAAGAGGAAAAGAAAUGCAGCUUUACAACGCGACGACAGUAUGUUUGGGCCUCGGCGGCCGCAAAAAACAUAUGCAUACUACAGGCGAAUCGAUCCUGCAGGCUCAAACGUCGAUGGAGGGGGAGCAGGAGCACCCUCGGCGUCAACUCCACCUUCGGCGAAGUCCGAUCGAGCCUCGGACGGCAACGCGGUCGGAGGAUCUCCGCUCCGAAGGACGACGUCAGCACCACGCCCGGGCCAUCGCCGCCAGGGUCUCCCCCAGGAACCCGGCCCGAGCAGACGGCUCGGCCGGCCGCCCCGAAGCCUCAGCCAGCUGUCCUCCAAGGACACCAGCCCGACUCGUGGCCUCGGCAACUCGACUCCGGCGUUGGUCCCGCCAGUGGACGGCCCGGCCAGGCUCCGGCCGAUGAAGUCUUCUUUUCGAGCCAACUCUGCCUCUGUCCAUACUGACACUGCUGCCUCCGGCUCCGGCUCAUCGCAGAGCGGCUGAGGUUUCCUUUAACUAAGCAAGUGAAGCCUUGGGCGGCAAGGCCGACCGAGCCGAGGGACUCCUACGCCUCCGGGAUACGGAUACCUCACUCGUCACCUCCGCACGAGGCAACUCACACUUAGUUAAGCGGUUCAGUUAGCCGACAGGCGAGUCCUAGUGCUUGAAAUGAGGAAAAAACACGGUAUUACACCCAAAAAUACCUACAUGUUCAGGCCCCGACAGCCACAAUGAGCAAACACCGGCACUCAAGGUGCCAUUACAAACGGAACUCUGGUUCCGCCCCCGCGGGUAUGAACAACCUAAACACCGGAGAGCCUACGGGGCGACAAGCUCUGAGCGACUCGCCAGCGACCUCUGCAGCAGCAGCGAUGGUCCCAGGAUGGACGCUGCAGCUGGAAGGCUCUCGUUCGCGUACCCACUCAAGGGACGCGAACCAGACAUUAAAGCCAAAGAGCCAGAGGUCAGUCCGCGGGUAGCGCUGGCGGGCUUGUCGGUGGAGAAGCUUUCUCCAGCUGCCACCACAUCAGCAUCGACGGUGGUGUCCACCUGCCCACCAACACCGCACCAGCGAGCGCUGGCCGCCCCAAAGCGCACCGGCAGGUCCUCACUCCCGUCCUCGCCAUGAAAGCGAGGACAGAGGAUGGAAUGUUGCAUCCUAGCUGGGCAGCAACAGUUCGCCUUCCCCGGCAUGGCUGGAGGGUGCCUCCUCCGUAGAGCUGGGGGAUGGUUUCCACCCCCAGAAGCUGGAAGAAGAGGUGGACCGCCGACCCGUGCGGGAGGUAGAGCUCCGGCUCACCUCGCCCUCUGCCCCAGCCAGGAUGAUGAAGAUCCUUGAAGCUGAGGGCGGGGCAGAGGUCGCAGCCCGGCUUGCUUCUCCCCACCAUCGAAUUGGUGGUCACCAUCUUGAGUGACCACCGGCGAGGGGAUGCAGCCGGGCCGCCUGAUGAAAAUCCUUGAAGCCGAGCGAUGGCCGAAAGGUACCAACUUCCGCGAAGUUGCGUUCCUCCAACAACAGCAAGACGAAAGCGACGCGAGCGCUCCCCAUCCGGGGGCUCGGAAGGUGGAAGGGCGCGAUGCAUGAGGAGAGUGCGAAGACAUGGUUGCCAUCCAAGGGGGUCACCCUCCUUUUAAAAGGCGACUCUCCCCACUUGCGUCCUCAGCCGGCGCGGACUGAGUCUUCUCCAACACGCUCCAAGGUCCUCCCCCUACGACACGAUGGUUGGGUCCCACGCGUCAUGCAAGCUGGCCCAGGACAGAAGGAGCCAAAACUGCCGCGCGCGGUGCGCGCAACUGCCCAGCGGUUACAAGCAUUUCUCCACUAUCGCCCGGACCAGCGGGUGAAAGGGCGGACCGCCACGCAGGCGGCAUGCAACCGCACCAAGGGGGUGCACCCUUUCGACUUCGACGCGUCCAGCAUGGAGGCCCAGGCCCACACGUCAUGUAACCGGCACGCUGGUUACGUGCGAGAAACUGCACCGCCACUCGCGCCAGUACCGCGCCUUAUCGACUGUGGAACCGGUGCCGCGACUCGAGGCGACCCUGCGCAUGACCCAACAGUGCCAGCCGAGCACAUCGGUCACGGGUCAGUCAGCCACGAGAGAAGGCGCGACGGUCGAUACGGCCAGAAAUGGGCCGGGAGUAAUGGCGGUGGCAGGCGGGCGGAAGCAGCAGUCAAGUCAUCAGCAAGCUCACGCCCCCUCCUGGGACAACGAGAGAACCCUCUCCCACGGCGUGAAGACGACGCGCCCGUGUUCCGUUCCUCGAACGGCUCGCGCACGCACAACGGCUGCCCUGCGGACCACUCGUCCCGUCGCAUUAACUCUGUGGCAGGACAGGCGGCACCUUUGGCAGGCGAAGCAGGCGACGCUUCACCUCCACCAUAAUGACCGCGUCAAAAAAGGUGCACCACGUCGUUCGAUUUCAUAUCCUUUUCCACUUCCUCUUUCUCUCUCUUGCUACAGGGACCGGGAAAGGGGAUACUCCGAAAGGGAUCCUUCUCCGCGAAGGAAGCAGGCCCCGAGCCCCCCUAUUGAUCAGAGGUUCAAAGGCUGGCCCCUCGGAAGGGUUCAACAGCUGCCUCAGAGCACUCGGGCUCUACGCCCACUACUGGUCAGAGGUUCGAAGGCUGGCCCCUCGGAAGGGUUCAACGGCCGCCUCAGGCCACUCGGGCUCCGCGCCCACUACUAAUCAGGGGUUCGUAGGCUGGCCCCCGAAGGGUUCUGACAGCCGCCUCAGAGCACGCAAAGCGAGGGAUGACCCUGGGUACGUUCGAUACAUAACCAAGGCUCGGGCUACGCUCCCGAGGUACCCUAGGACAUUUUCGAGACCGACGGGAACGAUUUUGUAACGGAAUCCCACCAGAGGGAGGCAUCGAGCCCUCGGACCCCGUCAAAAGGGGACCGGGUCCGGCGGAUCACCCGCAGGUACUUUUGGAGCGCGCCUCCGGGCCACUAGCCGACCCCUAACAAAUGGGGCACGGGCGUCCACUCAGAUUACCCGUUAGCAACUCACUGGAGACACCAUGUUCGGCGCCCUCCGAGGGCAACAUGGCGCUUUGUAGCAUCCCAAAAAUCCAAAUUCUGAAAUUUUCUCAAACUCCCUCUAAAUUCAAAAUGAAUUUCAAGUUUCAUUUCAAAAUGUUUGUUUGCGAGAUGAUAUCAACAAAUAAAAUAUAGUGGUCUAUAUUAUCUCCAAAAUCCUCCUCAAAAUAUCCUACAAAUAUUCUCCGAGUGAUCCCCCUCAAAUUCUUUCCAGAAAUACUGCUCAGAUAUUUCCCCAGUAACCCCCCUUUGAUUUCUUUCCAGAAAUACUGCCCAAAUAUUCCACCGAUGUAUCUCCGGAUAUUUUCCUCUUGAGAAAUACCUUCAGAAUCAUUUUUCAAGACCCUACAAAUAUUUUCUUCAUAACUUUCCUCAUGUCCAUACGUAUAUGUAUGCCUCCAGUGUCAUACGGUGAGCUCUACAAGCUAAUUACACUUAUACAAGACAAAUACAUGCUAACCUCCCACUAAUCCUCUCAUCCUCCCACUAAUCCUCUCAUCCCUCCCCCUAAUCCCCCCACCAUGGCUAUAAAUAGAGGGGCAAGGGCCUCCUCUCAUCCCACCCCAACCCAUUUCAUGGCAACUCUCUCCCCCCCCCCCCCCACACACACACCCACUCCAUGUUCCACACAAGCACACACUAGCACAAGGAUCGUUCGAUCGUUCUUCGAUCGUUCGUCCCCUGUUCUUAGUUUGUUCGUUCGUUCGUCCGAUCGUUCGAUCGUUCGUCCGAUCGUUCAUGGUUCGUUCGUCCGUUCGUCCGAUCGUUCGAUCGUUCGUCCGUUCGUUCGUCCAAAUAAUCUUUUUCCUACCGUUAUGCUGCCGAAAUUCUGAUCGUUCGUUCAUUCGAUCAUUCGAUCGUUCAUCGUUCGUUCAUAGUUCCUAUUCAUCGUUCAUCGUUCGUUCAUAGUCCCUAUUCAUCGUUCUUCCAGAUAAUCUUUGUCCUGCCGUUAUGCUGCCGAAAUUCCGAUCGUUCGUUCGUUCGAUCAUUCGAUCGUUCAUCGUUCGUUCAUAGUCCCUAUUCAUCGUUCAUCGUUCGUUCAUAGUCCCUAUUCAUCGUUCUUCCAGAUAAUCUUUGUCCUGCCGUUAUGCUGCCGAAAUUCCGAUCGUUCGUACGUUCGUUCGUCCAAAUAAUCUUUUCCUGCCGUUAUGCUGCCGAAAUUCCGAUCGUUCGUUCGUCUGAUCAUUCGUCCGUUCGUUCAUAGUUCCUAUUCAUCGUUCAUCGUUCGUUCAUACGAACUAUUCACUAUUACUAUUCACCAUUACUAUUCACCAUUACUAUUCAUUGUUACUAUUCAUUGUUACUAUUCACAUACACUAUUCAUUAUUGUUACUAUUUAUCAUUACUAUUCAUCAUCGUUACUAUUCAUCGAUGAUAUCUGUAAUUUCUUUUCCAUCGCCACUAUUCAUCGUUACUAAUCAUCGUUACUAUUCAUCGGUCAUCUAGUCAUCCCAAAUUUCAACUACUCAUCCAUCAUGAUGUCCAGUCCACCUAAGACCAGCCAGACCCAUAUUCCAGUCAUACGAACUCCGGUGACUGUGAUUUUUCUUCCAGUAGGGAACUUCCUAUCUGGUCACCCAUCCUAGGUUUCUCCAAGUUGAGCACGCUUAACUUUGAGAAUCCUUCGAACCAGGCUCCCAAACUCAGAUUCCAAUAAAUCUCGUUUCUAAAUUCUUAUCAAACUAUUCCCUACCCAACCAUGUCAUCCCUUAAGCAUGAUCCAUAUUCCAGAAAACUCCCAAAAUACUCUUGUCCCAUAUUCUGCCUAUAACUCUCAUGUUCAUACUAAGUCAGACGAUUCAUUCGUCACUAUUCUCACCAACAGUGAACUUCACUGUGCUACACCACAUACACCCAGCUAUAAAUACACCCAGCUACCCUCUCCCUCUCCACACACACUCAACACCCUCAGCCAAGGCAAACACCCCACCCACUCAGUUACUCUGCUCUGCCAGCUACACGCAUAGUGUCGCUUCGCCUCCAGUCCACCCUCCUGGUAAGCACCUCCGCUCCACCACUAGUAAUAUCACAACACCACAUGACACAGAUUCUACUCAAGACUCUACCCAUCCAUAUAUCGCUAUUCUGACCACUAUACUAAAUAUUUGUUGGCAUACUUGCUUGUUUGUAUGUUUGCUUGUUCAUGUUGCAUAGUUAUCGGAGCGUUCGUGCCGUCUCGUGGAGGCCAGAUCUACAAGUCUACACCAGGCGAUGGAGCCAGAAGCCAGUUCCGCGAGCUCCCCUUCCCCCUUCGCCGAAUAAGCACGGCAAGCUCACUGGAUCCCUUUGAUGCAUAAAUUACCUAUGUUUUUCAACCACAACCCUCAGCCUGUUAUUUUAUGCAUGAUAUGAUUUUGAGACAAGUUAUUAUGGCCACCCAGCCGCUUGCCGCAAUCAAUCCCUGAUAUAUAUGUUCCAAAUGAUUUGAGAAAAGGUGUGAGUUUUCAAAAGAAAAUGCUUUUCAAAAUGUGUAUGAUGAAGGGUUUUCACCCUUAUCCCCUUUGAGUAUGGAUGAUCAGGGACUCCCUGGUUUAGGGGAGGGCCUAAGGUGUUGGCUCAGCUGGUUUAGGCGUGAGCAGAAGGAUUGUCCCCUCAUAUAAGGACCGGUUUGUCAUCUUCACUACCUGUACUCUUUAAUAGUGCAACCACUCGAGACUGUGUGGGCAGUCACUCAAUCUGAACUCGUGCGGUCCGACCCCAGGGUUAUGAAGGCUGGGGAGCACCGGGAGGAUAAGGAGGGAGAAAGUUUUGUCCGGUUUGGACAUGGUGGUGGCCUGACUCCUUCCGGAUAACCGUUAAGGUUAGGACGUGCGGGGAAAGAAAGAGAUUCGGAUUCGGGUCUCACUAGCUAUGAGAUCGCAGAGCCGGACUAGUGGGUAAAGUGUACACCUCUGCGCAGAGUUCAAACCUAUUCGAAUAGUCUGUGUCCACAGGAAUGGACGAGUCUGGUAUGGUAUGGCAAUUAAUGUUUUGUUUUCCAAAAAAAGAGAUGGUUUUGAGAAAAGUGGUUUUAAAAGGUCCGGCGGUUGAGCCGUGAGCUAUGGUGGACGGGAAGUCCAGUAGCUGUUUUUGGAAAUGAAAACCAGUGGGAAACUGCUGAGAUGCCUGGAUGGUUUAGUCCAGGGGAUUUUGUUAUAAUACUGAAAAACUUCCUGCUCCUUUUGGAGAGGAUGCGCUUUGCAAAAAUACGAAAUGUUUUUCAAAACAACUCUGCAUUAAAUAUUGCUGUUUCUGCAAAAUAUCCUGAGCUCCACAUAUUCCAUGCAUUAUAUCUGAUUUCCCCAUUCCGCGGGUGAAGGUGGGCUGCUGAGUACGUUUGUACUCACCCUUGCUUAUUUGUUGUUUUUCAGAAAAAGGAGAUCGGGUAAGAGUUACGACUGUUCCCAACCUUGCCUGUGGCUGUUGGACCGCUGAAUUGCUUCACUGCGUAUAUCGGGCUGCUUCAGCCCCACUCUGAUGAUAUGUCUCGAGUUGUGGACCAACUCUUAAAGUUGUUCGCCACCUUUGUAAGUUUGUCUCGUUUAAGCAGAUCUGGAAUCAUCUGAUGUAUAAAUGUGUUUACUAGCCUCCUGGGACUAGUAAUUGUAUCACAUUUGAGUCCCAGAGGAUUGGGGACGCUUCACGCUUUCCCCCCCCUCCUCCUUGCGAAAAGGCGACGCAGGGGCGUAUGAAAAAAAGCCGAGUCUGUCCUUGACCGUCCACUCACUCUGUGCGGAGGCUCGGGGGCUGCUCUCGCAAACCCGGCUCCGGCCAAACCAUUGACAGCGUCAACAUACCAGCCCAAGAACUUGGGACUCGACUAUACACCCGGGCUACGGCCAGUUCGCAUGAGGGAACAACCAGACCGGCCGAAGCAUCACGAAACACGCUAAGACCUCGAAGGAGUCAAACCACUCCUCCGAGGCCUCGGGGGCUACACCCGGCGGGUGCGCUCGCGCGCACCCACCAGAACAAAACGCAACCGAGAAAGGCCGGUCCCCUUGCAAAAAAGUGUGACAAAAGCCUCCAAGUGAGUAUCAACACUCCCUUCGAGGCUCGGGGGCUACUGUCGGGGACCAUAAUUAGGGGUACCCCCAAGACUCCUAAUCUCAGCUGGUAACCCCCAUCAGCACAAAGCUGCAAAGGCCUGAUGGGCGCGAUUAAGGUCAAGGCUCAGUCCACUCAAGGGACACGAUCUCGCCUCGCCCGAGCCCAGCCUCGGGCAAAGGCAGUCGACCCCGGAGGAUUCACAUCUCGCCUGAGAGCCCCCUCAAGCAACGGACACACCUUCGGCUCACCCGAGGCCCAGUCUUCGCAGAGAAGCAACCUUGGCCAGAUCGCCACGCCAACCGACCGUAUCGCAGGAGCAUUUAAUGCAAGGAUCGCCUGACACCUUAUCCUGACGCGCGCUCUUCAGUUGACAGAGCCGAAGUGACCGCAUUCACUUCGCCGCUCCACUAACCGACCUGACAAGAAAACAGCGCCGCCUGCGUCGCUCCGACUGUUGUGCCACUCGACAGAGUGAGGCUGACAGCAGCUAAGUCCAGCCUCGGGCGCCAUAGGAAGCUCCGCCUCGCCCGACCCUAGGGCUCGACCCCCGUCUAGGCCUCGAAAGAUGGACUUUGCCUCGCCCGACCCCAGGGCUCGGACUCAGCCACGACUCAGAAGACGACGGACUCCGCCUCGCCCGACCCCAGGGCUCGGACACAACCUCGGCCUCGGAAGAUGGUCUCCACCUCGCCCGACCCCAGGGCUCGGACACAACCUCGACCUCGGAAGAUGGUCUCCGCCUCGCUCGACCUAGGGGUCGGACUCAGCCUCGACCUCGGAAGACGGACUCGACCUCGACCUUGGAGGAGCCUCCGCCUCGCCCGACCCAGGGCUCGGACCGACCACAUCAUAGGGGGGCCAUCAUUACCCUACGCCUAGCUAGCUCAGGCUACGGGGAACAAGACCGGCGUCCCAUCUGGCUUGCCCCGGUAAACAAAUAAUGAUGGCGCCCCGUGUGCUCCAUGACGACGGCGACUCCCAGCCCCUGACGGAAGCAAGGAGACGUCAGCAAGGAUUCGACAGCCCCGACAGCUGUCCUUCCACAGGGCUCCAGCGCUCCUCCGACGGCCACGACAUCACAUGAACAGGGUGCCCAGACCUCUCCGACUGCCACGACGGCAUGUACUUAGGGCUCUAGCUCCUCUCUGCUAGACACGUUAGCACACUACUACACCCCCCAUUGUACACCUGGACCCUCUCCUUACGCCUAUAAAAGGAAGGUCCAGGGCUCUCGUACGAGAAGGUUGGCCGCGCGGGAGAACGGGCCGGCGCAUAAGGCUCUCGCUCUCUCUCUCUCUCUCCCACGCAAACGCUUGUAACCCCCUACUGCAAGCGCACCCGACCUAGGCGCAGGGCAACACGAAGGCCGCGGGUUUCCCCUUUGCCUGUUUCUUCCCCCCUUCGUGCUCCGUCUCGCGCCGACCCAUCUGGGCUGGGACACGCGGUGACAUUUUACUCGUCGGUCCAGGGACCCCCCGGGGUCGAAACACCGACAAAACUCAAACAAUGUUAGCAAGGGAACUUUUAGAGAGAGGAAAGAGGGGAAACAAAUCAAGUCAAGAUCAACAAGUGAACACGGUGAUUGUUUUACUGAGGUUCGGUUCCAAAGAACCUAGUCCCCGUUGAGGAGGCCACAAAGGUCGGGUCUAUUCCAACCAUUUCCCUCUCUCAAUCGGUCACACAGACCGGUCGAGGUUUCUCCUUAAUCACUUGGGUCACUAAGACCUCGCAAGGAUCACCACACACUUAGGUGUCUCUUGCUAGCUUUACAAAGCACUUAGAGAAAUAAGAAUAGGAAGGAGAAAGCAAUCCAAGCAACAAGAGCAACAAAAGAACACAAAACACCCUCUCUCAAGAAAUGUGUCUUGGAGGGGAUUUGAUCUUUGAAAUGUGCCUUGGAGUGAAUGUUAUUGCUCUUGUAUUGAAUGUGAAGUUCAGAAAACUUGGAUGAUUUGAAUGGAGGUGGUUGGAGGGUAUUUAUAGCCCCAACCACAAUUCUAGCUGUUCUUGGCGAUGGCACACCGGACAGUCCGGUGGUGCACCGGACAGGGCACUAUUCACUGUCCGGUGCGUGCCACGGCAGCAUGUCGUUGGGGUUUGGAGCGAUUGACCAUUGAAGUUCUUUGUCUUGUAGUUGCACCGGACAGUCCGGUGGCACACCGGACAUGUCCGGUGCGUUUUGACUUCGCAGCCUGACAUCUGACUUCUGCACUAUGCGCUUUUACUGUAUACGCAGUUAACCGUUGAGCGCCAGGUUACCGUUGCUCCGUUGGCUCACCGGACAUGUCCGGUGCACACCGGACAGUCUGGUGAAUUAUAGCGGAGCGUGCCCUGGAAAAACCCGAGAGUGGCCAGUUGGGAUGGUGCUCGACCUGGGGCACCGGACACUGUCUGGUGCGCCACUGGCAGCACAAUCUCAAGUCAUUGCUCCAAACUUUGAUGAGUCCCCAACUUGAUUUCUUUCUUAAUUUAUGUUAAACCUUAUGCACCUGAGAUAAAUAAUAACUAGGCAAACUAAUUAGUCCACGUGGUUUGUGAUGGACGUCAACCACCAAAAUCGAUUAUAGGAAAUGAUUAAGCCCAUUUCCCUUUCACUACCUUUGACUUGAUUGGAUACUCAGACUCCGACUAUGCCGGGUGCAAGAUUGAUAGGAAGAGUACAUCAGGGGCUUGUCAGUUUCUGGGAAGGUCCCUGGUGUCAUGGAGUUCAAAGAAACAAACUUCAGUUGCCCUAUCCACCGUCGACGCCGAGUAUGUUGGCGGCUUGCCGCAGGCCAGUGUUGCACGCAAUUACUUUAGAUGAGGCAAAACCUCCGGGACUUUGGUUACAAUUUGAGCAAAGUCGCACUCCUAUGUGAUAAUGAGAGUGCAAUCCGCUUGGCGGAUAAUUGAAAGGGAAAUAGGGUUAACCUUUUCCCAGUAUUAAUUUUGGUGGUUGAAUGCCCAACACAAAUAAUGGACUAACUAGUUUGCUCUAGAGUAUAUGAUCUAUAGGUGCAUAAAGGUUCAACACAAACCAAUAAUAGAUUAAAGAUAGGGUUCAAAUACAAAGGAGCAAAGAAACCAAGUGUGCUCUGGUCUGGCGCACCGGACUGUCCGGUGCACCAGAACCGUAUAGAGUCCAACUAGCCACUCUCGGGCUUCUUCAGGCGCUCUCCGCUAUAAUUCACCAGAUUGUCCGGUGUGCCACCGGACUGUCCGGUGCACCAGCGGAGCAAUGGCUAUCCAGCGCAACGGACGACUGCAACGGCUCCUGACGAGCGCUACAGUGCGCUACAGUGCGCGUCAGAGUCAGAGCGCACCGGACACUAAACAGUGUCUGUCCGGUGCGGCACCGGACUGUCCGGUGCCACUAGAAGACAAAGCCUCCAACGGUCGACAGCUCCAGAACCCUAACAAUUUGGUGACGUGGCUGGCGCACCGGACACUGUCCGGUGUGCCCAUUGACAGCAGCCUGCCCCAACGGUUGUUUGGUGGUUGAGGGCUAUAAAUACCCACCAACCACCACCACUCCAUACAUCCAAGUUUUCCAAGGUUCUCAUUCAGUACAAGGGCUAGUGCAUUUACUCCUAGACACAAAUCAAAAGAAUCAAAGCCUCUCCAAGUGCCAAAUCCACUCCAACAACUUAGUGACUUGAGAGCGUUUGUUCUUGUUCUUUGUGCUCUUAUUGCUUGGAUCGCUUUCUUCCUUCCUCACUCUUGUUCCCAAGUGAAUUGUAAUCAAAGCAAGAGACACCAAGUGUGCGGUGGUCCUUGUGGGGUCUAAGUGACCCGUUUGAUUAAGGAGAAAGCUCACUCGGUCUAGGUGACCGUUUGAGAGAGAGAAAGGGUUGAAACAGACCCGGUCUUUGUGACCACCUCAACGGGGACUAGGUUCUUUAGAACCGAACCUUAGUAAAACAAAUCACCGUGUUCAUCCGCUUUAUUUCUUGGUUGAUUUGUUUUCCCUCUCUUUUCGGACUCGGAUUUAAUUCUAACGCUAACCCCGGCUAGUAGUGUGUGCUUAAGUUUAUAAUUUUCAGAUUCCGCCUAUUCACCCCCCCUCUAGGCGACUUUCAAUAAUCUUGUUGAACACAGACGCACUAAGCACAUAGACAUCCGGCAUUACUUUCUAAGAGAUCCCAGCAAAAGGGAGAUAUCGAUGUUUGUCACAUUAGCAUCGAUCACUAGCUAGCCGAUAUCUUUACCAAGCCUUUAGACGAGAAAAGGUUUUGUAAGCUGCGUAGUGAGCUAAAUGUCUUAGAUUCGUGGAACUUGGAUUGAUCUAGAGCACACAUGUUUUUAUGUAUUGAUCAUGUCAUUAUCACUUUAAUUAUGUAUUUAUGGUGUUCAAGUUGUAAAACAUCAUCCCUGGAUCUCACAAGUCUUUAUGCAAUGAUGCUUAUGUUUAGGGGGAGGAUAUGUUACAACUUGACCCUUUGAGACUAACAUGUUUGCUUAAGUAAUUUUGGUAUAGUCUCAAAUGGUGAACUUGAACAACAAACAAGGAUUCCACUACAAAACAAUAUCAUGUUCAAGUUGCCCUUGGUGUUCAUUGCCUUCUUACUUUUAUUUCACGAUUUUUUGGUGAGGCGAUGAGGUUUAAAGGCCACUAGUUUCUCCAUUUUGAUGCUUAAUGCCAAAGGGGGAGAAAUUAAGGCCAAAGCAACUGGGUCAACUACCACUUGUGAAUUUCAAAAUUUAUUGUGUAGUACUUGUCUUUUGAUCAAAACCCUCUUAUUGCAAAACUACUCUCUUGUGGAGGAGAAAUUUGAUUAUGGGAAAAGGGGGAGUUUUUGGCUUUUGAUUUGCCAAAACAAAUUGUUUUUGACAUAGAAGUAAGAAAUUGAAUUUGUAUUGUUAAAAUAACCAAGUGGUGCCAAAAUGAUCCAAAUAUGCCAAAUCCUAUGAUAAUUCAAUUGGUUUUUAGUUUGACAUCAAUUUGCAAAUUUUGGCUCAUAUUUGAUUAUGUUAGUGCAUUUUGAGUUGCUUUUGAUGUGUUGGCAUAAAUCAUCAAAAAAGGGAGUUUGAAAGGGAAAUGUGCCCUUGGGCCAUUUCUAGUUUGUUUUGAUGAUUAAAUGCACAACACAUUGUCUUUGACUAACAUCUUGAUGUAUGAGCAUAAGCACAGGUAUUGUAAGGCAAAUUGAGAAACAUAGGAAAAGUGCAUAUGUGUGUACAUUGCAAAUCCUAUUGCAUUCAAGGAACAAGGUAUAAUUCUAGCACUUAAUAAAUUGUUUUAGUUGCUAACUAUGUUCAUCUAAGUGCUUGGAAACUCUCCAAGUCGAGACAAAUUGGAGUGAAGAAGUUUGGCUAAGUUUGGCCAAACUUGCACCAGUCUCGAAAGCACCAGACUGUCUGGUGUGCGCCGGACAGUGUCCGGUGCCCAGGCUGGCCAGCCAGCUAAACUGGCCAGUCUCGAGAAAUUGGUCGGAUGCUCUGGCUAUAAUUCACCGGAAUGUCCAAUGAGCCAGGCGGCAAACGGCUCUCGCCAGCGCCAACGGUCGGUGCAAUCAACGGUGGACACGUGGCAGCACCGGACUGUCCGAUGUGACGGACGACCGAAGGAUCCGACGGCUAACUCAACGAUCGGCGUGGCUAGUAAGGAAAGAAAUCACAUACUGUUCAUUGUCCAGUGCACCCGCAGACAGAAGGCAACCAGGGUCUUCCAAAUGAAGACCAAACGGCUCAUUGGUCCCUUGGGACUAUAAAAAGGACCCCCUAGCCACAUGGAGUUGUUACACAAGCAUACUUUGAGCAUACUACAACUCUGAGACCUCGCGACCAUGCUGAUUGUGGCAGAACCACCCGAAUUAUUCCAGCUUAAGUGUCUAAGUCACGCCUCAGGGGCCGUAACACACUUAAAUCGGAAUAACCCGUCAGUCCCUCAGAUCUAGUCUGAUAGAGCCACUUAACCAGGAUCAAAUUCCACAACCUCACUUGAAGGUGAGUCACAGAAGAAAUACAAUAAAACAGGAAACCUCAAAUUAAGUGUUGAAUUAUUACAUAGAUCGGGGUUUUUGAGUAGCAAAUAAGAGUUCACAAAAUAAAAUGCAGCGGAUAAUCGAUGUCGUCGGUAUCGAGGAAAUGGGCAAGGCCUAGCCCACUACUCCUCGUGCUCCUCUCCUGCCGGAGCAACAUCCCACUCGACCGUCCAACCCGGUGGCAGGGUGGUAGGCCAAGUCACACCAUCAACCAUUUCCUGAAUUGCACCUGCAAAAAUUUUGCCACAAGCAAGGCUGAGUAUACUAAUACUCAACUAGACUUACCCGGUGUGAGGAGUCUACUCCUCUACCUCUAGACUAUGCAGCUGUUUGGUUGAGGGGUUUGGUUUGCCAAAAGCACUAGCUGUUUCUAAAAUUUAUUUUUAGCUUUUCAACUUCUAACAUCAUCAUCUUAGCUAGGUUUGCUCCUUCUAAGCAUACAUGGUAACAAGCAUUUAGUUCAAUCAACAAAUUGUCUUAUGUAACCUCAUUUCACUUCUUACUCGAUGCAGUACAAGGGGUCAAGCAGUCUCAUUAGCUGCGAGAAGCAGACGAUUCGAAUCGAGUUUUAUCCUUACAAAGGUAAACCUAAACACACGGCAUGUCAGGGUACUCCGACCCCGCACAUGACAACCGUCCCCAUCGAUUCCCUGUUCGCGUUCAGGCCUCACCGCCUUGGCAUACAAUGCCCCACUGACCCCGGCUACCGUCGUGCAGUGACCGCACUUGUACCCACCAUAGCUAGCAUGGGAGACCCAGUCUCAGGUCGCAUAAGGGAUAAAGUCUGUGCCCGGCUUCACUCAGGUACUAGGUUUAUCGGUUACCAUUUUUCUCGGCAUGUGCUUAGUACGUUCAAACGCUUGACUCAGGUAUCCACACAUUAAUCCUUAAUUUCUUUUUCCCGUCUCAUGGUCAAGGCAUCCUCCCUGGAUCCAAGUCCAUAGACUAUCAUAGAUCUCGUUAUCAAGAUGAAUACAAUCAAUUCCUGACCUCGCGCGAGUGCUAGAAAAAUCACUCGACUUCUACCGAGAUCCUGAUUAGCAAGCAGCUACUCGACCUAGCAUACUAGUAUUCAUCUCAAAAAGGAAUCCUAAGUUCAUGCAACUAGAGGUUUCAAGCAACUCCUACACUUAAGUGCACAUUACAAUCCUACAAGCAUUAAGUGUAGUAAAGUAGCAUAUAAUAAUAUGGUUAUGCAUAUAAACCGGGGCUUGCCUUCAAUAGCUGGGGCUGCAGGGAGAUCCUCGAUAGCAGCCUCGGAAGCUUGCUCUUGGUCCUUCUCUUGGACAGUUCCUUGCUCGGGGAUGAGCACGUACUCUCCGUCGGCGAGAUUACAAUCUAAUGAAUGCAAUGCGUAAGAUAUAUGCAUGAUAUGAUAUGUGCUUUAGUAAUUUCAACUUUUGAUGGUGUAUGGUCUACUUAAGUUAGAUAGAGUCAAAUCUUACUUAUGUGAGACUUUUGGGUGGUAAACUUGGUAAAUUGGAUCAAACUUAGCUAAGUUAAGUGGUAGGUUUAUUUUUGGGGUUUCACUGAAUUCUUUUUAAAAUCUUAGUGAGAAUUGACAAGAAUUCAAGUUGGACUUAUUGGAGUGAGGUUUAUUUCUUCCUUCUUUUUCUUUAUUCCCCUUAAGUUUUUGGAGUGGGUUUGAACUACAAGUUGCCUUAAUAAAAUUUCAAAAAUUCUGUAAAAAUUACAGUGGCUUAUUACUGGUGUAUAGUUCUCUGUCUCAGAAUUUGGGGAUCAGAAAGUGAAUAGCUUUCUCUGGACAAAUUACCAAAUUUUAGGGCAGAAGGGGUGAUUUGAACUACAACUACCAUAUAAUAGUAGGUAAUUUUCUAAAACUUAUUUUUGCUGGCAUUUCGAUGCUAUAACAUGACUUGGCACAAAAUUCUAGCCAUUAAUUCAUAUUAGUUAUUUAACUAGGAUUUUCUAAAGUUUCUAGCUAAAGGGGUGCUUUCUACUACCACUAUAUUUGAAAAAUAUCAUACAACAGAUUUCUGAUUUUUCCUAGCUUUUAUUUUGCGCAAGAGCAAUCAUUCUGAAGUUUGGCAUCUUUUUGCUUAAGGGAAGGGGUGGUAUGCAUUAAUUGGAUUAAAUGGCCUUUCUUAUAAAAUAUUAGCAAUAGGUAUUAUUUUGCAUCUUUUUAAUGGGUUUGCAUUUUUCUCUAGUGGCUUAUCUUAUUAUUGACUUAGCAAAAUUUUAUUUGCCCAUUAUUGUAUUAUUAUGGGUUAUUCAUGAUUUAUUUGGAAAAUGACUCAUUAUCAUAUUAUAUUUAUUUACCCUACUUAAAAUGAUGGGCUGGGGUGUUUAUUAUUUUUGCAGUGGGGUUCUGGUGGUUACAAGUCCACUGAAUUUUUAUUAUCAAUUUUGGGUCUGGUUUUAUGAUUCUAAUAAUUGAUUUCUAGUUGGAAUAAUGCUAAAUAAAACAUUUCACUUUAAAACUGAUCUGGACUAGAGGUCCCUUUAUUUUUCCUAGGUUCUCUGUUACUUAAGCAAACUAGGAAAAAUAAUUUCACUCAUUGUUCAUUAAUUUCUAAUGCCUUUCUGAUUUUCUUAAGUUUUGGGCAGAAAUGGCUUUUAAUAGAUAUCUACACUAAAUUUUUCAAUACUGGGGUUCUUACUAUUUUUAAACAGUGCUUAAAUGAGGUUUGAACAUCUACAAAUUUUCUUAGGUUCAGCACAGAAGCAAACUAAUUUUCCUUAAUUAAACAAGGUUUGGGCAGUUUCUGUUUUAAAUUUUAAACUCUAAAAGUUAGAACAGAAAGCAUAGAGUUCAUUAUUUUUAAAUGAUAGCUCAUAUUAUUUAAGGUCUAGCAAAAUUAGUUUGACAACUUUUGCUUAAGAAUUCAUUAAGUUAUGAAUUUUCUAAGUUCUCUGUUUAUUAAAAAGAUUUAAAUAGAAAUGUUUAAAUGGAAAACUACUUUGCAACGGGGUCCCUGGCGGGUGUUUUAAGUUUUCCUCACAGAUUAGUCCCUGAGCUACUAUUCAAAUAAGUCACUGACAUUGCAGAAAACCCCUAGGUUCUUCUAAUCCUAACCCGAGGUCCUUCCCCCAAUUUAAACAGUACACGCGACGGAAGAAAAGGCGGAGGGGCUUACCGGCGGCGAGAUUGCUCCGGUGAGGUGGCCGAGGGUGUAGGGGAGGUCCUAACGGUCACGACGAUGUGCGGGUCACCGUCGGGGAUGGUAGGAGUUGGCCGGUCCGCAUGCGCAGGCGGGGGAGCUCGUCGACGGCGAGGAGUCCGGCCUAUCCAGGGCGAAAUUGACCAAUCAAACGGGUCAGAGAGCUUCACCAGAUAUCAAGGAAGGUGUGUGCGUGAGGAAUUGAAGAAUGGCUCACCGGAGAGCUCGGUCCACGCGUGCAGGCGGGCGACCGAAGUCCGGCGGGGGUGAUCUCGGGCUUCCGGUGAAGUUCUGCUGGGUCCGAGGGCUUGGAAAGCUUCACGGGCCACUAGCGAAGCUAACCGAAGCGCUGGCGCGACUUGGGGGUGACUGGAGUGGGCUGGCCACGGUGGCCGAAGCUCUGGCGGCAAUGGCGGGCGGAAAAGAGCUCGCCGGAGCUAAGGAGGGGUGACUGGCCGGUGAUGGUGAGCGCGGGGUGAAGUGAGGCGCGCCCGGGGAGGCUUUAUAGGCGCGGGCGGGCACGACCGAGGGCAAGGGCGCGCGGCGGACUUGACUGAAUGCCGAGGCGAGCGCACGCGCGGGUUGGGCGAGCGCCGGCGUGCCGACUAGGGUCGAACACGUGUGCCCGUGCGUUUUGCCCAAGUUCUGGCGCGUGUGGUCACUCAUCCGAGUCUGCUCUCGCCUUGGUCAAUGCACAAAACCUCUUCUCCUCCCUACAAGCUACCGAUCUUGUGUGGAGGUCAUAGGAUUUUGCCUACUGGUUGCAGAGAUAUGGAGCCCGGAAAUCCGGUUUGUCUCCCUGCUCAAACCCGAGGCAAAUCCAGGGUUUUGUCGUGUCUAGGGCUCGCGUCCCAAUGCCAUCUUCUGGCAUGCGACAGAGAGGUUAGUUAGGCACAUUUUUGUUAAUGGGGUUAUUGGGAUUUGAGUUAGGGAUCAAGGUGAACACGCUUGAUCUUUGGCUCAAGGUCUGAAAUUCAGAAUUUCCUAUUGAGUCCCCACAUGAGAAGCUUGCUUGGGGUUUUAUUUGAAUUAUUUUGGCCAAGCUUCCUCAAUCUUUAUUGUUGCUUAUUAAAUAUACUUCAAUGUUUAUAAUUGGCCUAAGCCAUGAUUCUAAAUUUUUCACACUUUUUUCCAUUUUCUUGAAUUUUGGUCAUAGGGCUCAAUUAGGGUUUUUGUUGGGGUUGCACAUUUUGCCUUUUUGAAAAACCCAUUUGCUUUGAUCAUGAUACUUUUAAGUAUAGGCUUAGUGGAUCCUUUAUUCUUAAGUCAAUUUGAUGCUCAUGCUCAAUUUGGUUCACAUAAAAUGAUGGUUCAUGGGUUAGCACUUUGAGAGAAACCCUAGGUGACACUGGGGUGUCACACUGAUGUUUCAUUAGAUAGAGAAUUGAGCGUGUUCUUGAGCUGUGACUGACGUUUUGAUUCUUGCACUAUUUUCUUGACUCGUGUGCGUGUUGUUGCUGUGAAUUGAGAUCUUGUGUGUAUUGUUACUCCUCUUUACUCUUGUGCUUUGACUAAGAUCAUUUGUGUAAGGUGUGAGAGACUCCAGCUUAUUGAGAUUCCUCACAAAUGAGAUUUGAUAUAAGGAAGAAAACUGUAGUACUCAAGUUCGAUCUUUGAAUCACUUAAGAGGGGUUGAGUGCAACCCUUGACCGAAGGAGGUCACCUCAACGUGGAGUAGGCAUUGGCCGAACCAUGAGAUAAAAUCGUCGUGUCUCUUGUUUAUUUACUUUAUUGCGACUGUUGUCUUCUUGUGUUCUCAUUUUCACUUGUAUUAUUGCUCCUAAGUUUGAUACACCUAUAAAAGGAGCAAUCAAGUGAAGAAAUCUUCUCUUUCUUCAUCUCUAUUUAUAACAACUUGGUUUUAAUUUUCACUAACAUUCAUUAAACCAAAUUUGUGUUGUUUAGAGUUGAUUUUUGCAGGAUCGCCUAUUCACCCCUCUAGGUGCUCUCAAGAUUCUAGGUCGGACCUAGCCAGCACGGCGGCGACGGACGGUCUCCAUGUGCAAAGUUAUUCUUUUGAGGCAAAAGAAAUAAUAAAUAGAAGCCAGUCUUGCACCUCUGCUACUACCAACAACAACUAUAUGCAAUCAUGUCUUAUGUGCUACUACCAACAACAACUAAUAUGCAAUCAUGUCUUAUGUGCAAAAGUGCAAGCAAGGUUUGAGACUACUCUAUGGUUGUCCGUGCUAGGCGAAGAACUCAAAAAUCCUUUGCCACUACAAUCAAAGCGGCCACAUAAUCGCCAAGCAUGCGGUGCUGAUUGGCACUAAGGGCAUAUAUAACCCUCAAACACCAGUUCGAUUUUCUAAGUAUAAAAGAUAGCUAAGAAACUAUAAUCCAAAGACACUAAUCAUAAAUACAGAUAAAAAACACAGUGUAGGUAAAGUCAUGAAGAGACGAGUUCUUCACGAAGAGCUCGUCUAUUCUUUUCGCUUAGACCCUUGGAGACUCCAUGUUAAAUGAGGUUGUACAUGCCAUAACUGUAGAUAAGUAGAUCUGAAAAUACGCUAUCUUUCACCUAAAGGCUAGUUUAAAAACUUAAAUCUCCUCCAGUGUUCCGGGGGAUUGAGUGAAAAAAUAACUCGUUUUCUCACUCAAUCCCCGAAAAUCCUAAAAGGGAUUUAAGUUUCCAAACUAUUUAGGCAAUUCUCAGCGUACUAGCCCUGGAUAAUUAAUUAAAAUAUAACCCAAACACAGAGGAGCCAAAAUCUGGUUUUGAAGCAACUAAUCAAUUUAAACCUCACCCUUGAGAUUGCUACUACCUACUACCGAUAGUUCAAAAAGUGACACCACUUUGUAAUGUCAUGUUAAUAAGGGAUCAUAUCAGAAGCUGCGCACGGGCUCCUUUAGAAAUUGCCACUCCUAUAACUUCCCCCCAAUUACUUCAGCCACACAGUUCCCUUUCCUUCUGUGAGGCUUUCAUUUUACUUCAACCAGAAAUGAGAAAGUCAAAGAAUAUGCCAAGUCGGCGAGUCAGCUAUGAACAUAUGGAUCUACGCCUUGCAGCAACAGACUACUAUCUUGCCCAACUGGAGAAACUUGGAGUGCAGCAGAUUGAGAAGCUUCCCCUCUGUAGAAUUGACUAUUGAAAUAAUCAUUAUAUUCUGAAAUUCAAGAGAAAACUGACUAAGACCCUCCAAUUGGUGUAUCACUGGUUUCUGAUUGUUCGUCACCAAUAUCAAGUGAUGAGAUAGAUGCGGCCAAUUCAUCAGCCGAAUCAGAUUCCAGUUCAGCUCCAGUGGCAUCUGCAAGUGCGCUCAGCAUAGCGACCACUUCAAAUGUAUCGUCCAGGUAGAAUUUGGCUUUGCUUGGUUUUUGUCCCACAGUGCAUGCAAACAAUGAUGUUCUUGGAGCAACCAUAUUCCUCUUAAUGAUAUCGGCAAUAUUUUCAAACAUGUCCUCAUCGGACCUAUCAUCGCCGAUGCACAAUACGAAAUCAGCCUGCUUUCCCCUCUCCUUCACUGAUGCAAGUAUCCUCUCGGCAACUAUUCCCUUGCUUACUCCCUGCAGAUUAGUGCACAACAAAAGAACUCAUUUUAAUUUACACAAGUAAAUACAAGAAACUAAGUGAAGUCAAUCAUGCAAGGUAAAAACCAUAUCAAUCAACUUAUACCUUGCCACUAGUACUAACCACUUGCAGGAAAUUUUUUGCAUAAGGUAAGAAAGGUGGUAAAGUAACUACAGCCUAGUAGGCAUAAGGCAAACAAAAUAAUGUUUUUCUACAAGGCUAGUAGGCUACUAAGACAAAAUUCUAAAACCUGCAAGCAUCAGCAUGUUGCUUUUUAGAAAGUUGCUUUCACCACAACCAGACAAAAACCCAAAACAGGCCCAAAUGAAAUGAGAUCUUCUAUAACUGAGUGGUACUACAUUAAUACUGAACAAAAAUAACGCCAACAUAUUUGCAACAAGAAAAAGUACUAGACUGGGUCCUUUCACACUUUUGAAGCUAAGUAUCAUAUUAACUGUGAGAACAAAAGGUGCUAUCUGAACUUCAUGGUCUAUAGACUACAGUUCAACUCUACCUUUUAGAAUCGUAAAAAUAUAAUAUGGAAUAUUUUUAAGGCAUAAAUAAUGAACUUAUAAGUUGGAAACCACAUACAAGAACGGGUUUGAAUGGCUAAAAGAUGAACGAACCUGUGGUUUGACUUCAACGAUGAACUGGCCACUCUUGACAGAGACUGGUUCAUUUGCUAGUACACUUUCCAGGUGAUCAAGCAGCUCCUUUGCCUGUGAGGAUCCAAAGCCUGGGUCAGCAUCCUGAUGGUGCCACACCAAGGCACUUUCUUUUGUCUCAAUGUAGGAUCCAUCAGUUGCUUCUGUAUACAAAUUCAUCACUGGCUUUGCCAUUUGCAUCCAUCCAAAGUCCAUGGCCUGAGUGCAUGUUUGCCACUCUUCUUCGCUAGACCACCUACCAAAAUUUUGAAAUCUUAUUUCACAUAGCCUUUCUAGCUAAGACAAUUCAGUAAGAGCCGAUUAAACCAAUUACUGCAAUUAACUAACUAGCAAACAAGAUAGCCCAUUAACUAACUAGCAAACAAGAUAGCCUAUGAUUGAUCUAUCACAUUCAUGUUCUUAUAUAAUCUCUAGGUUAAGGCCCCGUUUGGUUUGAGGGACUAAAGAUUAGUCCAUCUAUUUUAGUCUCAUUUAGUCACUAAAUUGCCAAACGGUGGGACUAAAAUAGGGACUAAACUGUUUUAGUCUCUAGUCCCUCAAGGGGUGACUAAAAGGGACUAAACCAUAUAAAUUCCACUUUUUGCCCCUUCUUUAUUUCAGUUGCACUAAUGACAGGAGAAUGAUAAUGGGUAUCUUAGUCCUCUUAUGAUUCAUUUAAUGUGUUUUGAAUAGUUUUAGUCCCUAGAACCAAACAUAGUAGGGAUUAAACUUUAGUCUCCUAACUAAACUUUAGUCCAUGAACUAAAGGAACCAAACGGGGCCUAAGUGAUGUUAACGCUCCAUACAAUCCGAAAAUGGGAAACAUUAAGAACCAACUUAACAGCCUCCAUACAAUAUUUUAGUGCUAAAUCACAAUUAAGGGUUUUCUUUUCUAAUUUCUUCUCAGAUGCACUACACCUCUUCCCAGUUCCCAGUUUCACAGAAAAUGUAAUCAAUGCAAUUUGAGAUGUUGCGCAAAUAACCAAACCAACAGUUUCAAUGUUUAGUAAUAGCAAUGAAAAAACAAGACCGCUGUACUGUUUUUUCUAGUUAUAGAAAAAAACAGUAUCCAGAUGCAACUACUUCACCCAAAAAAAUACACUUGUGCAGAAAUGGAAAACCAUACCUCAAGAAGUAACCAUGUUCAGCUGCAAUCCCCAAUUUUGGACAUGAGGAGAACCACUUUCCUAACAUAUCUUUGUCUCUACCACUGACAAGAAAAACGAUGUUUCUACUAUCUGAGCAAAGGGUAUUGAUGAUGUUCAAAACCUCUGGACUAGGUUCCUUGUUGAUUGAAGUUUGAGGAACCAGUGUUCCAUCAUAAUCAAGCAAUAUAGCCCUGCUCCCUGAAAUCUCAUAAGCAUUAACAAUUGAAUCCAUGUUAAGCUUUCUGAAAUGAGCGUCCAAGGCCACCACCCUGAAACCAAAAC